rnacentral:lncRNA from 1 species
UCCUCCUACUCCUGUCCUCAACUUCGCACAUUGAAAUUAGCUGCUGGAAAGUUGAGAACCUUUCCUGAUUUCUUGAGAAAUCAAUCAAUAUUAGAGGUUUUGGACCUAUCCCUAAACCAGAUCCAUGAAAUACCCAACUGGAUUUGGAGGCUUAGUACUCUUGGUGAACUAAAUCUUUCUUGCAACUCUCUGGUAAAUCUACCAGGUCCUUUCCUCAAUCUUUCUUUCUCUGUGCUUGACCUUCAUUCCAACCAGCUUCAGGGACCAAUUCCAAUGCUUCCACCAUAUGCCGGUUAUCUGGAUUACUCAAGAAAUAAUUUCAGCUCAAGCAUACCGGCAGAAAUUGGUGAUUUCCUUGUGAGCACUGUGUUCUUCUCUCUUGCAAGUAAUCACAUCCACGGGAUCAUUCCAGAAUCAGUAUGCAAGGCGACAUCUCUUGAGGUUCUUGAUCUGUCCAAUAAUUCCUUAAGUGGCAUGAUUCCCCAGUGCUUGACUGCAAGGAACGGGCCUCUUGCAGUACUUGAUUUAAGGAGAAACAAACUUUCUGGCACUCUUCCUGAUAAUUUUCCUGAGAACUGUAGUCUACAAACUCUAGACCUCAAUGGCAAUGUGAUUGGUGGUCAGUUCCCAAAAUCUCUAACCAACUGCACAAUGUUAGAGGUGUUAAACCUGGGAAACAAUCAGAUAACAGAUGUCUUUCCAUGCUCAUUGCAGAACAUAUCCAGCUUGCGUGUACUUGUCUUGCGUUUCAACAAAUUUUAUGAUAGCAUUGAAUGCCUCAAGACUAAAAGAGACUGGCCAAAGCUUCAAAUUAUUGACUUAGCUCGCAACAAUUUUACUGGCGAAAUACCAGGAAGUUUUUUGAAAACGUGGCAAGCAAUGAUGGCUGACAAAGAUGGUGCCGUGUCAAAGAUUAAUCACCUCCAAUUUCAAGUUUUAGUCAACGGCCAGGUGUACUAUCAGGAUACCGUAACAGUUACCACCAAAGGUCAAGAGAUGGAAUUGGCAAGGAUCUUAACAGUCUUCACCUCAAUUGACAUCUCCUGCAACAAUUUUAAUGGAUCAAUACCUGAGGAAGUGGGAAAGCUCACAUCACUUCAUGGCCUAAACUUGUCCAGUAAUGCUCUCACAGGCGCAAUCCCAUCAUCAUUAGGUAAUCUACGACAGCUUGAGUCCUUAGACCUUUCGGACAACAAAUUGAGCGGAACAAUUCCAUCACAACUUUCCAAACUUAAUUUCCUCUCAUUCCUAAAUCUGUCGAGCAAUCAACUUGUCGGGAAGAUUCCAACCGGCACUCAGAUUCAGUCUUUUUCAGCAGAUUCUUUCGCAGGCAAUAAAGGAUUAUAUGGGCCACCGUUAGAUGACGGAUCACCAAGGUUGCCACCAACAUUAGAAGGCAAACAUUCUAAUUCUGCGCACAGAAUUGAUUGGGAUCUUAUCAGUGUUGAAGUUGGAUUUAUUGUUGGCUUUGGAGUUGCGGUCGGGUCACUUGUGUUGUGCAAGAGAUGGAGUAAAUGGUAUUACAAAACAAUGUAUAAAAUCCUUGUUAAGAUAUUCCCUCAGCUUGAAGAUAGAAUUGGUCCUCACCGAAGACAUGUCCACAUAAAUCAGAGGUUCAGACGCUGAAGUUAAUGAUCAUGGGGACCAAUGGAGCUGGACCUCAAGCUAUGCCUGGGGAAUUUGAGAUCCAACAAAUAAGAGGUUUGCUUUUUGGUUUUACCUUUUAAAUUUGUGUAUGUUAUAGUUAUAUUUGUAAUAGUUUAUUGUGUAUCUUUAUGCCUUGUUUUCAAUAAACUUCCUCGUACCGUCGAGGUUCUUGAAGUUAGUGUAAAUUGAUAUACCCAAAAGAGUGUACCACAUGUAAUGUAUUAUUUGUUCGAAUUGUGUAGUACGAUGUCGAGACCAACUCCACCCAAAAGAGUGUACUACAAAGAAUAUCUUGACUUCUAAAUUGCGAUAUGUUUUAACAUCUUGCAAUUCAAUUUUAAACUCAUCAUAUCCAGUUUAUUUUUCACCUCAAUUUAUAAGAGAGCAAACCAGUGCUUUUUGUUUUAGAAUUUCCUCACCAACUUUUAUGUCUGAGAUCGCACCAAAAGGCAAAAGCCAACCCUCUCAGGUAACAAGAAGAAAUGAAAAACUCAACCGCUUUUACAAAAUCAGCAAACGACGGUUCAAUCGGUAUUCUCCCUUUCAUGUCAGAGCACAAUGAAAUACUCAUCUGCUUUUACAAGAGUUGAGUCACUCGCCCAAUUUCAACUGAUUUUAGGAUGAACCUCAACUUCAACUAUAGGACAAAAACUUCUAUCAUUUAAGACUUUAAGUUGGCAAAUGCGAAGUAUCGAUCGCGAUGAUUAGGUCUUCCAUAUUAACACUUAACUACUGAAAGAGAGAAUUAACACUUAAUAUGAUUUGAAUUGGGCAUGUUCAGUUACCCCAUCAAUUCUCCACAGAGCAGACUACGACAGUCACAAUUCCACGAUACCAUAGUUACAUACAAUACAUGAGUUUUUCGGAGAAUAUAUUUCUCUUGCUACCCAGAAAAUCAACAUGAGUAUACACAAACCAUUCUGUUUUUCUUCCACCUAUAACGGUAUGUAUAUAUGAUCGACUAUAUAUGGCCUUCGUUAGUCAAAAACUAAAAUAGGAGUAACAUGUAGAUUGCAUAUAUGCCUAGACUACUUCAAAGUGAAUUAGAGUCAAUCAAAUCAAAAACAAAAAAUAUGAACCUGUAACAGCAUAAAACAAGAACCCAAAUGAAUAGAAAUCCGGAGUACCAUACUACGUACUGAAAAUAGCAAUCUUGAGCCCACUGCGACAUUUCAUCGAAAACACUGUGUGCACAGAGAUAUACCUGACAAACGCGAACCAAAGGGCGAGUGGAGCGCAUCACAUGUUCACUGAAGGUAGACUUGCCGCUUCCAGGCGCACCCACCAAUAUUACUACGACAGGCUUUCCUUGUUUUUCUUCCACCGUCAAAAGGGCGUCCAGGUUUUAUGAUCACCGAAGGAGACGACGACUGAGAAUGGUAAAACGCGGCGUUUUGGAGAAAGGUCGUACCUUUGGCUGUUUCGUCGAUAUCCAUGUCCAUGUUUCGGAAGACUCUGCGAGGCACUUUUGAAUUAACGGCGGAAAAGCAACGGUUUCUUCUUCCGCUGGGCUGGAAGCCCCAAGCUUCUAUUGCCGGUGCCUGGUGCUUGCAUAAUGGGACACAUGUCACACAUCGUCGACCCGAAAAUUGACAAGAUCCGAUUCGAUUUGGAUUUUAUCCAUACAUUAGCCUCUUCGCAAUCACUCACGUGUAAACAAAAAGUAUUUUCUAAUCACAAUCCUUACGCGCCCUUUAAAGAUGGGUUUGCUUUAAUUAUUUUUCUAAUUGUUUAACAUCGUUAUUUCAUAAGAAAUUUGUGAGGACCUUUCCUUAUCAUGUUAGGCAUCAAAAUUUUCUUAUCCUUUUCUUUUUCAACUGUCUUUCUGUGAUAAUUUUUUCUAUAAUUGUGUUAAGCCCUCUGUAUUCCGGUGACCUACAACAUGUUAAAUUUAUAGAAAUUAUAAACUUGAUAAUUACGUUCAUAGUAAAAAGGCCUAUACAUACAAUAGUGUUUACUUGGUGUAUAAGUAAGGAUCUCUUCAAAUUAUGAAUACAAUCAUAACUAGAUUACAAUAUUAAUUGCUAAACCUUAAGAGAGACGAUUUCCUUGGACAAGACUCAUUCUCUAACAUCCCGGCAAACUGGACGGUCGAGAGGCGACAAGUUUGGAUCAUAGAAGAAGAAUCCAUGGUUUAGAUAGACCUUUUGUCAAGAGAUUUGCAGGUUGAUCCAAGGACUGGAUGAAAUGAACUUUGUGGGUACCAAGCUUAACAUGUUCACUAACAAAAUGAUAAUCUAACUCAAUAUGCUUUGUGCGAGCAUGAAACAGUCGGUUGGCUGCAAUAUACCUAGUACUAAGGUUAUCACAAAAGAGAUAGGUGGGCAAAGAGGCCUGAAACCGAAGUUCAUGAAGUAAGUAAGACACCCAAAGAGAUUCGAUACAGGUGUGAGCAAGAGCACGAUACUUAGACUCCGCACUACAGUAAGAAACAGUAGGACGUUUUGUAGAACUCCAUGAUAUGAGAUUCAAACCUAGAAAUAAAAGAUAGCUAGAUGUCGAUUGACGAAUGUCAGUACAAGCCCAAUUUGCAUCGGAAUAAAAAGUUGUUCAAAAUAUGGUUGCUCCUAUUUUACAGACGAAACUCAAAAAAAUACUAUUCCAUAACCUGUCCUAAAGUAUCCAAUUUACACUCAUAACGCUAGAAUUGAGAAAUUUUCAAAUUUGGAAUAAUUCAAUAGAGCUAGAGCUGAGCACUUAAAGUGCCAAUUAACAAUAAAUUAAAAAUCCCAGAUAAUCACCUAGGAAAAAGUAAAACUAUACUUUAAUAUAAAAUAAGAGAAAAGAAGUGCAAGGAAUGAAAAAGAAUAUGGAGUUAGAGUUACUUUGACACCAUCUACGGAGAAAGGCCAUUCAGAAAUGUAUUCCUUCAGACCUGUCUCCAGAACUAUGACGUCAUACUCUUCAUCCAUGCAAUCCAGCAGAGAAACCGGAUGAAUAUAGCGAGUAUUGUCUUUACAAUCCAGCAGAGAAACCGGAUGAAUAUAGUGAGUAUUGUGUAAAGACGGAUAUAACCUGUAUAAUAUCCAGUAAAGAUAGUUACACUAUGUUUGGAUGAUAGAAAUAAACUUGAAAUUUAAGGAAAAGUCGGAAUUUAUAAAUUGACAUACACCAAUUCCCUUGUUUGGAUUCAUAAACAUAGAAAUUUAGAAUUUUCAUGUGGAAAAAAAACUUGGAAUUUGGGACAUUCAAUUCCCAAGUUUAAAUUCCAUGUAAAUAUGUGUCAUUUUCCAAUUUCUAUGAUUGAGAGUUGAUAGACGCAUAUUUAUGCGACUUAGUUAACUAGUUUUCUUGCAUUUACGUUAUUAGUUCUUAGUUAUUUUAGUACUUUAAGCCAUUUUCGUGUGUUUGUAGGUCCAAAGGGCUAAGGUAGCAAGAAAGUGCAUUUUGGUGCAUUUUGGAGCAGUUUUGAGCUCGGAAUGGAUUACAUAUGAUAUGAGCAAGAUGGAUGGACGAAUUUGAAGACAAAAGAGGCUAAGAACAUGCUAAAAAUCUGGUGAAACAAAUACAAGUUGCAAUAAGGGAUAAAUUUCUAGAAGGAUUGGCCAAAACUUCACUCAAAACACAUCAAUGCCGUGGCUUUUACUUCCACCUCCACCAGAAAUUUGAGUAAUGAUGCAAUGCUUAACUCACCAUGACAUGUGAGUGGAUGAUGCAAUGCUUAGCUCACCAUGACAUGUGAGUGGAUGAUGCAAUGCUUAGCUAACCAUGACAUGUGAGUGGAUGACUCAAUACCUAACCCACCAACAAUUCCCACUCUUUGCCAUGCUCACCUACUCAAUUCCACCAACAUUUUGUGUUAAACAAGUCCAUCCUCUUCCUAUAAAUACCAUGGCAUCAACCUCAUUCAAAUCAUCCAGAAAUUAACCAUUCUCCAAGCCUUUCCUUGCCUCUCCUACAUAUCUAAACCCCUUCCCAUCCAUUCCUCCAAAUAACCAACCCUUCAACAUCAUUCCAACCUUGUUGUUGCGGCAAAGAGAAGGAGAAAAGUCCUUAGACGCACUUGCUAUCCAACAUGGAUCGUUGGAACGUUUAGGUGCUUUCUUUCCUUUGUUUUUCAAUGUUUAAAUUUGUUUAUCUUUGUUUUGUAAUAAUGAGGAACUAAACCCCCCUUGGCUAGGGGGGAUUCGAAACCAUGUUAAUGCUUGCAAUAUGAUUUGAUUACUUUUAAUUGCGUUUCAUAAGUUAUGAAUUCGAUUUACUUAUCUAUUUGAUUGAUAACAUGUUUAUGUAUGUUGAUUAGGGAUGCAUACUUAGUUUGCAUGCAUAAAUAUGAUGCUAGAGUAUAAGGGAAUUUCACCUAAUCGUUAUGAACUUAUAUUCAUGAGUAGUAAAAGUCGCUAGUCACGAUUGUGUUAAGUAAAUCCUUGGCAUAAGUUUCAUGCAAAUCAUAGUAACGAGUGCCUCGUCAAUGCUUAUGUUUUUCAUAGAACUUAAUGAUUCUUGCUUGUAUCUCUAUUAUGCAAUUCAUGUAGGGAACUUGUAGGGAAUAUUUUGGGUUGUCGUAUGCAAUCAUCCAACCCAAUAACUUGUGGAAAAACUGAGGGUAAAUUAGUGCAAUUCACGGUUAAUUUGGGGCGUUGAGAAUUAAUAAGUUAUUGAAAUGCAAUUGGAAAUCAUUUUGUAUGCAAGCAAGACAUGUGUGGAGAAGAACCCCUUAGCUAGCCUUCCAUUAUCCAUUCAACCCAAAUUUGUUUAAAAUCUAUUUAAGUUUUUAGUUUAUUCGUUUUUACUUUCAACUUCACCAAACUCAAAUCCCCCUUUUACUUUCUUGUUUUAAAAUCUUUUGUUUACAUUUUUAACUUUGUUUUUAUGUUUUUAAAUUAGUUUUCAAGUGAUUUAGCAAUCCCUCCUAAUCCCCGGUUUAGAACGAUCCCUACUUACAUCUAUACUACAAUUGUCAAAAAGAGGGUUAAAUUUGUGUGCUUAUAUUAUUCGCAUCAAAUUUUUGGCGCCGUUGCCGGGGAUUAGCAACUUUGCUAAUCCCUUGGUUCUUUUCUUUUUGUUUAGUUUGUUUUUGUUUUAGUUUCUGACUUAGUUUUGUUUUCCUUGUUUUGUGUUACUUUUGAUAUUUGAGUUAUUUUUCUUUCUUUGAUUUUAGGUACAAAUGGAGCAAGACAUGGCACUUGCGACCAUUCAAGCUCAAUUGGCACAGCUCACUGCUCAAUUGACUCAUAAUGCCGAACGGACCACAAUGCCAAGUGUCCCUACAUUGAUGUGCCCUAUGGGCAAGGAUAUCAACAUCCUCAAUUCACUGUGAACGAAGAUGCUUGGGGUUAUCAAGGCUAUGAUCAACCAAGCAACAACAUGUUUUCCAACGCUUACAAUUCGGCUUGGAGAGAUCAUUCAAAUUAUAUGUGGGGGAAACCUCAACAAUUCCAACAAGAGGGAUAUUGGCAGCAAGAGGAGGAGUUCUAUUCAAAACCUAUGCAAUAUGCUUAAUCAAACUCAGGUUCGUCAAUAAAUUAUAAUCAAAUUCUUAAUGAAUUAAAUUGUUUGGUGCAGGGCUCACAAAAUCAAGCCAAGGAGGCUCAACAAGAUGCAUAUUGGCAGCCAUAUGAGGAGUUCUACACCACACCUAUACAGCCACCACUGCAUACCCCACAACAAUUCCAAUCAAAUUCAAGUAUGUCCAUGGAUAGUGAUCAAAUUCUUCAAGUACUAACCUCUUUGACGCAGGACCAACAAAAUCAAGACAAGAAGUUGGAUAAAUUGAAGAGUCAAAUGGGAGAGAUUAUGGAAUUCAUGGUACAAAUUCAAGAGCAAAGUGAACUCUCCAACUCAACUGUUGAAAAUUCGAAGGAAGAUUUUGAAAUCCACGAUGCUAUCACUUUGGGAAGUGCUAUGAAGGAUGAAGCUGUCCCAGAACCAUCCAAACACAGCCCGAACAUGGAUGAAUUGCUGCUGCAAGCAGAAGAGGAGGAGGACGACCUGGGCAGUUUAGAAGAAUUCUUGCUGCAAGCUCCUCAAAUCCCUAUAUCAUCCAACUCAGGUGAGGAAGUUUUAAAUCCACUUCAUUCUAACAUUAUUCCACCAAAUGUCCUUUUUCCUUGUAGGUUUUUUAUUCCAAAUAUCAAAGAGAGUGAAAAAGACAUUGUGGAAGCUCUUCCAAAGGUGCAAAGUGAUAUCCCAAUUCUUGGUGCACCAAAACAAGUUCCCGAUGGUAUUGAAACGUUCAAAGAACCUUGCACACCAAGAAAAGGGAUUCAAGAGAAUGAAGUGGUUGAAGCAUAUCAAGAAUACAUCCAAGAGGCUGUGCAUGAGACAAUCAAGCCCAAAGCAGUUGAGUUUGAUGACACGGGACAAGCCACAACCAUCAUAGUAAACCUGGCCAAGUUCAAAAUCCCAGAAAUGUUCAAAGAUGUGGUGUUUGUCAUUGAGUUUGUGUCGGAAAAAGAAAGUAAGCCAUCUUCUCCAAUUUUAAUUUUUAUUUAUACUAACAUUUUUCUGAUUUUGAUGAUUCAGGCACCCACUCUUGAAUUUAAACCAUUGCCGAAUCAUUUCAAGUAUCACCUCCCAUUAAAAGAUAAAUUCCAUGCUUUGGAGCCGAGGGGAGUUUAAAGGAAAGAUUCGUCCGGCUAAAGACGUUAAAUCAAGCGCUUCUUGGGAGGCAACCCAAGCAUUCAACGAAGGGAGACUUUUGGAAUCGCUAACCAAAAUCAGAUUUGAAUUCUUACACCCUUAUCUUUACUGCUUUCAUUUUGUUUUGUUUAGUUAGUUGUGUUAUUUGGUUAAUUUCUGUAAGUUUGUGUUAUUUAGUUUAAGUGUGGGGGAAGGUUAACCAAAGUCUUUCUACAUUAAUUUACAUAUAAUUUAAAAACAACAAAAAAAAAAAAAAAAAAAAAAAAAACAUAAGUAAAAAUAUUUUACAAUGAUGUGUAAACUAAUAGCAUUCAUUGGUCAGGUGGUGCUUCAGUAGUCGGCGGAGCUUCAGCAGUCGGCGGGGCCACAGAAGGAGGAGGCAACAGAGGUUGAUCAGUUGGAGCUUCACUACGCGAUGCCGCUCCAGAAGACGAAGGCAGAUGCUGUUGGAACAAACCCACAAACCUCCGAUGAUCAAGUAAAAUCUGACCAUCAGAUUCAUGUAUCUGGUCAAUUUUCCUCUUCAUGGUUGUGGCAUAGUUGUGUGCAAGCUUAUGCAAUUGUUUAUUUUCAUGCUUGAGUCCUUUAAUCUCCUCUUUGAGACUCUGUAUUUCAGCCACCAACGAUUCAACGUGACGGGUUCGGGCAAAUAGGCGUUGGGCCAUGUUGGACACGGAACCGGCACACUGCACGCUAAGAGCCAGAGACUCCUUAACCGCCAAUUCAUCAGACCGUCUAGCGAGCAGUUUGUUAUCUCUGGGGUGACAAGGUUCCGGGCCACCACCGCAGCGGUCAUGUCAUUUUUCAUCACCGAAUCCCCCACGGUAAGGGGACCGGUAGGGGAUAUGAAGGAUGGGCGCCAUAUGUUGUCUGGUGAAGGCGGAGCUGCCUCUUCACCAAUGUUCAAGUCAAAACGACGAUCGGAAGGGCCAGACAUUUUCUGAAGGUGUGAGAAAGAAGAGAUCGGACAGAUUAAGAUUUCGGAAGUGCAAGAAGGGAGUGUUUACAGGAGGGAGCUCAAGUGUGUUGUGGAACAAAAUUAGCGCCUCUAUAAAAAGAAGAAAUCAAAGAGGCGCUCCUCAGAAAUUGAAAAGGCGUCCUCUCGCAAAUCGAAGAGUCGGGGCUCCGUUCUCAAACGCCUGAUUCUUUUCUCAAAAGAGGAGUUUCCUUUCUCAAAAGCCGGAUUCUUUUCUCAAAAGAGGCGUUUCAUUUCUUAAAGGCUGGGCUUGCUCAGAAACCACGAGCCGAACCCCGGAUUUCAAAAGAUCAAUUUGUCCAGACGUGUCGUCACUUGUCACACGCAAAUUGCUUUGCGAAAAUCUCGGGCAGUUUGUCGAAGCACCAAUUCAGAAAUCGAAGAGGGAAAUUCAACAGUCAAAGACACGCUAGCUUUCUCAAAAGCUGGGCUUCAACCCACGGGCAAAUCUUCUUUUCCAGAUUUAUCCGCACGUGUCACAUGCUACCUCUACAAUCGACGAUGCUCAAAGCUCGAAGCGCCGAUUCCAGAUAUCAAUGAGGAAUCUGCUUUGCGGAAAUUACGGGCAGCUUUGUCAGAAAGCGCGUAAUUUGUACUAUUCAUCCAUCCACCGGCUGCCGACAAUGAGUGAGGGAAUAGUUCCGGUUGUGAAGAAAAGUCCCAUAAGUAUCUACCUUCGCCUUCCACAGCAAAGGCACACCCUCUCAGCACUUCUUCCUCUCUGAAAUGGCUUUCCAACAAACCCUCUCAAGUCACUCUGUAUUUUUCAUCCCCUGGGAUACCCCUGCAAACAACCCAUCCAAAGCAAAAGUAUUUCAUAUCAUGAAGGUUGAAAGCAAGAGUAUCUCAUAUCAUGCUUUCUCCCUGUCCUUUCUCCAGCCAGCACUUGCUCUCGAGUACUCAUCAUCUUAUGUUUCCUCUUCGUCUCUCACGUAUAAGGGAAGUGAAGAUGAUACCUCGAAGCAUGUGGAGACAACGUGCUGAUUCAUCCUCAGCUAGGGACAAGGAGAAAGAGAGCAAGAGGUGGGCACUUGGAAAGAUGAAGAAAGAAACAGACCAAUACCUCUACCUCGUGCCUGCCCGCCAUGCAGAGGAAACAAGCAGAGAAGAAUGCAGCUCGUACAAUCAUCCCAGCAGAAGGAGUCCGAGCUGAAGAACUAGAGAAGCUGCCACAUCUGCUUGGAGAACAAAUAAGGAACUGCAACAUCACCAAAGAGCAAAGCUUCGCCGUACAAUAUCAUCAAAUCAUCACUUGCAAGUAAAAAGCUAAGUGUCACCCUGUUCAAGAGGAAAGCUGUGGAAAGUCAACAAGCACGACCAAUGAUCACUUAUUAGUUCUAUUCAUUGUCUUUUAUCGUGAUUUUCAAUUUUUCGUUUGCAAUUUUUUUUAUAUUUUCUUGUGUUACUAAACUGAAUUAUUUCUUUUCUUUGCAGGAACUUUUGGUUAUUUCCACCCUUGAAGUUGAUUGCAGAAUUUUAGCUUGGGGGUCAUCGCUUGGUUUUAUUGCAAACUAGGGAAGUUUUCAGUCCAAUUGCUUUAUUUUGUUUCUUAUUAUUUAUUUAUUUUAUUUUUAUUUGCAUUAUAGUGUUUUCUGACAUUGGGGUAUAGAUUUCAUGGGUCCUUUCCCUCCAUCUUUUGGUUUCACUUAUAUCUUGCUAGCUGUUGAUUAUGUUUCCAAAUGGGUGGAAGCCAAAGCCACCCGGACUAACGAUUCAAAGGUUGUUGCAGAUUUUGUGAAAACUAAUAUCUUUGCUAGGUUUGGCAUGCCUAGAGUUCUCAUUAGUGAUGGAGGCAACCCAUGGAAAUAAAGAAGACCUAGGAAUUUCCGACUCCAAAACCAGGUGUUUGCGUUCUUUAACCCUCCUCUCUGUUGCUUUUACUUUGCCAUGUUUAUCAUGUUUCCUCGUUGUUUGUUUGUUUGCUUUUGUGUGAGUUUAUGUUUGAAACAUUGAGGACAAUGUUAGAUUUAAGUGUGGGGGGGUAAACAAGUUGCUGUUGCAUGAUUUUCGUGGGAUUUUAUUCACCUAUCACUUACAAUGUUGUUUCUUGCUGUUUUAAGUGUUUUUAGUGUGUUUUUAAGCAUGUUAGUAUGUUUUGACAUAAAAAUCCGAAAAUUUGACAAAAAUUUGAAAAAAAAAUUGUUUUGAAAAAGCCAAAAAGAGUUGUUUUUGUGUGUUUGUUUGUGUCUUAGGGUACCUUCCAACACAAAUAAUGAGGAUUUGGUUUUUAAUUGCAUGACUGCUAAAGAAAGUUAUAAACAUGGAUGGAAAGUUUGAUAUGCUCUUUGAUUUAUGCUUGGUUAUAGUUAUAGUUUACGAAUUCACAUGUAAUCACAAAGAAAAAAAAUCAGUUUUUGUAACAUGCUUGAAGGAAGGAACUCAAACUAACACUACAACCUUGAGAGACUUGAGCCUAAUACGUUCUUUGGAGAGUUACUAAUCUGUGCAUUUUUGUUUUCUAAAGUCGUUGCAUGAUCUCAUCAUUCUUUGCUUGGUUGCUACUUAGAAGGCGUUUCAUCAUUUAGUUCCAAAUACUAGAACUUAUGCCCGUUCCAUUCAAAGCAUGACAUUGAUUUGCAUAACACAUAUUCAAGAUGAAGUUGUGUAGUGAACUAGAGCCAAAAAGCUUAUCCGUGCAUAUUUUUGUUUAAGUUUAACCCCGUUGAGCCUUGUUUAGCCUGUUUUCUUUGUUAAACCCACAUUUCCCUUACCUAGCCUAGAUUAGGACUAUCCAUACCCUUGUUUUUUUAAAGCAUAGUGAAGCAUGACUUAAAAUGAAUUCCUUUUGAUUGUCCUUAUGCAGAAACAAGUGUGGGGGAAUGAGAUUUUUUGUGUUUGUGUGCCAAAAGAAAGUAAUAAGGCACGGGUUAGAAAAAGAAAAAGAAAAAAAAAAAAAAAAAGAAAAGAAAAAAGAGUUUGAAAUAAGUGAGGAAAGGCUCACAAGUGUUUGUUUGUAGUUGAAAUCGGCCCUAAAAAGUUGAAUGAAUAACCCCAUUGUGUUUAAAGUUAGUUGCUGCAUUCAAAGGAAUUCUAAGCAUCAAUUUCAUUACUUUGCUUAUUAUGCUUUAAAAACGUUUGUUUCCUUACCUUUCAUUGUUAGCCAAUCACCCCUAACCCCGUUACAACCCUUAACUUCAAUCUUGAGUGUUAUGUGUUUCAAUAUGUGGAGUUUGGGAUUGGUACGAGCAUAUGGUGUCCCUGGUUCUCGCAUCUAAGUAGUAGCAUUCCAGUCAUGAGAUCAUAUCUAUACAUGCUUAAUAACUCCAGAAAUUGCUUUCUUUGCUAUAAACAUAUGUGAGUGUUCGUUUUCAUGUUUACAUCAAUCUUCUCACAUACAUCUAUAGUGUAGGGUAAAUAGUCAGAAAAAUCAGAGUGAAAAUAAGAGUGUAUCUUGUAAGGAAUUGAGCAAAUUCUCUAAGGCAUGUUACUACAUUCAAAACAUCGUUUUAAUUGGUUAUAUGUGAACUAGUAUGUGGUGACUUUGAUUAAGUAUGUGCUCAAGGGUAGGGAAGGCAAAAAUCUGUGGUUAUGAUGAUCUUUUGCAUGUCAUGUUGCAUUGAAAAUCCCUAAGGUAAUUGUUGGAAGGUUUAGGUUUUGUUUUGUUCUUAUGUUUUGUUUCUUUGUUUUGCUCGAGGACUAGCAAAAGCUAAGUGUGGGGGAAUUUGAUAGACGCAUAUUUAUGCGACUUAGUUAACUAGUUUUCUUGCAUUUACGUUAUUAGUUCUUAGUUAUUUUAGUACUUUAAGCCAUUUUCGUGUGUUUGUAGGUCCAAAGGGCUAAGGUAGCAAGAAAGUGCAUUUUGGUGCAUUUUGGAGCAGUUUUGAGCUUGGAAUGGAUUACAUAUGAUAUGAGCAAGAUGGAUGGACGAAUUUGAAGACAAAAGAGGCUAAGAACAUGCUAAAAAUCUGGUGAAACAAAUACAAGUUGCAAGAAGGGAUAAAUUUCUAGAAGGAUUGGCCAAAACUUCACUCAAAACACAUCAAUGUUGUGGCUUUUACUUCCACCUCCACCAGAAAUUUGAGUAAUGAUGCAAUGCUUAACUCACCAUGACAUGUGAGUGGAUGAUGCAAUGCUUAGCUCACCAUGACAUGUGAGUGGAUGAUGCAAUGCUUAGCUAACCAUGACAUGUGAGUGGAUGACUCAAUACCUAACCCACCAACAAUUCCCACUCUUUGCCAUGCUCACCUACUCAAUUCCACCAACAUUUUUGUGUUAAACAAGUCCAUCCUCUUCCUAUAAAUACCAUGGCAUCAACCUCAUUCAAAUCAUCCAGAAAUUAACCAUUCUCCAAGCCUUUCCUUGCCUCUCCUACAUAUCUAAACCCCUUCCCAUCCAUUCCUCCAAAAUAACCAACCCUUCAACAUCAUUCCAACCUUGUUGUUGCGGCAAAGAGAAGGAGAAAAGUCCUUAGACGCACUUGCUAUCCAACAUAGAUCGUUGGAACGUUUAGGUGCUUUCUUUCCUUUGUUUUUCAAUGUUUAAAAUUUGUUUAUCUUUGUUUUGUAAUAAUGAGGAACUAAACCCCCCUUGGCUAGGGGGGAUUCGAAAACCAUGUUAAUGCUUGCAAUAUGAUUUGAUUACUUUUAAUUGCGUUUCAUAAGUUAUGAAUUCGAUUUACUUAUCUAUUUGAUUGAUAACAUGUUUAUGUAUGUUGAUUAGGGAUGCAUACUUAGUUUGCAUGCAUAAAUAUGAUGCUAGAGUAUAAGGGAAUUUCACCUAAUCGUUAUGAACUUAUAUUCAUGAGUAGUAAAAGUCGCUAGUCACGAUUGUGUUAAGUAAAUCCUUGGCAUAAGUUUCAUGCAAAUCAUAGUAACGAGUGCCUCGUCAAUGCUUAUGUUUUUCAUAGAACUUAAUGAUUCUUGCUUGUAUCUCUAUUAUGCAAUUCAUGUAGGGAACUUGUAGGGAAUAUUUUGGGUUGUCGUAUGCAAUCAUCCAACCCAAUAACUUGUGGAAAAACUGAGGGUAAAUUAGUGCAAUUCACGGUUAAUUUGGGGCGUUGAGAAUUAAUAAGUUAUUGAAAUGCAAUUGGAAAUCAUUUUGUAUGCAAGCAAGACAUGUGUGGAGAAGAACCCCUUAGCUAGCCUUCCAUUAUCCAUUCAACCCAAAUUUGUUUAAAAUCUAUUUAAGUUUUUAGUUUAUUCGUUUUUACUUUCAACUUCACCAAACUCAAAUCCCCCUUUUACUUUCUUGUUUUAAAAUCUUUUGUUUACAUUUUUAACUUUGUUUUUAUGUUUUUAAAUUAGUUUUCAAGUGAUUUAGCAAUCCCUCCUAAUCCCCGGUUUAGAACGAUCCCUACUUACAUCUAUACUACAAUUGUCAAAAAGAGGGUUAAAUUUGUGUGCUUAUAUUAUUCGCAUCCAGAGUUUAAAAAUACAAAUUCCAUAUUGAAUUUCAUUGUUCUUUUAGGUUAACCAAACAAGAAAAUUUACAAAUUCUAAAAAAUAAAAUCUCGUCCCUUCAAUUUCUGUCAUUUUAAAAUUCCUUGGUAAUCUUAAACUUCUUCAUCCAAACAUAGUGUUAGUUUGGUACAAAUUUAUGGAAGCCAAAUCUACCAAGUUUGAGAUCCGGACCGUUGAAAUUUGAUCCAAUGUCUAUAGUUGUUAUAACUUUCAUUAGUUUUCCUUAAAUAAUUUUACAUUAAGAUCAUUUCAAAGUGAGUGGCUAACCCUAAAAGGUUCAGUUGAACCUUGUCAAACACAUAGAUACAUACAAGGUAACCUGUAACAUCUUUGGUUCGGCUAACUUUUGUUUUUUAUUUUUUAUUGUUGAAGUCAGUUGAAGUUAUCACAUGUUCGUCUACGGCUUGUGUCCACCAAAAAAAAAAAAAAAAAACCCACGCAAAUUCCCAAAUUCCAAUUCCAAACCAAACAAUUGUACAAAAAAUUGGCCGAUGUAAUUCGGUAUGUACCAGAUAACGGUAAUAAAUAUAUAUACAGAGAGCUUAAGGGGAGGGAUCCCCAUUUUUUGAAAAAAAUGGGGAUUAGGUGUGGGGCCCACUUCACAUUAAAUUUCAACGAUCCGAACCGUCUAUUUUGUUAGUCUCGAUUCAUAGAUCAUCCUGCAAAAUAUUAGCUAAAUUGGAAAUGUUUAAGACAUCUAAUUGGGUUCAAGGAAAUGAACGAAUACUUUGUUAUAUAAGAAAAUAUGAAAUUUGAUAUUGAUAAUUAAAUAGGCAAAUGGUUUCGGAUUGAAUUGAAUUUUUGCAAGGAUGAUCUAUGAAUCGAGACUAACAAAAUAGACGGUUCGGAUCGUUGAAAUUUGAUGUGAAGUGGGCCCCAUACCUAAUCCCCAUUUUUUGGGAUCCCUCCCCUUAAGCUCUCUAUGUAUAUAUAUAUAUAUAUAUAUAUAUAUAUAUAUAUCUAUGACAACUACAUUAACACAUACAAUCCAUCAUUCUCAUCAAACAAAAAACUGAAGCAAAAAACCAUCAGCCUUUUAAGAAAAUUAACCUACAAUUUCCACCCCCACCCACCCCAAAAAAACUGCAAUAACAAAAUUACCCCUACAAUUUUCACUCCUGUCCGUCCGAUUUGGAAUUUAGACAUGCAAAAAAGUAAUUUUGCUUGCAGGUCUUUAGGCCUCCGAAUGGGCCAUUUCAGCUACACCCUAAUCCAAGCCGAAGGCCACAUUGGGCAUAAAAUCAGCAAUCCAAAACAGAACGAUGGCAGUACCGUAGUUAAUUGAUCGAGGCCCCAUUCCAUAUGCAACAUGAAUGUAUACGACUCUGCAAGAAACAAUGUGUUGUUAAAUGUGGUCAGUCCUCGCCUUUUUUAUGAACACAAGAAACAGUAAUGAAUUACGAUGGCAGUACCGUAGUUAAUUGAUCGAGGCCACAUUUGAGAUCCAACAAAUAAGAAGUUUGCUUUUUGGUUUUACCUUUUAAAUUUGUGUAUGUUCUAGUUGUAUUUGUAAAAGUUUAUUGUGUAUCUUCUGAAUUACGAAAAUCUUGACUUCUGAAUUACGAUAUGUUUUAUCAUCUGGCCAUUCAAUUUUAAACUCAUCAUAUCCAGUACCACAACACCUAAUGAUUUAUUUUUCACCUCAAUUUAUAAGAGAGCAAACCAGCGUUUUUUGUUUCAGAAUUUCCUCACCAACUUUUAUGUCUGAGAUCGCACCAAAAGGCAAAAGCCAACCCUCUCAGGUAACAAGAAGAAAUGAAAAACUCAACCGCUUUUACAAAAUCAGCAAACUACGGUUCAAUCAAUAUUCUCACUUUCAUGUCAGAGCACAAUGAAAUACUCAUCUGCUUUUACAAGAGUUGAGUCACUCGCCCAAUUUCAACUGGUUUUAGGAUGAACCUCAACUACAAUUAUAGGACAAAAACUUCUAUCAUUUAAGACUUUAAAUUGACAAAUACGAAGUAUCGAUCGUGAUGAUUAGGUCUUCCAUAUUAACACUUAACUACUAAAAGAGAGGAUUAACACUUAAUAGGAAUUGAAUUGGGCGUGUUCAGUUACCCCAAUAAAUUCUCCACAGAGCAGACUAAAAUAGGAGUAACAUGUAGCUUGCAGAUAUGCCUAGACUACUUCAAAGUGAAUUAGAGUCGAUCUAAUCAUAAACCUGAGUAAUGCACUGAAAAUUUCUGGUUUGGAAUCUCUGACGCUCAGAGAAUAAGCAAAAUGCAUGCAACAAAGCCUCCAUUGUUAAACCUGAAAAAACAACAGUAUGUCAAGUUAUUCUUUUCAUUGGAAUCCUUGGUAAACAUAAUUCUUUCAAAAAGAUUGGACGCAAAUGCCAAUAUCUUACAGAUUUGUAAUGUCAUAUUGUGAACUAGCACCCAACAAAAUAUUUACAUGUAUAUUGCGUAGUAUUUCCAAAUGCUUACCAAUUGGUAGCAUUAGCUAUUAGAUUGCAGUGUAAACCUCCUUCUGAAUGAACGAAGCCGAGUGAUAUCUCCCACAAAUGUGAAGAACUUGUUGGAAUCAAUGCUUUUCUCUGAAGCUUUAGCCCUUACCAAAGACAAAAUCUUCGAUUAAUGACUCAAGUCCACUUAAAACAAGUCUAGAAUUUCCAAGCUUAUUCCUAAAUUCUAUAACUUUCUCAACAAUAAUAUCAGAUGCCUUUGCAAGGUCAAAUUGAAAAUCUGCUGUUGAAACGGAAGGAAAUGCCAGAGCGGAAGCAUCAUUUAGAGAACCAUCACCGCCAACAGAGCCUACAACUAGCUCUUCACCUACCUUUGAUUCCUUACCAGAUUUUUCAGAAAGUAAACGUGUUCCUUUCAAAGAGGUUUCCUUUUCUUCAGUAAUUUGAGAAGCAUUAGAAUCCGGUACACUCUUCAAAGUUGAUUCAGUAUUGGCAGGACCAUCUGUUUUCUUUAAGAACUUCUUUAUACCUAGUUGAAUUUUUGCACCGGGGUUCUUCCGACCAGAAUAACCAUUGGGAGAUGUAUAUAACGGACCAAGUCCACUAUAUGCAUCAACGGAAGAUUGAACAUCACUCUCACUCUGGCAACAAGUAAUUCUAGCAAACCCUUCACUCUUCUUUCUUCUGCAGCAUUCUAUUCACAAUCGCCACAGCUUUCCUGCCUUGCACGUUUCCUUCAUGGCUCGUUAGAUUCUUUAGUGUGACCAGUACACGGGAUGAUACACCACAUGUCACUAAACAAAUGGUGAGAUAUGUGUGCUACAAAGUUAAAAAUUUAAAAAAAAAAAUUCUCACCAUUCCUAUUAAAACAUGUGGUGUAUCACUUGUGUUCCCGUCACAACUAAAAAUUUCUCGUAAUAUACAAAGCUUGGCAGGAAGAUCAAGCACCACAGCAUGAACAUCAACUUGGGAACUACCACCAAGCUUCACAAAAUCAUCCCAUUUUUUCUUUCUCCACAUUACACCUAUCUAUAAACACACACUACCCAUCCUUCAACGCAUUCAUUGCACUAUCUAUACACUGCCCUUUCGUUCCGGCUUUACCAUUUUUGAUAGUAUCCUACAAAAACAUAAAAUAUGAACAUAUAACAGCAUAAAACAAGAACCCAAAUGAAUAGAAAUCCGGAGUACCAUACUACGUACUGAAAAUGGCAAUCUUGAGCCCACUGCGACAUUUCAUCGAACACACUGUGUGCACAGAGAUAUACCUGGCAAAUGCGAACCAAAGGGCGAGUGGAGCGCAUCACAUGUUCGCAGAAGGUAGACUUGCCGCUUCCAGGCGCACCCACCAAUAUUACUACGACAGGCUUUCCUUGUUUUUCUUCCCCCGUCAGAAGGGCGUACAGGUUUUAUGAUCACCGAAGGAGAUGACGACUGAGAAUGGUAAAACGCGGCGUUUUGGAGAAAGGGCAUACCUUUGGCUGUUUCGUCGAUAUCCAUGUCCAUGUUUCGGAAGACUCUGCGAGGUACUUUUGAAUUAACGGCGAAAAAGCAACGGUUUCUUCGUCCGCUGGGCUGGAAGCCCGAAGCUUCUAUUGCCGGUGCCUGGUGCUUGCGUAAUGGGACACAUGUCCACAUCGUCGACCCGAAAAUUGACAAAAUCCGAUUCGAUUUGGAUUUUAUCCAUAUAUUAACCUCUUCGCAAACACCCACGUGUAAACAAAAAGUAUUUUCUAAUCACAAUCCUUACGCGCCCGUUAAAGAUGGGUUUGCUUUAAUUAUUUUUCUAAUUGUUUAACAUCGUUAUUUCAUAAGAAAUUUGUGAGGACCUUUCCUUAUCAUGUUAGGCAUCAAAAUUUUCUUAUCCUUUUCUUUUUCAACUGUCUUUUUGUGAUAAUUUUUUCUAUAAUUGUGUUAAGCCUUCUGUAUUCCGGUAACCUACAACAUGUUAAAUCUAUAGAAAUUAUAAACUUGAUAAUUACGUUCAUAGCAAAAAGGCCUAUACAUACAAUCGUGUUUACUUGAUGUAUAAGUAAGGAUCUCUUCAAAUUAUGAAUACAGUCAUAACUAGAUUACAAUAUUAAUUGCUAACCCUUAAGAGAGACGAUUUCCUUGGACAAAACUCAUUCUCUUAAUAUAAAAUAAAAGAAAAAAAGUGCAAGGAAUGAAAAAGAAUAUGGAGUUAGAGUUACUUUGACACCAUCUACAGAGAGUGCAAGGCCAUUCAGAAAUGUAUUCCUUCAGACCUGUCUCCAGAACUAUGACGUCAUACUCUUCAUCCAUGCAAUCCAGCAGAGAAACCGGAUGAAUAUAGCGAGUAUUGUGUAAAGAUGGAUAUAACCUGUAUAAUAUCCAGUAAAGAUAGUUACACUGUGUUUGGAUGAUAGAAAUAAACUUGAAAUUUAAGGAAAAGUCGGAAUUUAUAAAUUGACAUACACCAAUUCCCUUGUUUGGAUUCAUAAACAUAGAAAUUUAGAAUUUUCAUGUGGAAAAAAAACUUGGAUUUUGGGACCUUCAAUUCCUAAGUUUAAAUUCCAUGUAAAUACGUGUCAUUUCCCAAUUUCUAUGAUUGAGAGUUUAAAAAUAACAAAUUCCGUAUUGAAUUUCAUUGUUCUUUUAGGUUAACCAAAUAAGAGAAUUUACAAAUUCUAAAAAAUAAAAUCCCGUCAUUUUAAUUUCUGUCAUUUUAAAAUUUCUUAGUAAUCUUAAACUUCUUCAUCCAAACAUAGUGUUAGUUUGGUACAAAUUUAUGGAAAGCCAAAUCUACCAAGUUCGAGAUCCGGACCGUUGAAAUUUGAUCCAAUGUCUACAGUUAUUAUAACUUUCGUUAGUUUUCCUUAAAUAAUUUUGCAUUAAGAUCAUUUCAAAGUGAGUUGCUAACCCUAAAAGGUUCAGUUGAACCUUGUCAAACACAUAGAUACAUACAAGGUAACCUGUAACAUCUUUGGUUCGGCUAACUUUUGUUUUUUAAUUUUGUUUUUUUUUUUUUUUUUUGUUGAAGUCAGUUGAAGUUAUCACAUGUUCGUCUACGGCUUGUGUCCACAAACAAAAAAAAAAAAAAAAAACCCACACAAAUUCCCAAAUUCCAAUUCCAAACCAAACAAUUGCACAAAAAAUUGGCCAAUGUAAUUCGGUAUGUACCAGAUAACGGUAAUAUAUAUCUAUGACAACUACAUUAACAUAUACAUUCCAUCAUUCUCAUCAAACAAAAAACUGAAGCAAAAAACCAUAAGCCUUUUAAGAAAAUUAACCUACAAUUUCCACCCACCCCAAAAAAACUGCAAUAACAAAAUUACCCCUACAAUUUUCACUCCUGUCCGUCGGAUUUGGAAUUUAGACAUGCAAAAAAGUAAUUUUGCUUGCAGGCCUUUAGGCCUUUGAAUGGGCCAUUUCAGCUACACCCUAAUCCAAGCCGAAGGCCACAUUGGGCAUAAAAUCAACAAUCCAAAACAGAACGAUGGCAGUACCGUAGUUAAUUGAUCGAGGCCCCAUUCCAUAUGCAACAUGAAUGUAUACGACUCUGCAAGAAACAAUGUGUUGUUAAAUGCUCAGUGCACCAAAAGCCACUACCUAACAAUCUUCAUAUAUUUCAUAACAACCUCCUUCUGAUACAAGCUGGCUAUUUGUAGUCGGUUCUCUACUAACCACCUAACUAACCAACUACUUACACAAGUAUCAAUCAAAAGAUGACACCUGUCCGAGCAUCCUAACAAUACCCCCCCUUAAAACUGAUCUUACAGAUCACAUACGAAAUUCUGCAGAAAAUUUACAACACAAAACUCAAACAAUUUGCACACACAGAGAAAUACAACACAAAUUCAAAGAUCAACAAUUUUCGGGAAACUUGAUCUUCAAUUCAUAGUAAUUCUCCCAAGUAGCAUCCUCUGUGGAGUGAUUCUGCCAUUGCACCAGAACUUCGGUCACUGCAGAGUUGCCUUUCUUUACCAUUCUUCUAUCACAAAUCCGAAUGGGAACAUCUUGCAAUAUACCAGCAUCCGUAAUACCUGGCAACGGCACUGUGGUUUGCACAUCUUCUCCCAAAUGCUUUUUUAAACAGGACACAUGGAACACCGGAUGCAACUUAGAGUGAUCUGGAAGUUUGAUCUUAUAAACUACAUUGCCGAUUUGAGCUAAAACUUGGAAUGGCCCAUAGAAACGAGGUUGAAGCUUGUGAAAAGGAUGUGCUGCCAAGGAACUAAAGGGAAAAUACAACGUUGUAAUUAUAUUACAGGACCAUUACUCAAUGUUGGUAAUUUGCUAGGCAAUUUAAUAAUACAUUGUGUUUGGAAGACAGCCAAACUACAGGAAAGUGAUCUCCAAUAUUAUUUUAUAUAUUUUUAUAUAUAUAAUUUUUUUUAAUAAAUAAUAUUAUCUAAACUAAUAAAUUAAUAAUAACAUGGUUCAAAUUGAUAAAAAAUAAUCUUGAGAUCCUGAAUAUUUCUCAUUGAGAGUGGCUAUUAUGGGAAAAUUCCCAUUGAGAUUUCACGCUUGACAAGGUUGGUUGUCCUAGAUAUAUCUCUAUCUGAAUAUCCGAGGGACACCACCCUUGAGAGCCCGAACUUAAGCAUGCUCUUUCUGAACCUCACAGAGAUUUGUGAGCUCUAUCUUGAUGGGAUAAAUAUAUCAGCACAGGGAACUCAGUGGUGCCAAGCAUUAUCAUCUUCACUCCUACACCUGAGGGUGUUGAGCAUGUCUGGAAGCCAGCUCUCAGGUCCUUUUUGUCAGUCCUUCGCAAAACUUCAGUCUCUCUCGGUGAUUCAAUUGGAUAAUAAUGACAUCUCCGGUCCAAUUCCAGGAUUCUUCGCCAAGUUUACAAAUCUGACAGUGUUGAGCUUGAAUAAUAACAACAUUGCUGCUAUGGUUCCAAGAUUGUUUGCCAACUUUUCAAAGUUGACUGCUUUGAGUCUUCAAAAUUGCAAUCUUAAUGGAACAUUACCCAAAGAGAUCUUCCAGGUACCUACUUUACAAACUGUUGACCUUUCGCAUAAUCUACAGCUUCAUGGUUCCCUGCCUGAAUUUCCUGAGAAUGCAUCUCUUCAAUUUUUGGACCUAAGCUUCACAAAAGUUUCAGGGUUAUUGCCGGACUCUAUCGGCAACCUCAAAAUGUUGUCCUUUUUAAAUCUUUUCAAUUGCAGUUUCAGUGGAUCAAUCCCAAAGUCCAUGGCAAGCCUAACAGAAUUGGUUUAUUUGGACAUGUCAUCAAAUAUGUUUAAUGGUUCGAUUGAUUCCAUUUACUGGGGAAACCAUGUUAGUCUCCAAUCUUUAUUUUUGGAGUCAAAUUUACUCACUGGUACUAUCCCGUCAUCUAUCUUUUCUCCUCCCCCUUUGCUGGUACUGACACUUUCCCACAACCGAUUCUCUGGUCAACUCCAUGAAUGUUCUAAUGUCUCGUCCCAGUUAUCUUUGCUAGAUUUGAGUUCCAACAAUUUGGAAGGACCAAUACCUGCCUCUAUAUCUAAUUUUCAAGAGCUUGCAUAUCUUCGUCUUUCUUCAAACCAUUUCAAUUCGUUUCCUUCCAAUGGUCAUCCUUGUCAAUUUGAAGAGUUGUAUUUGGCUUUUAACAAUUUGAGAGCAGUCCCAGAUAUCUUGAGAUAUCAAACCAGCAUAAGAAGAUUGGACCUUUCAGGUAACCAGAUUCAAAAAGUACCCAAUUGGUUUUGGAGCCUCCAUUUGCUCGAUUACCUAAAUCUUUCUUCCAACUACUUGGUAACUCUAGCAGUUCCUUUUAACUAUACAAAGGAAUUCUCCACACUUGACCUUCAUUCUAACCAACUCAAGGGGUCCAUCCCACUAUUGCAUGCCAAUUAUCUGGAUUACUCAAGCAAUCAUUUCACUUCUAUACCGACUAACAUUGGUGAUUUCCUCAAUCCCUCCACUAAGUUCUUAUCUAUUUCGAGCAAUGAUUUGCAUGGGCUCAUUCCAUCAUCAAUAUGCAAUGUAAUUCCUUUGGUAAUUCUUGAUUUGUCCAUUAUUUCUCUGAGUGGUACGAUUCCCCAAUGCUUGUCUGCUAUGAGCCACCUUGAAGUGCUUAACUUGAGGCGAAACAAUCUUACUGGAAGUAUUUCUGAUUUCAAAUUUUUUGAAGAUUGUGACUUGGUGUCUCUAGAACUCAAUCAGAAUCAAUUACAUGGUCAAUUUCCAAAGUCUCUAGCCAAAUGCAGUAACUUACAGGUUGUAAACCUCGGAAACAACUAGAUAACAGAUACCUUUACAUGCUUGUUGAGGAACAUCCCACCUUGCGUGUCCUUAGUUUGCGGUCCAACAAACUUUAUGGACGCAUUGGAUGUCCCGACGAGAGCUAUGGAACGUGGCCAGUGCUACAAAUCAUAGACGUAGCUCACAACAAUUUUCAUGGAGAAAUACCAGGAAGGUAUUUGAAAACCUGGCAGGCAAUGAUAAAUAACGAAGGUGAUGACCCGUCAGCAGUCCACGAGCUUUAUUCUGAAGAUAGUAGUUUGAAUGGUUAUCAUCAGACAAUAACAGUCAUAAGGAAAGGUUUUGAAGUCGAACUGGUAAAGAUUCUAACUAUCUUCACCACCAUUGACUUCUCUUGCAACAAUUUUAGCGGACCAAUUCCUAAGGAAAUGGGAGAAUUCAAAUCACUAUAUUUCCUCAACUUGUCAAGUAAUGCUUUUACUGGUGAAAUCCCAUCGUCAUUUGGCAAAAUGAGACAACUCGAGACCUUAGACCUGUCGCAAAACAAGCUGAGGGGGAAUAUUCCAUUGCAGUUGGCAAACCUUACUUUCCUUUCAUUCUUGAACCUCUCAAAUAAUCAAUUGGUUGGCAGGAUCCCAACCGGUCCUCAGUUUUCAACAUUUACAAGUGCAUCAUUUACAGGUAACAAAGGAUUAUGGGGGCCUCCUUUAACAGUAGAUAGCUUGUCACCACCACCAACAUUGACUGGGAGUGUUCCGAGUUCUGGAAAUGAGAUUGAUUGGGGUCUUAUCAAUGUUGAAAUUGGAUUUGUAUAUGGCUUUGGAGUUGCAGUCGGGUCACUUGUAUUAUGCAAGAGAUGGAGUAAAUGGUAUUACAAAACAAUGUAUAAAAUCUUUGUAAAGAUAUUCCCUCAUCUUGAAGAUAGAAUUGGUCCUCACCGAAGACAUGUCCACAUAAAUCAAAGGUUGGGACGCUGAAAUUAACGAUCAUGGCGACCAAUGCAGCUGGAUUUCAAGCUAUGCCUGGGAAAUUUGAGAUCCAACAAAUAAGAAGUUUGCUUUUUGGUUUUACCUUAUAAUUUAUGUAUGUUCUAGUUAUAUUUGUAAUAGUUUAUUGUGUAUCUUUAUGCUUUGUUUUCAAUAAAUUUGCUUGUACUGUCGAUGUUCCUAAAGUUAGCGUAAUCUGAUAAGCCCAAAAGAGAGUACCACAUGUUGUUAUGUAUUAUUUGUUCAAACUGGGUAGUAACAUGUCAAGACCAACUCCAUCCAUCAUAAUAUUCUAAAAAAGAAUAUCUUGACUUUGAAUUGCGAUAUGUUUUUAACAUUCUGCCAUUAAUUCAACUCUAAACUCAUCAUAUCUAGUAUACAACACCCAAUGUUUUGUUUUUCACCUCAAUUUGUAACAGAACAAACUCGCUCUUCUUGUUUCAGGAUUUCCUCACCAACUUUUAUGUCUGAGAUUGCAUCAAAAGGCAAAAACCAACCCUCUUAGGUAACAAAUAGAAAUGAAAAACUCAAAUGCUUUUACAAAAAUCAGCGAACUACUGUUCAAGCAGUAUUCUCCCUUUGAUGCCUGAGCAUUGUUCUAAAAAUCCCCGCCUAGGCGUUAGGCGGCUGGCCAUUGCCCCGAUUAAUGCCUAGGCGGAUGAGGCACCCGAACCCACCCAUAUUUGCCUAGGCACCUGCCUAGGUUGCGACUCACUUAGACAGAAAAUAAAUAACUUUCGAUUUGCAUUUAUUUAUUUUUUCGAUAAAUUGUAAGAGACUUAUUGAAUACUAGCACACACUCGAUGCUUGUUUCCCAUGUUUUCAUUAUGUUCCGAUACUUCAUAAUACAUAUGUCAUUCUAUUUUGUAGUUGAUGAUGAAAUUAUAUUUAUUAAGUAUAAACAAACACUUAUUUACACGAAAUAUAAUGGAUUUACUUAAAUCCGCCUAGGCACCCGCCUAGCCACCUAGGCGCUAGGCCUCAGCCCGCCACCCGACUAGCGCCUAAUGUCUUUUAGAACCUUGUGCCUGAGCACAACGGAAAGUUAAGAAACCCUACAAGGGCUUACAAGAGUUAAUCACUCGCCCUAUUGUUAACUGGUUUUACAAUGAACAUCAACUUCAAUUUUAGGACAAUCUCUAACUUGUAUUUUAAGACUUUUAGCUGACAAAGGCGAAGUAUCUAUCGCGAUGAUUAGGUCUUCCCUAUUAACUCUUAACUACUAAAAGAGAGGGUUAACACUUAACUACUAAAGGAUUUGAAUUGGGUUUGUUCCUCUGUGAGAGACUUAAUUGAAGGAAGUUACCCCGAUAAAUCCUCCACCAUAUCAUAGUUACAUACAACAUGAGCAUACACAAACCGUUCUGUUUUUCUUCCACCUAUAAUGGUAUUUGUAUUUGGUCGACUAUAUAUUGGCUUAGUCAGUCAAAAACUAAUAUAGGAGAAACAUGUAGAUUGCAGAUAUGCCUAGACUACUUCAAAGUCAAUCAAAUCAUAAACCUGAGUAAUGCAUGUAAGGUGGACUAAUACAACAUGGUUCUAGGAUAACAAUUUAACAUGCAUCAAGAUAAUUACAAGAAGAAGAUGCAUGAUACUAACCUGCACCGAUUGGAGACAUGGUGGCUUGAGUUCACAGGUUGUCUUCUACUUCCAGUACUUCAAAAUGUCUCUCUACCGUGAAUAGGGUUUGGCGUGAUUGAGAGUAUAAGCGUAUGGAAGCAGGGACUUAACCAUAAUAUUUAUAUCAUUAGGGUUUAAUCACAACCAACCUAUUAUUGGUUGUGAAAGUCAAACCCUAUCACUUAAGUGUUUAAGUCCCACCAUGAUACUGUAUCUUUGUAGUGAAAUCCAUCAGAUUUCUUUUAGGUCAAUUGCAAAGGCUAAGACUCCAUAAUCCUUAUUUCAUUUGGACUAUCAGAUUACUUAAUUUGUUAACAACUCAAUAAACAAGUGGUCUACAACAUAAGUAAUCCAAUACAUCAUUCAUUGUCAUUCACAACCUUACAAUGCACUGAAGAUUUCUGCUCUGGAAUCUCUGACGCUCAGGGAAUAAGCAAAAAGCAUGCAACAAAGCCUCCAAUGUUAAACCUGAAAUAACAACAGUAUAUCAAGUUUAAUUUUCUUUUCACUGGAAAUCAUACAAAAGAAUCAAGCAAGCCCACCGAACCAAUGUUUAGUAUAGUUGUAGCUAGGCACUGACUCAUUCAAGUGUGUUUAUAUGGAAGCUAAUCUAAAUUAUUUGUUCAAUUUAUCUGGUUAGUAACAUGUCCAGACCAACUCCAUGCAUCAUAAUAUUCUUCAACUGAAUCUGGACUCGUUCGAUGUAUUAUAUGGAAGUCAGCAAAAUUAUGGAGAUGAGAUUGAUUGGGAUCUUAUCAGUGUCGAAAUUGGAUUUGCAUUUGGGUUUGGAAUUGUUGUCGGGUCAUUGUUUUGUGAAAAAGAUGGAGUAAACGGUAGUGUGAGCUUGAUCUGUUACAAUUUUAUAAUUUGAUGUCGAAAGUUUUUAAAAGGUAGAAAAGAACGACAUAUUCAGGAUCAAAUUUUUCAUAAUGUUUUUUAAUCUUCUUUUCGAUACAAGAAUCAGCAUUACUCACUAUCGAAAUGAUAUAUUCUUGAACAAAUUUUCAAAAGUACGGAAUUUGACACAUAAAAUACAAAUCAUAAAACUAAAAUGGUGCUCAACAGAAGACAGAAUUAAACAAAAAAGGUGAUACAAGCAACAUUAAAUUAAACAGUUUUACUUAAUCGAGCUUCAUUUGACUGACUCUUCGCUUUUUCUUUUUUUUUAGGCCUUGGUUCUUAGCUUUUGCUUUUGUGGUUCUCCUCUUUGUUUGCAUUGCUGAUAUCAUGAACAUUUACUCUGUUUUAGCUUUGAUUUUUCUGGACGAAGACUUCCUAGUCAAGCUAAACAACGACAAAUCUAAUGGAGAUAUUUUCCCCAACAUUAAAGCCGGCACCGCAUCAAUACAAGCUGAGCGGGGAAAUCCCUUCGUAUCGUGGUGAGCAAUAUUAUUUUUCCAUCACUAAUCACAUUAAAAUAAUAAUAUGUCCUUUUCCAAAAAUUGACUUCCAAUUCAAGAUGCACGACUUAACAAUGAUUUCACAUUAUAAAAUUAGGUAAUGUUUAUGUUACGUAACGAUUCAUUUGUGUUGUUGUAUACUAGAGGGGAUCAGUCAAGGGAUAAACUAUCAUACGGCUUCGUGAACUUUGUCAAAUUGCAAUGGAGUUGAAUCUCCUUAAAAAGAGUGAGAUACACGUGUCUCAACCUAAUAGUUUACGUGCUUCUUAGAAAAAUAUUACAAUUUUCUUGUACUUUUCCUGACAAAAAAUAUAUAGUAUUUCUAAUUUUCUAUCAAGUUACUUGCCUGGCCAGAAGACUGGGUCACUGGAGCACAGCUGCUUAUUUCAAUUUAAGCCAAUUUCCUCCAGUGACUUUGAAUUAGUCGCUUCAAACCUUUUUUUCCUGGUUCGAGUCGGAGAAAAUUAUUUUAAUGGUUUAAGACUUCAAAUUCGUUUUCUCCAUCAAAUUAUUUAGAAUACAUUUGAUAAUUACUUUUUAUUUUUUAUUUUAAUGGUUUAAGAGCCAUACAUAAUAUACAUAUAAACAAGUCAAUCCCCUUGAGUCACUUCAGAUUUUAAAAGUGAUAGAUUUGAUAGGAUUUAAGAGGAUUAAAGAUUCAUACAAAAUUCAUAUGGAUUUGAAUGGAUAGUUUGUAGAUUUUGGUGGAUUGUGAUGGAAGGAUUUGAAAUCCUAGGGGGUGAGGUUGGAUUCCUUUUAGCCUUGGUUACAUAUAGAAAUCCUUAGAAAUCCUUUAAAAUCCACAACUUAUAGAAAUCCCCCAAAAUUUGAAUACACUUAGAUUUGGAUGAAUUUUAAAAUCCUUUAAAAUCUUUUAAUUGACUACACCUAGAUUUUAAUGGAUUCUAAAAUCCUUUAAUUGACUACACCUAUAUUUUAAUGGAUUCUAAAAUCCUUUAAAAUCUUUUAAUUUACUAAACUAGGAUUUUAAAGUCUUUUAGAAUCCUCUCAAAUACAAGUUUGACUACACCCAAUACGUUUGAUAAUUACUUUUUUUUUAAAAUUAAAAAUAGUUACUAAAUGAAUUUUUAAUUUAAAAAAAGAUAAAUAAAAAAUAAAAACGAAAUAGUUAUUAAAUAACCUCUUAAAGCUUAAAAAUCAUUUUAUUUAUUAUUUUUAGUUUUCACUUUUUGUACUUAAGAUAAGGGAAAAUAAGAGAUGGACUGGUUACAAAUGUAGAUGUUGUGCAACUGGCUGUGCGGAACUGAGAUCCAAAUUACAUCUACAUCACAACAAACCACAGUUGAAUAAAAUGGGGCCCUGUGUGAAAAUUAAAACGGGACCCUUUCACACACAAGACUUAUUUUUUUGUGUUUAAAACAAUUUUUUUCCUUCUAUGGUAUAUUUAGAGCACUUUGAAAGUUGGGCAAUCCCCUAUGGGGUAGGCUAUUCAAUGCCCCAAUCCCUCCAGCAAUUGGCUCCAGCCCAAUCCAAUCAGCUAGGCUUCAGGCGAGCUUGAACUGUCCACCAGGCCGAAAUCCAUGGGUAUAGCCCCCAAGCUGACGUCAACUAUUAAAAAAUUAUAAAAUAUUAAUAAAUUAAAUAUAAAUACAAAAAAUAUAAUUUUUCUAUAAAUACCUAAACUUUCUUCAUAUAUCAAGCACAAAAAAGUGAAAACCAAAGUCAAUGAAAUGGUUAUCAUGAAAUGCUUUAAUUCACUUGUAGAAUUAAACACUAUUUCAUUAAUUACCCCACCUGUAGAUUUGUAAAAGAGAUACUUAAUCAUAGUUUGAAAGUGCCUUUAAAAUAACUGAAAGUACUUUUAAAGAAAAUGUUUUUAAGUUCCAAAAGCACUUGAAGUGUUUUUUGGGUCGAAGAAGCACCACUUGAAGUGUUUUUUCCAAAAUUCACUUGCGUUUUUACUAAUAAUUAAUUCUAGAAAUAUUUUUACUAAAAAAACUUUCUGUUAUUUUAAAAUCACUUCUAAACAAGCUAUUAAAUAAAAUCGAGAAGAUAAUACAUGUAUCUGAACGUGGGGAACACACUCCCUUGCGUGAAGUUUUAGCCCCUCUCUUGUCAACAUUGAAAAAACAACCCACAAUUUAAACCCCACAAGGAAUAUGGGGAAAGACUUUGAAGUCAACAAGUCAAGCAAACCUCAAAUUUGGUAGAAACCAUCAACCAUGUUUUUCUCAGAGUCUCUAAGAGUCAUACAUACACACGUCAAUCCAUUUGAGUCACUUCAGUUAUUUAGAAUCCGUUUCAUAAUUAUUAUUAUUAUUUUUUAUUUUUUAAAUUAAAAGUAGUUACUAAAUAAGUUUUUAAUUUUCAAAAAAAAAAAAACGAAAUGGUUAUUAAACAGCCUAUUGGAGCUUGGAAAUUAUUUUAUUUUUUUGUUCGUAGUUUUCACUUUUUUGUACUUGAGAUAAGGAAAAAUGGGAGAUUAAAUGGUUAUACAUGUAGAUGUUGUACAAUUGGCUAUGCAAAGCUGAAAUUUAAAUUACAACCAUAUCACAACAAACCACAGUUUAAUAAAAUGGGGCACUGUGUGAAAAUUAAAAUGUGGCCCUUUCACGCACAAGACUUGUAACGCCCCGGCUUCAAAAUAUUUAUUUUCGGGAAAAACAAUUUCUAUGGUAGGCCCACAAUUGAUAUAUAUGUCUUAUCCACGAUCAUUCACCACAAUUCUCUCUAAAAAGCCUUGAUUCCACCAAUGGCUCUUAAUUAAAAAUUCCUUAUCAAAUGUACAAUUAAAUUUCUAUUUUAUCACCAAGUCCUUUACAUGGACAAAUUUCUAGAUUUCAACACUAAUUCUCAAAUUUCUUAACCUUACUUGAUUUAUGGCUGCAUCUAACAUCUUAUUAGACUGCCUACGUACCCUGAACAGGGAUCAAGCCAUUUGUAGUUCAUAAUUCAAUAUUUUCCAAUUUCCGAACAUAAUCUCUAAUCCACCAUAUUCAUAUCAACCGUUACAACCCAGUUCAUCUCAAAUGGGUACCAAUAAAGAUUCAGAAUAUCGAAACUUACAUGAAAAAUGGCAACGUCGGCUCCCUGGGCGUGAGCCGCCGCACCCGCCGCCGCCAGUGGUGGUCGGCCGCCUCGAAUUGCCGGAAAAUUCCACUAUUUCUAAAAAUUCUCAUAAAAAUACAUAAAUAAAGAUCUCAAAGAGUAGAGCAAACUUUAUACCUGUGGUCAAGUCCAAUUUGGCCUGGAAAGGCUCCAAUUUGAUUCAAACCCGCCGGAAACCCUUGAAUUUGGGUAUUUUUGAUUCGACUCCAAAGCUACUCCGACGCCUCAACCAUUACUUGGGCUUUGUUCCAGGCUUCAAGACGAAUCUAAUGGUGGUGGUAAUUUAAUGAAAUCGUUUCGGAUUUGGGUGAUUCGAACACAACACCACCGCACCCUACCGUGUGGAUUCACCCAUUUUCAAGGCCAAAACCCUUGAUUUUUGAGGUGUAAGAGGAAGAGGGAAGGUUAUGGGGAGGUUUUCAAUUGACUUUUUCGUGGAAUUCACUGGAAAAACCGUCGGAAAAGCCGAAUGGGUAGCUGGGGUUCACGGGUCCGUUCGACCCGACCCCUUUUCCCCUUCUUCCUUUUUCUCUCCUUUCCCUCAUUUCUUUCUCCUCCCAUUGGUCCUGCCCCCUCCUUUCUCUCAUUUCCCUCAUUUCUCUUCUUUCCUUUUCAUCCCAACCGUCCAUCUCAUUUUUUUCUUAUUUUCUUUUCAUCUCAGCCACACAAGUGGCACACCACAGAUUCCAGAAAAUCUGGAAUGUUCCCACUAGAUGUCAAAAUGACUAGUUUACCCUCCACUUCUAUCAUUAAUAUCUUCCUCGUUAUAACUUCAUUUCACGAACUGUUCACGCCUACGCGUUCAUGAGAUCGAGCUCUAUCCAAAAUAUAAAUUGUGACCUCAAAGGGUCUACGGGUUUUAAAUAAUUAAUUUCCAAACUUUAAACCUCGUAACCAGUUUAAUUGAAAACUAAACUCAAUUGAAUUUAUAUAAAUUCUCGAUUCUUUUCACAUAUCCAUAAUUAUGAAUAUCCAAUUCAUAUAUUUAAAUUUUAUAUCAAAUUCAUAUAUUUAAAUUUUAUAUCAAAUUCAUAUAUUUAAAAAUUUCAGGGUAUUACAAGACUUUUUUUUGUGUGUUUAAAAGAUUUUUUUUCUUCUAUGGCAUAUUUAUAAAAGUACAAAACUUAGUCUGAAAGUCAACUUUGUAACACAAUAUCUUCUACUAAAUAAUUGAUAUAGAAGAAUUUAAGGGAAGGUAUAUGUUAAACAAAUGAAGUUUUUAACAAAGAAAAAAUAUAUAAAAAGAUACAGUAUUUUUAAAACAGAAAACCAUUUGGGUAUUUUUCAAAUUUGUACUUAGUUAAGUUAUGCAUAUAUAGUUUUUUUUUUUUUUGGAAUAUAUAAAAUUGAAAUAUAUAUGGAAGCUAAUCUAAAGUAUUUGUUCAAUUUAUCCAGUUAGUAACAUCACUUUAAUCGCUUUUGUAGAAUGCCGCUUCGAACCAAAAAAUUAAACAUGAUUUCAUUAAUUACUUCACUUGUAGCCUUGUAGAAGAGAGACUUAGACCUCGUUUAGAGGUGCUUUUAAAAUUAUUGAAAGCGUUUUUAGAAAAAAAAUGUUUUUGGGUCUCAAAAACACUUGAAGUGUUUUGUGGAAGAAGCAUCACUUCAAAUGAUUUUCCAAGAUUCAUUUUUGUUUUUAUAGAAUAUUGAUUCUAAAAACAUUUUUUUUCUUAAAACGCUUUUAAUUGUUUUAAAAAUACUUUCAAACAAGUUUUUAUAUGAAACUAGGAGUAUAACGCAUGUAUCUGAACGUGGGGUAUACAUUGUUUCGUGAAGUUUUAGCCCCUCUGUAGGGGCGAAAUUUUACCCUCUCUUUUCCACUCAGUGGUCUGUCAGCAUUGAAUAAAACAACCUACAAUUUAAAAUUCUUCAUACAUACAUACAUUACCAUCACCACGAUAAGGGAUACGGGGAAAGACUUUGAAGUCAACAAGUCAAGCAAACCACAAAAUUAUACCCGCUAUACAUACCCAUCACCACGUUUUCUGUAGUAUGGCUCGCUUAAGUUAACGAAUUUUUAAUUUUUGAAAAAAAAUAAAAAAUGAAAAUAGAAUGAUUAAUAAAAUAUAGGACAAUUGACGCGUGAGAACUAUAAUUUGGACUAUGAAGAACUUUAUAAAAUAUAGGACAAUUGUUACACAUUCGGAUAAACAAAGCGCAUAAACACACGUUCACAGUUCAACUUCAUCAUGGUUUCAGCUGAGCUUAGAUAGUCAUUUCGGUUUGUAUUGACUGACUAUGUAUUGCCUUAGUCAGUCAAUAGCCACUGGAAAAUGAGGAUAGGAAAGCAACGCAGUCAGACUAGAACGCCAUGUUGUAUUAAAAAUAUCUAGAAAUCAAUUAAACUUUAUCAAAAGUCAUGAAUUGAGACAAUCAAGACUUCAAAAUCAACGUCAACCAAUAAAACCAAGAUUUUUUUUUUGAAAUGUUAUAUGAAAUUAUACACCUUCAAUUUAUCAUAUAUGAACUAAAAUUUUAAACGAUUUGUUAUACCAACUUUCUGAAUCAUUAAUUUUUCAUCUAACUCUAACUUCGUUAAGUUUUUCAUUCAAAAUAACUCAUGUGCAAGGCACCCAUAACUUAUGUUCAGGAGUAAUUUUAGACAUUUCAACGAGUGUCGCCCUCACUUCUCCCUUUGCAUUUAAUAACCACAAAAGGCAUCAAAAUGCCUUUCAUUCGUCUCUGCUUUUUAGGCACACACCCCAUUUUACUUCUCACACACUUUUUUAAAUUUCAGCCGUUGGAUCGGAUAAAUUGAAGAAGAUCUAACGGACAGAAAUUAUCAAGGGUGUGUGAGAAGUAAAAUGAGGUGUGUGGAUAGCACACCCCUUCCUUUUAUUCUAGUCUGCUUUUCUUUUAGCUGUGCAGGGAAAACAACAUUCUAUUUCAUUUGAACCACGUUAUUAUUAGUUCAUUAUAACUUUAAAUUUAAAAUUUCUCUUUAGUAUAUCAUUUGUUCAAAAAUAAAAAUAAAAACUCAUAAGAGUAUAUUUCCAAAUUUAUUGAGGUCAAGGGAUCUCAAUGCACCUUUGUUGGCUUUGCUAAUGAAAACAUUGCAAAGUACGUGAUUUAUUUUAGAUGGAAAAUUUAAUAGAGUUGGUAUGACAAAUCGCUUAAAUAUUAGUUCAUAUGAUAAAUUUAAAAAAAAAAGUGUAAAAAUUCCUAUAACAUUUCAAAAAAAAAAAAUCCUAAUCUAACAAUUCUACAGUGCCAUAUAUAAAUCCAAGUAUAUUAAUUAGUAUAUUUCAUGCGACAAAUUUCCACUUGCCACAUUGCCUAAAGUAGUACUACAAUUACUCUUAAGCAAUAAUAUUUCGCUAUUGAAAAACAACCCACAAUUUAAGCCCCACAAGGAAUAUGGGGAAAGACUUUGAAGUCAACAAGUCAAUCAAACCAUAAAUUUGGUAGAAACCAUCACACACGUCAAUCCGCUUGAUAAUUAUUAUUUAGAAUCCGUCUGAUAAUAAUUAUUUUCUUAUUUUUAUUUUUUAAAAUUAAAAGUAGUUAUUAAAUAAGUUUUAAAUUAAAAAAAUGAUAAACGAAAAAUAAAAACAAAAUGAUUAUUAAACAGCCUAUUGGAGCUUGGAAAUUAUUUUAUUUUUUGUUUGUAGUUUUCACCAUUUUGUACUUGAGAUAAGGGAAAAUGGGAGAUGAAAUGGUUAUACAUGAAAAUGUUGUGCAAUUGGCUGUGCGGAACUGAAAUUCAAAUUACAACCACAUCAUAACAAAUCACAGUUCAAUAAAAUGGGGCACUAUGUGAAAAUUAAAAUGUAGUCCUUUCACGCACAAGACUUUUUUUUUGUGUGUUUAAAAGAUUUUUUUUUUCUUCUAUGGCAUAUUUAUAAGUACAAAACUUAAUCUGAAAGUCAACUUUGUAACACAAUAUUUUCUACUGAAUAAUAGAUAGAGAAGAAUUUAAAGGAAGGUAUAUGUUAAAGAAAUGAAGUUUUUAACCAAGAAAAAAAAUAUAUAUAAAAAGAUACAGUAUUUUUAAAACAGAAACCAUUUGGGUAGUUUUCAAAUUUGUACUUAGUUAAGUUAUGCAUAUACAGUUUUGUUUGGAAUAUAUAAAACUGAAUAUAUAUCCCUGUUCCUUCGGGACCCCCACAGCCGACACUGAGUAAGACCAAAUUGGUCUUUGGCUCACACGCCAUUACACAUUCUAUAAUUACAAAGAAGAAUAACUAGGGACCUGCCUAUUACAUUUGGUCACAUUUGGUCACAUAUCAGCAACAACUUCCGAUGAAAACUCCUCUGCUUUCAUGGCUUUUCUUACUCCGCAUUUGCUAUGUUUCACUCACCUUCCAUACGUUUGUGGUCUCUACCCAAUGUCCCGGCGAUCAGCAAUCUUUGCUGCUGCAAUUGAAGAACACCCUCACAUUUGACCCUGCAACGUCUCAAAAACUUGUGAACUGGAAGAAUGGAUCGGAUUACUGCUCUUGGGAAGGAGUGUCCUGCAAAGAGGGUUGUGUUUCGAAUCUGGACUUGAGCAACGAGUGGAUUACUGGUGGACUUGAUAAUUCCAGUCCUCUUUUCGGUCUGAAGUCGAUCGAGAACCUGAACUUGGCUAACAACUCCUUCAACUACACUCAGAUUCCUUCCGAGUUCAAGCAGCUAACCGGUUUGCAUAACCUGAACUUGUCGUGUGCUGGCUUUGCGGGGCAGGUUCCGAUUUAGAUUUCGCACUUGACGAGGUUGGUAACUCUUGAUUUGUCUUCCUUGCACGUAAGCGGUUCUGGCUUAUAUGGUAGAUUCCCAGAGAAGAUCUUCCAGGUACCUACACUACAGACUAUUGAUUUGUCAGGCAAUGAACAGCUUCAGGGUUCCUUACCCGAAUUUCCAAAGAAUGCAUCUCUUCGGUCCUUGGUUCUACGCUGGGCUAACUUUUCAGGGUUACUACCGAACUCUAUUGGCAACCUCAAAAUGUUGUCCAAGAUAGAUCUUCGGGGGUGCAAUUUCACUGGAUCAAUCCCAAGUUCAAUAGCAGACCUUCAUCAAUUGGUUUAUUUUGACUUGUCAUGGAACAAGUUCAAUGGUUCAGUUCCAUCCUUCAGUAUGGCCAAGAAUCUGACCCUAAUAUAUCUUUCUGCCAAUCUACUUGAUGGGACUAUUCCGUCAUCUCUGUUUUCUCUUCCCAUGCUGCAAGGUUUAGAGCUUUCUAACAAUCACUUCUCUGGCCAGUGACCUGAAUUUGGUAAUUUUUCUUCCCUACAAGUCCUUGAUUUGAGUAGCAAUAGUUUGGAAGGGCCUAUACCCAUGUCGAUCUUUAAUCUACGAGAGCUUAGAACACUCUCACUUUCUUCAAACAACUUCAGUGGGUCCUUUCCGCUUAAUGAUAUUCAACAACUGAAAAAUCUCCAAGAACUUUAUCUUUCAUACAAUAGCUUGCUAAUUAAUCAUUACAGUUCCAAUUCCUCCUACUCCUUUCCUCAACUUCGCGCAUUGAAAUUAGCUGCUAGAAAGUUGAGAACCUUUCCUGAUUUCUUGAGAAAUCAAUCAAUAUUAGGCCUUUUGGACCUAUCCCUAAACCAGAUCCAUGAAAUACCCAACUGGAUUUGGAGGCUUAGUGGUCUUUAUAUACUAAAUCUUUCUUGCAACUCUCUGGUAAAUCUACCAGGUCCUUUCCUCAAUCUUACUUCUCAAUUGUUUAUGCUUGACCUUCAUUCCAACCAGCUUCAGGGACAAAUUCCAAUGCUUCCACCAUCUGCCGGUUAUCUGGAUUACUCAAGAAAUAAUUUCAGCUCAAGCAUACCGGCAGACAUUGGUGAUUUCCUUAUGCAGACAGCGUUCUUCUCUCUUGCAAGUAAUCACAUCCACGGGAUCAUUCCAGAAUCAGUAUGCAAGGCGACAUUAUUUCUUGAAGUUCUUGAUCUGUCCAAUAAUUCCUUAAGUGGCAUGAUUCCCCAGUGCUUGACUGCAAUAAACGGGCCUCUUGCAGUACUUGAUUUAAGGAGAAACAAACUUUCUGGCACUCUUCCUGAUAAUUUUCCUGAGAACUGUAGUCUACAAACUCUAGACCUCAAUGGCAAUGUGAUUGGUGGUCAGUUCCCAAAAUCUCUAGCCAACUGCAGAAUGUUAGAGGUGUUAAACCUGGGAAACAAUCAGAUAACAGAUGUCUUUCCAUGCUUAUUGAAGAACAUAUCCAGCUUGCGUGUACUUGUCUUGCGUUUCAACAAAUUUUAUGAUAGCAUUGAAUGCCUUAAGACUAAAAGUGCCUGGCCAAAGCUUCAAAUUGUUGACAUAGCUCGCAACAAUUUUACUGGCGAAAUACCAGGAAGUUUUUUGAAAACGUGGCAAGCAAUGAUGGCUGACAAAGAUGGUGCCGUGUCAAAGCAAUUUCAAGUUGUAGACCUCGGCCAGGUGUACUAUCAGGAUACUGUAACAGUUACCACCAAAGGUCUAGAGAUGGAAUUUAUAAAGAUCUUAACAGUCCUCACCUUAAUUGACAUGUCCUGCAACAAUUUUAAUGGAUCAAUACCUGAGGAAGUGGGAAAGCUCAAAUCACUUUAUGGCCUAAACUUGUCCAGUAAUGCUCUCACAUGCGCAAUCCCAUCAUCACUAGGUAAUCUACGACAGCUUGAGUCCUUAGACCUUUCGGACAACAAAUUGAGCGGAACAAUUCCAUCAGAAUUUUCCAAACUUAAUUUCCUCUCAUUCCUAAAUCUGUCGAGUAAUCAACUUGUCGGGAAGAUUCCAACCGGCACUCAGAUUCAGUCUUUUUCACCAGAUUCUUUCACAUGCAAUAAAGGAUUAUAUGGGCCACCGUUAGAUGACGGAUCACCAAGGUUGCCACCAACAUUAGAAGGCAAACAUUCUAAUUCUGCGCACAGAAUUGAUUGGGAUCUUAUCAGUGUUGAAGUUGGAUUUAUUGUUGGCUUUGGAGUUGCGGUCGGGUCACUUGUGUUGUGCAAGAGAUGGAGUAAAUGGUAUUACAAAACAAUGUAUAAAAUCCUUGUUAAGAUAUUCCCUCAGCUUGAAGAGAGAAUUGGUCCUCACUGAAGACAUGUCCACAUAAAUCAGAGGUUCAGACGCUGAAGUUAAUGGUCAUGGGGACCAAUGCAGCUGGACCUCAAGCUAUGCCUGGGGAAUUUGAGAUCCAACAAAUAAGAGGUUUUCUUUUUGGUUUUACCUUUUAAAUUUGUGUAUGUUAUAGUUAUAUGUGUAAUAGUUUAUUGUGUAUCUUUAUCCUUUGUUUUCAAUAAACUUCCUCGUACCGUCGAGGUUCUUGAAGUUAGCGUAAUUUGAUAUACCCAAAAGAAUGUACUACAUGUAAUGUAUUAUUUGUUCGAAUUGUGUAGUACGAUGUCGAGACCAACUCCACCCAAAAGAGUGUACUACAAAGAACAUCUUGACUUCUGAAUUGCGAUAUGUUUUAACAUCUUGCCAUUCAAUUUUAAACUCAUCAUAUCUAGUACUACAACACCUAAUGAUUUAUUUUUCACCUCAAUUUAUAAGAGAGCAAACCAGCGCUUUUUGUUUCAGAAUUUCCUCACCAACUUUUAUGUCUGAGAUCGCACCAAAAGGCAAAAGCCAACCCUCUCAGGUAACAAGAAGAAAUGAAAAACUCAACCGCUUUUACAAAAUCAGCAAACUACGGUUCAAUCAGUAUUCUCCCUUUCAUGUCAGAGUACAAUGAAAUACUCAUUUGCUUUUACAAGAGUUGAGUCACUCGCCCAAUUUCAACUGGUUUUAGGAUGAACCUCAACUUCAAUUAUGGGACAAAAACUUCUAUCGUUUAAGACUUUAAGUUGACAAAUGCGAAGUAUUGAUCACGAUGAUUAGGUCUUCCAUAUUAACACUUAACUACUAAAAGAGAGGAUAAACACUCAAUAGGAUUUGAAUUGGGUGUGUUCAGUUACCCCGAUAAAUCCUCCGUAGAGCAGACUACGACAGUCACAAACCCACGAUACCAUAGUUACAUAUAAUACAUGAGUUUUUCGGAGAAUAUAUUUCUCUUGCUACCCAGAAAAUCAACAUGAGCAUACACAAACCAUUCUGUUUUUCUUCCACCUAUAACCGUAUGUGUAUAUGAUCGACUAUAUAUCGCCUUAGUCAGUCAAAAACUAAAAUAGGAGUAACGUGUAGAUUGCAGAUAUGCCUAUACAACUUCAAAGUGAAUUAGAGUCAAUCAAAUCAUAAACCUGAGUAAAAUUUCUGGUUUGGAAUCUCUGACGUGCAGGGAAUAAGCAAAAUGCACGCAACAAAGCCUCCAUUGUUAAACCUGAAAUAACAACAGUAUAUCAAGUUUAAUUUUCUUUUCAUUGGAAUCCUGAGUAAACAUAAUUCUUUCAAAAAGAUCAGACGCAAAUGCUUAUAUCCUACAGAUUUGUAAUUUCAUAUUGUGAACUAGCACCGCAACAAAAUAUUUACAUGUAUAUUGCAUAGUAUUUCUAAAUGCUUACAAAUUGGUAGGAUUAGCUAUUAUAUUGCAGUGUAAACCUCCUUCUGAAUGAAUGAAGCCGAGUGGUAUCUCCCACAAAUGUGAAGAACUUGUUGGAAUCAAUGCUUUUCUCUGAAACUUUAGCCCUUACCAAAGACAAAAUCUUCGAUUAAUGACUCAAGUCCACUAAAACAAGUCUAGAAUUUCCAAGCUUAUUCCUAAAUUCUAUAGCUUUAUCAACAAUAAUAUCAGAUGCCUUUGCAAGGUCAAAUUGAAAAUCUGCUGUUGAAAUGAAAGGAAAUGCUAGAGUGGAAACAUCGUUUAGAGAACCAUCACCGCUAACAGAGCCUACAGCUAGCUCUUCACCUUCCUUUGACUCCUUACCAGAUUUUUCAGAAAGUGAACCUGUUCCUUUCAAAGAGGUUUCCUUUUCUUCAGUAAUUUGAGAAGCAUUAGAAUCCUGUACACUCUUCGAAGUUGAUUCAGUAUUAGCAGGACCAUCGGUUUUCCUUAAGAACAUUAUACCUAGUUGAAUUUUUGCACCGGGGUUCUUCUGACCGAAAUAACCAUUGGGAAGUGUAUCUAACGGACCAAGUCCACGAAUGCAUCAACAGAAGAUUGAACAUCACUCUCACUCUGGCAAUAAGUAAUUCUAGCAAACCCUUCACUCAGCUAAGGCAAUUCUUUCUUCUGCAGCAUUCUAUUCACAAUCGCCGCAGCUUUCCCGCCUUGCACAUUUCCUUCAUGGCCCGUUCGCUUCACAUACCGCAAUAUACAAAGCUUGGCAGGAAGAUCAAGCACCACAACAUGAACAAACUUGGGAACUACCACCAAGCUUCACAAAAUCAUCCCUUUGUUCUUCCUCUACAUUACACCUAUCUAUAAACACACUCUUCUCAUCCUUCAACGCAUUCAUUGCACUCUCUAUACACUGCCCUUUCGUUCGGGCUUUACCAUUUUUGAUAGUAUCCUACAAAAACAAAAAAUAUGAACAUAUAACAGCAUAAAACAAGAACCCAAAUGAAUAGAAAUCCGGAGUACCAUACUACGUACUGAAAAUAGCAAUCUAGAGCCCACUGCGACAUUUCAUCGAACACACUGUGUCCACAGAGAUAUACCUGGCAAACGCAAACACAAGGGCGAGUGGAGCGCAUGACAUGUUCGCAGAAGGUAGACAUGUUCGCAGAAGGUGAUGCGUAAAAUAACUAAACACACAAAAUUAAACCCUCUUUUUAUCAAUUGUAGUAAAGUAUGUAAGUAGGGAUCGUUCUAGGCCGGGGAUUAGGAGGGAUUGCUAAAUCACUUGGAAACUGACUUGAAAACGUAAAAACAAAGUUUAAAACACUAACUAGACUCAAAGAAUGCAAAACUAUACUUUAAAACACUAAAACAAACCAAAAGACUCAAAACAGCCCCUAAACACUCAAAACUACCUUAAACACACAAUCUGGGCAGUUUUGGGACUCUAACACAAACUUGGACGAAUUUUGGUUUUCUAAUGAACUAAACACUUAAAAACAUAAUCUAAGACAAGUUCUAUUUUAAUAUGACUCAAAGAAAUAAGAUGGGGUUGAUUUUGGACAAAAAUAAUUAAAUUAAGACAAGAACAAAGUAAACGAAUUCUUAGACAAAUUUAAGUGAAUCAAAACAAAUUGUAAAAUGAAUUUGAAUGAAACUUAUGGAUGGAAGGCUAGCUAGGAGGUUCUUCUCCACACAUGUCACACUUGCAUACAAAACGAUUUCCAGUUGCUUUUCGAUAAGCUAUGAAUACUCAACGCCCCAAAUUAACCGUGAAUUGCACUAAUUAACCCUCAGUUUUUCCACAAGUUAUUAGGUUGGAUGAUCGCAUACGACAACCCAAAACAUUCCCUACAAGUUCCCUACAUGAAUUGCAUAAUAGAGAUACAAGCAAGAAUCAUUAAGUUCUAUGAAAAACAUAAGCAUUGACGAGGCACUCGUUACUAUGAUUUGCAUGAAACUUAUGCCAAGAAUUUACUUAACGUGAUUGUGACUAGCAACCUUCACUACUUGUGAAUAUAAGUUCAUAACGAUUAGGUGAAACUCCCUUAUAUUCUAGCGUCAAAUUCAUGCAUGAAAAUUAAGCGUGCACUCUCAACCAACAUACACAAAUCAGUUUUUAUACGAACGGAUAAGUAAAUUGAAUUCACAACUUAUGAAUCACAACUGGAUGUAAUCAAAUCAUAUUGCAAGUAUGAACAUAGUUUCGAAUCACCCCUAACUAAGAGGGGUUUAGUUCCUCAUACUCACAAAACAAAGAUACAUAAAAUUAGACAUUAAAAUCAAAGGAAAGAAAACACCUAAAAUGCUCCAACUUGGUAGCAAGUGCAUCCAAGAUUCCUCCUUUCCCUAUGCUUGCGGCAGAUUGGGUUAUGGACAGAUUUUGGGUAGUUUUAUGAUGUAGAAUGGAUGGGGAAUGGUAUGGAAGGGUUUAGGGUGAGUGUGGAGGAGUGUUUGAGGGUUGGAGGGUGGUGGAGAACUAGGCAAAGAGGGUGGAAGAAGGUGGAGUGGCUGUUAUGUUUUCUAGGCACUAGAAUGGUGUUUUUUGGGGUGUUUUGCUUCCUAGGGUGUGUAUGGACGAAUUUUUGUGAUAAAAUGAUGAAUAUGGGGGAUUGUUCUUUGGCCAAGGGGUGUAAACAUGUAUUUAUAGGCCCCCAAAAACCUUAGAAAAUCAGGUUAGGUUAAGGAUGAAAUGCAUGGCAAUUUGUGUGUGUGGUGUGCAAUGGUCCAAGGGUGAAAAUGAAGUAAUGAUGCAAAGUGUGAAGGGUAAAAUGGAGUGGUGUUGUAGCUAGGGAGCAUGAAUGAUUGUGUACAUUGCAUAGAGAUGGAAAGGGAGGUGAAAUGUGUCAACAAAUGGGUCAAAGGUGCAACAACAUGUGUUACACAUGGCAUUGGAUUCCAAAUGUGAAUGAUGGAGCAUCAAUUGGUGCAUGUAAUGGAUGUAAAUGUUGUCUAAAAUCUAAUGAGUGAAGGGAACAAGAGGUAUCAAGCAAUUGAGUGUAAUAAUUAAAUAAAUUGAAGCAUGAAAUUAGAAAUUAUGUAGGGGACAAGAGUGAUUAAGCAUGGCAUGGAAUCCAAAGGGAAUUCUAUGUGGUUUGCAUGGCAAGGAAUGCAAGUUGGGGUGACAGAUUUUUGGGCUGUUUUCUUCAUCUUUUGGACCAUAAUUCUUCAUAUUCUUGGCCUCUUUAGUUCUCAAAUUCGUCCAUCCACUUGGCCCAUGCAUUUGACAUCCAUUCCAAGCCCCAUUUUGCUCCAAAAUGCAUCUUCUUGCCUACUUUGUCCAUAAAAUCUGAAAACACACGAAAAUGACUUUAAACAUUAAAAUAACUAAGGAAACACGACAUAAAUGCACAAUAACAAGCCAACUAAGUCGCAUAAAUAUGCUCCUAUCAGAAGGUAGACAUGCCGCUUCCAGGCCCACCUACCAAUAUUACUACGACAGGCUUUCCUUGUUUUUCUUCCCCCGUCAAAAACGCAUACAGGUUUUAUGAUCACCGAAGGCGGCGACGACCGAGAAUGGUAAAACGCGGCGUUUUGGAGAAAGGGCAUACCUUUGACUGUUUCGUCGAUGUCCAUGUCCAUGUUUUGGAAGACUCUGCGAGGCACUUUUGAAUUAACAGCGGAAAAGCAACGGUUUCUUCUUCCACUGGGCUGGAAGCCUGAAGCUUCUAUUGCCGGUGCCUGGUGCUUGCGUAAUGGGACACAUGUCACACAUCGUCGACCCGAAAAUUGACAAGAUCCGAUUCGAUUUGGAUUUUAUCCGUAUUUUAGCCUUCUCGCAAGUGCUAAUGCGUAAAUGAGAAGUAUUUUAUAAUCACGGGCCUUACGAGCGCCCUUUAAAGAUGGGUUUGCUUUAAUUAUUGUUCUAAUUGUUUAACAUUGUUAUUUCGUAAGAAAUUUGCGAGGGCAUUUUCUUAUGAUAUUAGGUAUUUCAAUCAUCUUCCUGUGAUAAUUUUUUCUAUAAUUAUGUUAAAGCCCUCCGUAUUCCGGUAACCUACAACAUGGUAAAUCUAUAGAAAUUAUAAACUUGAUAAUUACGUUUAUAGCACAAAAGCCUAUACAUACAAUCGUGUUUACUUGGUGUACAAGUAAGGAUCUCUUCAAUUUCUUGAUAGCGAUUUUACCACUUGUAAAACAAAGGGUUAAACCAUAGAAAAUUCUUGCAAGAGAACAAGUGUUUGUAGUAUAGAAUGGCUCAAGCAAUGUCGAUCUCCUCAGGGACUGAUAUAAACAAUUUACGAGUUUUUGUGUAUUUAACUUAUUUAACUUUAAGAAUUACACUAAUUUGACGAAACUAAAUAUUACUGGAUGUGACUUAACCAAAUAUCUAACAUGGGAAUUGGUUUAUAGGAACAGUGAUUCAACUUAAACAAAACAAGUAAAUGAGGAAAUUUAAGAUAAAAUAACUGAUUGAAGAAAAAUAGAUUGACAAUAUGCUAGAGUUCAACCUUUACCAACAACACUCCUACGUAGCUAUUCCAAUUGCUUAAAUAAUUGAAAACACACAUGCUUUGAAGGUUGGAAUUUCCUUGUGUAUGUUUUACUUGUGACAUUCAAGUUAAAACGCAUACCACUACAUGCAACUUAUCCAUGACAUUUGGAUUAAAUAUAAACAUGAGUGAUUCAUUAAUCUUGGUGAAAAUCCUUUUGUUAAACCAUGUAAUCCCUAAGAGCAUGAUAUUUACCUUAGGAGAGUACAAUCCUCAAUCACAAGAAGCACAACCAAUUUUAACAUGACAUUCGUUCAAAAUUGCAUCCGAUAACUUUUUAAGCAUCCUAAUGGUGAUCAAGCAUCAAGGUACAUAGAUAGUUUAAUUCAGUGAUUGAAAAUAUCAAAGCAAGCAUGUAACAACACUUAAGCAAUUGAAAAAUAAAUCUACGUAUUCAUGUUGCGGCUCAUGGCCUCACUCUAACAAAAUAAAUUAGUUACACAUAAUUAUUUGAUACAUAAAAAAUUAUCCAUAAAACAAAAUAACAAAAAAAGAAAACAUCCGUUUUAACAAGACGAGCUCUCUGUUGCUCCUGACUUCCUCUGCUCUGCUGCGCCUCUUCUUCUUUGCUUCUGCUACACCUCUGCUUCUGUGCUCUGCUGCGCCUCUUUCUUUUCCUCCCGUCAGUCUCCCCCCUUUUUACUUUUUCUUUUCUUUUCUUUUCCUCUGGUUCCGUCUGCCCUCUGCUGCGCGUCCUUUCUCUUAUAUUUUUUUCUUCGUCCGUGCUCUGCCUUCCUUUCUCUCUGCCUAUUCUUUUCUUUUGUUUUUCUUCUGCCAGUCCCGCACUCCUCUCUGUCUAUUCUGUCAGUGUCUCCCCUCACUUUUAUUAUCUUGCUUUCCUUUUCUUAUUCCUUCCAUUUUUCUUUGUCUGUGUCCCCCAUUUCCACUAAUCAGCUAUAUGCUUUUCUUUUUCUCCACCACAAAAGCUUAAUGGAAGACAAGUCCACUCUCCACUUGCCGUGUCUUUUAUUUGUUUUUACAAUUUCCUUUUCUCCAUUUUGCUUGAAAUUGAUCUUAAAACAAAUUUAACUACACAUUAACACAAGGUAAAAUAAAAAUGCCACAAUUUUAACACAAAGACUUUAUAAAUAGAUGGUAUAAAUGCAUGAAAUAUAUGAGUGAUCAAAUACCCCCAAACUUGCAUUUUUGCUAGUCCUCUAGUAAAACAAAACACAAAACAAAAACACUCAACUAAAACUAGACUCAACAACUUAGUAGCCAACUUCUAAAUUUCGAUUUCAGAGAUAAGUGCUAAUCAUGAAACAAACAACCAAGAACUAAUCAAGAGUUCAAAACAUCAUCCAAUAAUUAACCAAAUUUCCUUCAAACAAAACGUUGAAAUGCCAUGUGUGAGCUAACCAUGUCAAUGCAAUUCCAAACUCCUUUAAAUCAUCAUAUGCAAACAUGUGAGCUUCUCACAAGACAUACGCUCAUUCACUCAUAAGUUUUGGUUAAUGUGUUUCACUCAAGUGAUCUCAUUGUACAUGCCGCCAUAUGCUUGCUUGUCCACCUAACUCGCUUAUCAAUAUUUAAGUAAUACCUUGGAUAAAUAGGACUUUAUUACGGUUGUAAUGGGGCUAAAGGUGAUAGGCUAAUGAAAGAAAGGAUAUGGAAAUCAAAAAUUUUGAGAAAGUACACUUUGAUAGUUUUCCAACACCUCAAUAUCACACCACCUCAAAUUGAAAGCAAAAUAAUAAAACCUCAAGCACCAGUUACUCCCCAAAUUCAACUUCAAAAAGAAAUUUAUACUCUGCAGACACAUUUUCAACAAAUCAACACUCUCCAAUUUUCAUAUAUUUCGUUUUUUUUUUUUCAAUUGAAAGAAACAAAUCUGCAAAAGCUACAUCACCCAUCAAAUUCACAUUUCAUUGUAAUACACAUGCUCCAUCCAUCUUUCUACAUAAAUGAAACCCCCAAAAGCACAACCCAUGUAAUACUUUAUCAAAACAAUAAGGAAUCGAUUUUUGUGUAUGGGCUCAACUCCAAUAUUGGAGCAAGGUAAAGAGAUGUGGCUAACAAAGAAAUGGCUUAGUUAAAGGCUCAAUGGGCUACUACGGAUAAACAUAGCAUAUAAGGUAGGCAUGAAAGGCUCAAACGAUCCAAAGAUGACCUAUAUCACUUCCAAGUUAUUACAUGAAUUGAUUAAUGAAUCGAGUAGUAUAAAGCAAGUUCUAGAGAUACAUGUACAGUGAGAUCAUACGCACAAGAAGGAAUGAGAUUGAUGCAUAAUGGUUCAAUCAUGUAUAGGCUCAAAAACUCACAAGGUUUACAUAAUCUCACAUGAUUCACAUAUGAAACGCUAAAUCAUGCUCAAGUUUCACAUUGACAAGACUAGGCACAUUUAUUUUUCAAGUUGAUUUCUGGAAAUCACAGUUAACACAAAGACAACGAAAAGAACUUAGACUUCUUGAAAGUAAGAAGGAAAUUAAAAUCAAAUCUCAUCAUUGAAUUGAGAAGUAGCUACAAACAACAAUAAAAAUGCAAAAACUUUUUUUUUUAAUUAUUAUUAUUAUUUUUUAAUUUAAUAAUUUUUUUUUAUUUUUUAUUUUUUAACAAGAAGUAAACUAACGAAAUAUAUUUCCACCCAUAAACUUAAUUAUAGCAUUGUCCCCAAUGAUAAUGAAAGGAAUUUUGAACAAUAAGACAUAAAAAUGGAAGGAAAGAAAUAUAAAAUGAAAUAAAGACACAUAAAGAAAAGGAAAGAACACACCAAUUUGUGUAGGCGAGGAGAACAAAUGUGUGAGUAACCCGUGGGAUUAAGAAACUUUGCAGAAGUUGUGGUAGAGAGUUCCUUGGUUUCAAAUCAGACUCCUUUUGCUGGGUUGAUUUGAUUGUGCAGUCUGCAUUCUUCUCUGCUUGUUUCUUCUGCACCACGGGCAGGCACAAGGUAGCUGUGUUGGUCUGUUUCUUUCUUCAAUCUUUCCAAGUGCCCACCUCUUGCUUUCUUUCUCCUUGUCUCUAGCUGAGGAUGAAUUGGUAAAUUGUCUCCACAUGCUUCGAGGUAUCAUUUUCACUUCCCUUAUCUGUUCCCCAGGCAGAUGUGGUAGACGAAGAGGAAGCAUAAGAUGAUGAAGAUGAGUACUCGAGAGCAAGGCUAGGUAAGCAAUCAGGAAGGGGUUCCAGGCAGUUGGCUCCAGAUCGGAAGAUUGAUACCAAGUGCUGGCUGAUUGCUCUCUUUCUCCUUGUCGUAAAACAAAGACAAGGAGAAUGACAGGGAGAAAGCAUGAUAUGAGAUACUAUUGCUUUCAACCUUCAUGAUAUGAAAUACUUUUUCUUUGGAUGGGUUGUAUGCAGAGGUACCCCAAGGAAUAAGGAACACUGAGUGACUCGAGAGGGUUUGUUGGAAAGGCAUUCUCUGAGAAGAAAAAGGUUAUGUAUGUUUGCCUUGCCAUGGAGGAUGAAUGUCGACAUUUAUAGGAAAUAAUAACCGGUACUGUUCUUUCACUCUUGUCUGCCUUUCCGCUUAAUGAUAUUCAACAACUGAAAAAUCUCGAAAGACUUGAUCUUUCAUACAAUAGCUUGCUAAUUAAUUAUGACAGUCUCAACAACUUCAGUGGGUCAUUUCCUCAACUUUUCACAUUGAAAUUAGCUGCUGGAAAGUUGAGAACCUUUCCUGAUUUCUUGAGAAAUCAAUCAAUAUUAAGCACUUUGGACCUAUCUCUAAACUAGAUCCAUGAAAUACCCAACUGGAUUUGGAGGCUUAGUAAUCUUGGUGAAUUAAAUCUUUCUUGCAACUCUCUGGUAAAUCUACCAGGUCCUUUCCUCAAUCUUACUUCUCAUUUGUCUGUGCUUGACCUUCAUUCCAACCAGAUUCAGGGACCAAUUCCAAUGCUUCCACCAUCUGCCUAUUAUCUGGAUUACUCAAGAAAUAAUUUCAGCUCAAGCAUACCGGCAGACAUUGGUGAUUUCCUUGAUUGGACAGUGUUCUUCUCUCUUGCAAGUAAUCACAUCCACGGGAUCAUUCCAGAAUCAGUAUGCAACGUGACAGUUCUUCUAGUUCCUGAUCUGUCCAAUAAUUCCUUAAGUGGCAUGAUUCUCCAGUGCUUAACUGCAGGGAACAUGUCCCUUGCAGUACUUAAUUUAAGGAGAAACAAACUUUUUGGCACUCUUCCUGAUAAUUUUCCUGAGCACUGUAGUCUACAAACACUGGACCUCAAUGGCAAUGUGAUUGGUGGUCAGUUCCCAAAAUCUCUAGCCAACUGCACAAUGUUAGAGGCGUUAAACCUGGGAAACAAUCAAAUAACAGAUGUCUUUCCAUGCUUAUUGAAGAACAUAUCCAGCUUGCGUGUACUUGUGUUGCGUGUCAACAAAUUUUAUGAUCGCAUUGAAUGCCUCAAGACCAAUAGUGCCUGACCAAAGCUUCAAAUUAUUGACUUAGCUCGCAACAAUUUUACUGGCGAAAUCCCAGGAAGUUUAUUGAAAACGUGGCAAGCAAUGAUGGCUGACGAAGAUGGUGCCGUGUCAAAUAUUAAUUACCUCGGAAAUCUUCUAGACCACGACGCGGCAUACUAUCUGGAUACUGUAGCAGUUACCGUCAAAGGUGGAGAAAGAGAAUUGGUAAAGAUCUUAACAGGCUUCACCUCAAUUGACAUCUCCUGCAACAAUUUUAAUGGAUCAAUACCUGAGGAAGUGGGGAAGCUGGUAUCACUCUAUGCCCUGAACUUGUCCAGUAAUGCUCUCACAUGCGCAAUCCCAUCAUCAUUAGGUAAUCUACGACAACUUGAGUCCUUAGACCUUUCGGACAACAAAUUGAGAGGAACAAUUCCAUCACAACUUUCCAAACUUAAUUUCCUCUCAUUCCUAAAUCUGUCGAGCAAUCAACUUGUCGGGAAGAUUCCAACCGGCACUCAAAUUCAGUCUUUUUCAGCAGAUUCUUUCGCAGGCAAUAAGGGAUUAUAUGGGCCACCGUUAGAUGACGGAUCAGCAAGGUUGCCACCAACAUUCGAAGGCAAACAUUCUACUUCUGCGCACGGAAUUGAUUGGGAUCUGAUUGGUGCUGAAGUUGGAUUUAUUGUUGGCUUUGGAGUUGCGGUCGGGUCACUUGUGCUGUGCAAGAGAUGGAGUAAAUGGUAUUACAAAACAAUGUAUAAAAAUCCUUGUUAAGAUAUUCCCUCAGCUUGAAGAUAGAAUUGGUCCUCACCGAAGACAUGUCCACAUAAAUCAAAGGUUCGGACGCAUAAAUUAAUUAUCAUGGAGACCAAUGCAGCUGGACCUCAAGCUAUGCAUGGGGAACUUGAGAUCCAACAAAUAAGACGUUUGCUUUUUGGUUUUACCUUUUAAAGUUGUGUAUGUUCUAGUUAUAUUUGUAAUAGUUUAUUGUGUUAUCUUUAUGCUUUGUUUUCAAUAAACUUCCUCUUACCAUCGAGGUUCUUGAAGUUAGCGUAAUCUGAUAAACCCAAGAGUGUACUUUAUGUAAUGUAUUAUUUGUUCGAAUUGUGUAGUACGAUGUCCAGACCAACUCCACCCAAAAGUGUACUACAAAGAAAAUCUUGACUUCUGAAUUGCGAUAUGUUUUAACAUCUUGCCAUUCAAUUUUGAACUCAUCAUAUCCAGUACUACAACGCCUAAUGAUUUAUGUUUCAGAAUUUCCUCACCAACUUUUAUGUCUGAGAUCGUACCAAAAGACAAAAGCCAACCCUCUCAGGUAAGAACAAGAAAUGAAAAACUCAACCGCUUAUACAAAAUCAGCAAACCACGGUUCAAUCAGUAUUCUCCCUUUCAUGUCAGAGCACAAUGAAAUACUCAUCUGCUUUUACAAAAGUUGAGUCACUCGCCCAAUUUCAACUGGUUUUAGGAGGAACCUCAACUUCAAUUAUAGGACAAAAACUUCUAUCGUUUAAGACUUUUAGUUGACAAAUGCGAAGUAUUGAUCGCAAUGAUUAGGUCUUCCAUAUUAACACUUAACUACUAAAAGAUAGGAUUAACACUUAAUAGGAAUUGAAUUGGGCGUGUUCAGUCAACCCAAUAAAUUCUCCACACAGCAGACUAAAGUAGGAGUAACAUGUAGCUUGCAGAUAUGCCUAGACUACUUCAAAGUGAAUUAGAGUUGAUCUAAUCAUAAACCUGAGUAAUGCACUGCAAAUUUCUGGUUUGGAAUCUCUGACGCUCAGAGAAUAAGCAAAAUGCAUGCAACAAAGCCUCCAUCGUUAAACCUGAAAAAACAACAGUAUGUCAAGUUAUUCUUUUCAUUGGAAUCCUGGGUAAACAUAAUUCUUUCAAAAAGAUCGGAUGCAAAUGCCAAUAUCUUACAGAUUUGUAAUUUCAUAUUGUGAACUAGCACCGCAAUAAAAUAUUUACAUGUAAAUUGCGUAGUGUUUCUAAAUGCUUACCAAUUGGUAGCAUUAGCUAUUAUUGCAGUGUAAACCUCCUUCUAAAUGAAUGAAGCCAGGUGAUAUCUCGCACAAAUGUGAAGAACUUGUUGGAAUCAAUGCUUUUCUCUGAAGCUUUAGCCCUUACCAAAGACAAAAUCUUCGAUUAAUGACUCAAGUCCACAAAAACAAGUCUAGAAUUUCCAAGCUUAUUCCUAAAUUCUAUAACUUUUCUCAACAAUAUUAUCAGAUGCCUUUGCAAGGUCAAAUUGAAAAUCUGUUUUGAAAUGGAAUAAAAUGCCAGAGUGGAAGCAUCGUUUAGAGAACCGUCAUCGCCAACAGAGCCUACAACUAGCUCUUCACCUUCCUUUGACUCCUUACCAGAUUUUUCAGAAAGAGGUUUCCUUUUCUUCAGUAAUUUGAAAAGCAUUAGAAUCCGGUACACUCUUCGAAGUUGAUUCACUAUUGGCAGAACCAUCUGUUUUCUUUAAGAGCUUCAUUAUACCUAGUUGAAUUUUUGCACCGGGGUCAUUCUUCUCAGAAAUUGAAAUAUACUCCAUUAUUAUUUGUUUACAAGAUGGAAGUCCUCUCUUAUAGAGGGCCAAAAACUAGUCCUAACAAGUGGACAAGCCAAAUGAUGAUUACAUGAGGAAAACAUCGAAAAGGAAAAUACGGAGAAAAGGAAAGCAAAGCAAAGUAAUGAUGACUAGCUAUAAAGCAAAGUAAUGAUGGAUAGCUAUAAAGUAAAGUAAUGAUGGCUAGCUAGAGGAAUAAUUACAAGUCUAUUGUCUAUACCAAUAAUGUCUACCAACUAUUGUUGACACUCCCCCUCAAGUUGGUGCGUAGAUGUCAUGAAUGUCCAACUUGCUUUGUGAGUUGUGAAAUACUGAACUUGUGACUGCUUUUGUGAGUAUGUCUGCUAAUUGAUCUUCAGAUUUAACGAAUGGAACUUCAAUAAGUCUUGCCUUAAUUUUUUUCUUUAAUAAAAUGUCUAUCCACCUCCACAUGUCUGGUUCGAUCAUGUUGAACCAGAUUGUGAGCAAUGUCAAUUGCAGCCUUAUUGUCACAAUGUAGACGCAUAGCAUGCUUGGGCCUAAAUCCCAAAUCUCUCAGUAAAUUCUUCACCCAAAGCAGUUCACAUACUCAUGUGCCAUGCUUCGAUAUUCUGCUUCAGCACUUGAUCUAGCAACAACCUUUUGUUUCUUAUUACGCCAAGAGACUAGAUUUCCUCCAACAAUAACAAAGUAUCCUGAUGUUGAUCGUUUGUUAGUUACAUCACCAGCCCAAUCAGCAUCAGUGUAGCCCUUAACCUCAAGAUGAUCAUGUUUUGAAAACAUUAAUCAUUUCCCAGGAGCUAACUUUAAAUACCUCAAGAUACGGUUUACAGCAUCCAUGUGUGUUUCACUUGGUAAAUGCAUAAACUGGCUUACCAUGCUGACUGCAUAUCUUAUAUCUGGUCUAGUAUGUGCAAGAUAUAUUAGCUUACCAACAAUUCGUUGAUAUCUCUCUUUGUUGAUAGGUAUCUGAUCAGGAUAUUCACCAAGUUUGUGAUUCAGCUCAAUUGGGGUAUCUGCUGGUUUGCAUGCUAGCAUCCUAAUUUCCGUCAAAAUAUCAAGAACAUAUUUCCGUUGUGAUAGAAAUAUUCCUUGUUGUGAGCGGGCCACCUCAAUGCCCAAGAAAUACUUUAAAGCAUCGAGAUUUUUCAUCUCAAAUUCACUUGCUAGAUACUUUUGUAGUGUUGCCUUCUCUUCUGGAUCAUUUCCUGUAAUCACCAUGUCAUCCACGUAUACAAUAAGAGCAGUGAUUUUACCUUUCUUAUGCUUUAAGAAAAGAGUAUGAUCUGAGUUGCUUUGCUUGUAUCUGAAAAAUUUCAUCGAUUUGGUAAAUCUCCCAAACCAAGCUCUCGGUGAUUGCUUUAAACCAUACAACGACUUUUUUAGUUUACAAACGUUGUUGGUUUGAUUAGGAUCCAGCUUGCAUCCUGAGGGAAGCUCCAUAUAAACUUCUUCUUCUAAAUCUCUAUGCAGGAAAGCAUUUUUGACAUCGAAUUGUUGCAAAGGCCAAUCAAGGUUUGCUGCUAGGGAUAAGAGUACACGAAUAGUGCUUAUCUUAGCUACAGGGGCAAAAGUCUUUCCGUAGUCAAUGCCAUAUGUCCGCGUGUAGCCUUUUGCCACUAAUCUUGCUUUGUAUCGCUCAAUAGUGCCAUCUGCAUUAAAUUUUACCUUGUAUAUCCACCUGCAACCAACUGAUUUCUUCCCCUUGGGUAGGUUAGUUAACUCCCAAGUGGAAUUUUUCUGGAGUGCCUCCAUUUCUUCAUUCAUUGCACGAGUCCACCUAGGAUCUUUCAUAGCAUCCUCUACACUACAAGGAAUAGAUACAGUGGAUAAUUGAUUCACAAAUGCCUCACAUGAUGUAGAUAGCCUAUGGAGGGACACAUGGUUAGCAAUUGGGUAUUUAACCUUGACUCUAGGAUCAGGAUCAUAUAACUGUUUAGGAAUCCCUCGAGAUUUUCGAGAGGGAAGUUGAUAAUUAAUGGACUCAAUUUGCCUUGACUCAGGUACGAUCUCAAUAGAAUUAGAUUGAUCAGUUACCUGUUGAUUGUGUUUAGGGGCUGAUUGAUCAUGUGGUACCAUCGAAGAAGGCAAUCUCAAGCCAUAUGGACUUAACGUUGCUGGAUGUACUUCUGUGUCUGAUGUUGGAGUCGAUGAUUCUGUUUCUGCAUGUAUUGUUUGAUUACAGUCGUCUGCCGACUUAUCAACAUUUAUCUCAGUUUCUGAAAUUUCUGCAACAAUUUUAAUGUUACUAAUGUCUUGGGUAUCCUCUUCAAACAAACUAUUCUCAUUUUGAAGGGGAUACUCAAUGUCUCCCUUUGAAAAAUAUGUUUCUCCUUCUUGAAACUGGACAUCUGCAGUGAUGUAUAGAGUUUGGGUAGGAGGAUGAAAACAUUUGUAUCCCUUUUUUGUAUCAGAAUAACCCAAGAAUACACACUGGAUGGCACAUGGAUCAAACUUCCCCCGUUGAUGUGGAUAAACCUGUACAUAAGCCACACAACCAAAGACACGUGGUUAUAAGUUUGGGAUAGAUGGAAUGGUGAGAAUGUGGUUAAGUGUUUGGAAUGGUGUUUGAUAUUGGAGAGUAUUGAAUGGUGUUCGAUUUAUGAGAUAUGUUGCAGAACACAGUGCCUCUCCCCAAAACUUAUGACGCAUGUUGGCACUAUAUAAAGAUGCACGAACCACUUCUAAGAGAUGUCGAUUCUUCCUCUCUGUUACACCGUUUUGUUGAGGUGUAUAGGCACAUGUGGUUUGAUGAACAAUACCAUGCUCUUGCAAAUAGUUAUGUAGAGCAUGAUUGACAUAUUCUUCUCCAUUAUCAGACCUGAGUGUCUGAAUUUUCUUGUCAAACUGGGUUGCAACAUAUUGAUGAAAAAAAUUGAACUUGGUAGGAACUUCACUCUUGUGCUUCAUUGGAAACACCCAGGUCAUUCUAGUACAGUCAUCUAUAAAUGUCACAAACCAUCUAAAUCCAGAAGUGGUAAGAAUUCUGGCAGGACCCCAAACGUCAGAAUGAACGACCAUGAAUGGCACAAAACUUUUAUUUAAUCUUAAUGGAUAGGAAACACGAUGACUUUUGGCCAAAAUACAAAUUUCACAAUGGAAAUCAGAUUCUUUGAAUUGGGGAAAAAGUUUAGGGAAUAAAAGUUUAAGAUAACCAAAUGAGGGAUGUCCUAAUCGCUUGUGCCAUAACCAAAUCUUCUUCAUUUGGGUUGAUUCGUCUCUGCUUACAUGAUGCACUAGACUCAAUCUAUUGCUGCAUUCUUCCAUUAAGUCCAAAUAAUAUAGUUUGCCCCUUCUAGUACCACAACCAAUCACGGCCCUUGUGAGCAGAUCCUGGAAAAGACAAUAUAGUGGCCAAAAUGAAACAGAACAAUUAAGGGAGUCAAUAAUUUGAGAAACAGAUAAAAGAUCGUAAUCUAGGGAUGGUACAACUAGGACAUGAUCAAGAUUGAGUGAGGAGGUUAGUGAAAGAGAGCCUUCUCCAGUAACUGGAGAGAUUGAACCAUUGGCACUGGUAAUGAAUGUCUGGUUGGCUGUUUUUAGUGAGUGAAGAAUGUUAGCAUCAAAUGUCAUGUGAUAUGUAGGUAUCAAGGUUCUAAAAAUCGCUAGGCGCUAGUCAAAUGGCUAGGCGGACUAGGCGGAUUUAAGUAAAUCUAUCAUAUUUCAUGUAAAUAAGUGUCUGCUUCUACUUGAAAUAUAUAUAAUUUCAUCAUAAACUACAAAAUACAAUGCAUAUAUAUCAUGAAGUAUUGGAACAUAAUGAAAACAUGUGAAAUAAGGAUAUAAUGUUUGUUCAUUCAAGUAUGCAACAAGUCUCUUACAAUUUAUUGGAAAAAAACAAAAUGCAAAAUGAAAGUUACGUAUUUUCUGUCUAAGUGAGGUGCAACCUAGGCAGGUUAGGCGGGUGCCUAGGCGGGCUAGGCGGGUGCCUAGGUGGUCUAGGCGGUGAGCUGGGGCCUAGGCAUUAAUCGGGGCGGUGGGCUAGGGGCUGGGGCCUAGCGCCUAAGCGGGGAUUUUUAGAACAGUGGUAGGUAUCAAUAAUCCACGAUCUAUUACAAGUAUUAGUGGAUGUAGAGUUAGAUAUAUUUGAGGUGUUCAAGGCUUUUGGGACAUGGUCAGAUGAGUAACAUCUUGAGAAGACUCAGAAGUGGUGAAUGAUGCUCUGCUGGAUUCCUUUUUUGGUCCUUUGUGAACCCAUCCUUCUGGAUAGCAAAUAAUCUCAUAACAGCCUUGAAUAGUAUGAUUUUUCAAUCUGCAUUUGGUGCACUGCAUAGGUGGUCGAUUACGAAAUCGAUCAGCUGUUGAGGAGUUUAUGUUUUGAAGUCGAGGUCCUUGUGGAGAUCGAGAAUUUGUGGUAAAGAGCACAGUAGCUUCAGGCAUGGUGGCACUUUCUGAUAUGGUUCCUUAUCAAUUGCUUUCACGUUUGACAUGAGAGUAUGCUCCUUCAAGACCAGGUUUGGGCUCCAUCAUCAAAAUCUCACCACGAAUUUGAUCAAACUUGUUGUCUAAUCCUGCAAGAAAAAUAUAGACUCGAAGUCGCAAUUUCUUGCUGCCUUGAUAAGAUAUCAUCUGUGUCCUUCAUGUUAGUAGGACUAAGUUGAUCAAGUUCUUGAAAAAUCUCGGUGAGAUUGUUGUAAUAGUUAGCAAUAUGAGCUCCAUUUUGCUUCAUGGUAAAUGACCUUUUGUGAAGAUCAUAAAUUUUGGCUUCAUCAGAGCCAUCUGAGUAAGUCUUUUUUAUGGCAUCCCAUACUUGCAUGGUUGUGUCGUAACGGAUGAACCGCUUCAUCUGAUUGGGUGUCAUAACAUCAAAUAACCAACUUUUGACUUGGCAAUUUUCAGCUCGCCACUUGUUAUACAGUGGGUCUGUGAUUGCAAGCUGCUUGGUAUCACCGGAAAGAUGCCCAUGUUUUUCUCGACCAACAAUUUUCAUCUUUAUGACUUGAUGCCAUAGAGAAUAGUUGUUCUCAUCAGGUUUAAUUCCUGCAGAGAAAUUGGAAUUAUCAUUUUGAAUGGUGACCACUUGUGUGGUGGAGUUUGAUUCACAUGGUGUGAAGGACUGAAUUGGUGGGUCUGAUACUUUAUCAUCACUAGCCAUUGUAUAGGCUUAAGAUCAAUGAAGUUGAAAUAAAAAUAAAACUGAUAUGAUGAUUGAGAUAUGAUAUGGCGGAAGCUUUUUUCUGUUUUUGAGGUUCAAGAGUCAGUCGUGAUCGACUGCUCUGAUACCAUCUCAAAAUUUGAAAUAUACUUCAUUAUUAUUUGUUUACAAGAGGGAAGUCCUCUCUUAUAAAGGGCCAAAAACUAGUCCUAACAAGUGGACAAGUCAAAUGAUGAUCACAUGAGGAAAACACCGAAGAGGAAAAUAAGAAGAAAAGGAAAGCAAAGUAAUGAUGACUAGUUAUAAAGCAAAGUAGUGAUGACUAGCUAUAAAGUAAAGUAAUGAUGGCUAGCUAGAGGAAUAAUUAUAAGUCUAUUAUCUAUACCAAUAAUGUCUAGCAGCUAUUGUUGACACUUCUGACCAAAAUAACCACUGGGAAGUGUAUCUAACGGACCAAGUCCACUAUAUGCAUCAACGGCAGAUUGAACUUCACUCUCACGCUGGCAACAAGUAAUUCUAGCAAACCCUUCACUCAGCUUAGGCAGUUCUUUCUUCUGCAGCAUUCUAUUCACAAUCACAACAGCUUUCCCGCCUUGCACGUUUCCUUCAUGGCCGUUCGCUUCACGACCGUGAUAUACCAAGCUUGGCGGGAAGAUCAAGCACCACAGCAUGAACAUCAACCUGGGCACUACCACCAAGCUUCACAAAUCAUCCCUUUGUGCUUUCUCUAAAUUACACCUACCUAUAAACACACUCUUCCCAUUCUUCAACCAUUUUUGAUAGUAUCCUAUAUAAAAACAUAAAAAGUGAACUUAUAACAGCAUAAAACAAGAACCAAAAUGAAUAGAAAUCUGGAGUAUCACACUAAGUAUUGAAAAUAGCAAUCUUGAGCCCACUGAGGCAUUUCAUCGAAAAUAUUGUGCACAUAGAGAUAAACCUGGCAAAGCCAGCACCCUAAAAUGGUAAAGCUUUCAAUAUAUUAAAAAAGCAUUCCCUUUUUAAAAAAGAAAAACUAACAAUGAAGUUUCAAAACUUUAAAUUUUAAUAAAAAAUCAUGUAAUAACUUUAUUUAAUAGUUAGAAUAAAGCAUAACACUAAACCAGUCCAAUUAAAAUGACCUAAAGGUUGAGUUUCCGAUUGUGCCCCAUACAGCAAAGCAACAUGCCGUCCCUUCCUUCUCGUACCUUUUCUUUUUAUCCAAGUAUGGAAGUAGUUCUAGUAAUUUUUUUUUCUUUUGAAAAUUUUUAAUCACGACAUUUUAAUUGAGAAGAGCAAAAUAUUAAAAAUAUCCCAUCUCCAAGGAUUUUUUAUUUUUUACCAAAUAUUCAAGCAAGUAGUUUCGUUGACUGUUUUUUUUUUAAAAUUCUUUAAUCACAUUUUCUAAAUUUAAAUUCAUUCAAAAAAGCAAAAAAUAAAACGAAAGAGCAAACUAGUUACAUUAAACAUACAGGCUUUUUUUUUAAUUUUUUAAUAUUUAAUUUAUAAACAAUAGCUUUAAUUAAAUUGUUUUUCUUUUGUUUUGAACGAACGAUACUAUUUACACGAAUCCGGUGACGAAGUGGGCUAAGCCUCACAAUAGGCUAACAAGCGAAGAUGAAUUUAAACCUUAGAUUUCUCACUUACAAGUGAAGAUGAAUACCACUAGACCGUAGUAUUAAGUGGCUAGUGGGUUAAAUUGUUAAAUACGAGAGAGACGAGGGAUCGGUAGGGAUUGAACGCAUCAGGAUGCAUACACAGUAACCUUGAUUAAUGACAUUCGAAAUAAAGAGAAAAAUAAAGAAAAAGAAAGAAAAUAAUCUAUACGAGGGUACAAACACAUAUUAAAUACAAAUCAUCUAGCUUAUUAGAUGGAGUAUUUGACAAAUCAAAUAAUGUAGCGAGCCAGGCCGCCGCGUGAGGUCGAAUGGGGUGUGUUAGACAAAUAAGAUAAUGUAGUAAAAUUCCUACGUAUUUUAGAUGAACUUUAUUUUAAGAGGACAUGUGAGAUUUGUGAAUGCCAAAAAUACCAUACGAAUUCUAUCUUAUUUUACCCCUUUUGCGCCCGAAUGAUGGUAGUUGGGAAUUUCAUCCUAUCCCAGGCCACGAUCAAGCAGAUUCACAACUUACAAAGUAUUAAACCUAAGACCUCCCUUUUUUUCCUUUGGGGAGUUGUUGUUCGCCUUUGUUUCACUGAAUCACUUGUCCUGGUUUAUUGAUGAUAGUAUUUUACUGGAAGUAAUAUAUCAUACACUCUUUCUUUCUCCCCAAACACCCUUUUUCAAUCUUUUUCGUUGAUUUUGUUGAAAUUAUUCAAUUUGAUAACACAAUACAAAAAAAUGCUUGGGGUUAUCAUUCUUUUAUUCACUAAUCACAAAACCAAUUUGUUAUAUGUGAAAUGUACCAAUUUUUUUUAACACUAUGGAUACAUUCUUUUGCCAUUUAUUAUUUCUUAUUUUUACAUAGUUUUUAUCCAUUUAUUUAAUCAAAAUGUUUGAAUUUUUUUAUUGGAACCUUUUCUAAUAGUAUUAUAAUGAGAGAUUUUAAAUUUAUAGGAUUAUAAAUCUCAUAAAAUAUCAAACAAUUAAUGUCAAAACUAUAAAAAUAAAAAUAUUAAUAGUAAUAUAAUGAGGUGUACAAAGUCAAGGGAUCUUGAUCAAACUUUGAAUACGAUUAAGGUUUUAAUCAAAGAAUGUUAAGGAUUAUGAACCGUAUCCAAAAUAUCCCUAAAAUAAAAUAAAAUUUCUGCCCCCUACCAAACAGCCAUACCAAAGAAGUCAACCUAACAAUGUCACAAUUCCACAGCUAGCCCCUGAAGUUACAGGCAUGGCCAUGAAUUUCACAUUUGAGAAAAGUGAGACCUUACAUGUGCAGCAUACUUAUAAGUAAUUGAAAUGCUCCCAAUAUUACCAAUUAGUUUUAUGGUGCAACCUCAACUUUUUUCAUGCUGCUAGAGCAGAUUGUUCUAUGUAUGAAACCGAACGGCCACAUGUGCUCCAUGUAACACGAUUUAUGUUGUCUACAUGCUAGGCUUGAAAAUCCGUCUUCUGUGAAGUUGCUUAGGGGCCCGGAGGUGAUGGUUGCUCCACCAAGUCUUUGCCCCCACGGUCACCUCGCUUUUAAUUCGGACCCUAUUUUUGUUGCAGGUUACAGACUUUGAGAUGUGGGAUUUUAGAGGGAGAACACUUGAAAGUCGAGCAAUUUUGGAGGGAGAAGACUUAGACCUAGUUUGGGAGUGAGGUGCUUAAAAAAAAAACACCCAUGAAAAAAAGUUGUGAGGGUUUUAGGUGUUUGGUAAACUGAAAAAAAAGAGCUUAUUUUGGAAGCUACUGUGAGAAUAAGCUGAAAUCAAAGGAAAAAGCUGAAGCUGCUAUUUGUAGCUUUGGAAAACUGGCUUUUUUUCAAAUCACAUGGAGCUACAGUGCUUCUUUAAUGAAAAAAUCCAAUAUUAGACUGCUUUUUUUUUUCCAAAAGCACUUUUACAAAAAAGUUUACCAAACACUCUGCUGAUUUAUUUCACAGCCGCUUAUUCUCACAGCACAGCCGCUUAUUCUCACAGCAGCUUUUUUUUCAAAGCACAGUAAUACCAAACCAGCCCUUAGUCAGUCAACAGCCACCGGAAAUGAAGAUAGGAAAGCAACCCGGUAAGACUUGAACAUCAACCCAACCACAAAACCGAAUGACCACUGAAAAUUUCUGGUGUUUGGUGGCAAUGUACUGAGAGUUUGUGGUUGAAAAUCUCUAGGUGUUCUGGAAGUAAGCAGACUGCAUGCAAUAAAGCCUCCAACCAUCUAUCCAAACUAUGUUAAAACCUGGUUGAGCAAAGUUGUAGGCGCUGAUUCUUUCUUUUUCAAAUACUAAUGAAGAAAUUUUUUACAUCUAAAGAGAAAAAAAAAAUGUACUAGCAACGGUUAAUUAUCACCUGACAUAGAAUGAACACAAUAAGAAGCGAGUGAUUUAAGUGCAAGUUUUUAUUUUGGACAAAAAAAGAAGGACGUUCAUGCAACCAAACGUACAAAUAAAGGACUUGUAGGUCAAUUGGUUUAAGUAUUUACCCAUGAGAGAAAAAACACGAUGACGCGUUUAUGGAAUGCAAAUCAUAUAAAGCAAUCAUGAGCACCCAUGUAGGUGGGAGUGUGACAUGCAUCCACUUUCUUCCACUUCUCUUGUGUUGGCACCACUAUUUCUUCAUGGCUACAGAGAUGGCAGAAGACUUCAAAGUCCACAUGAAAGAAGAAAAACUAUUCGUCCCAUUUCCCCUUUUCCGAUUCAACAAUGCGUAUUAAAGCCACCACAACCAUUCUCAGUUUCCAUCACUUUCCCCGAUUAUAGUCCACGGGCCUAGCCCCCAGAGCAGCCACUAAUUAAGACCAAAUUGGUCUCUGACUCACACACCAUUACACAUUCUUUAUAUGCAUGUGUAAUUAUUCCCAACAGAACACAGUAUAUUUACAAAGAAGAAUAACUAGGGACCUGCCUAUUGCCUAAGCUAUUCCUUACUUACAUUUGGUGUCACAUAUCAGCAGCAACUUCCGAUGAAAACUCCUCUGCUUUCAUGGCUUUUCUUAAUCCGCAUUUGCUGUGUUUCACUCAGCUUCCAUACGUUUGUGGUCUCUAGACAAUGUCCCGGCGAUCAGCAAUCUUUGUUGCUACAAUUGAAGAACAGCCUCACAUUUGACCCUGCAACAUCUCAAAAACUUGUGAACUGGAACAAUGGCUCGGAUUACUGCUCUUGGGAAGGAGUGUGUUGCAAAGAGGGUUGUGUUUCGAAUCUGGACUUGAGCAGCGAGGCGAUUACUGGUGGACUUGAUCAUUCCAGUUCUCUUUUUGGUCUGAAGUCAAUUGAGAACCUAAACUUGGCUUACAACUUCUUCAACUACACUCAGCUUCCUUCCGAGCUCAAGCAGCUAACAGGUUUGAGUAAUCUGAACUUGUCGAAUGCUGGCUUUGCAGGGCAGGUUCCAAUUGAGAUUUCACACCUUACGAGGUUGGUAACUCUUGAUUUGUCUACCUUUUAUUUCUCGGGAGCUCUGUUGCUGAAACUUGAGAUGCUGAAUUUGAAUGUGCUGCUUGGGAAUUUUUCUGAGCUUGUUGAACACUAUCUUGAUAGUGUGAAUAUUUCAGCACAGAGAACUGAGUGGUGCCAAGCUAUAUCAUCUUCACUGCCAAAAUUGAGGGUGCUGAGCUUGUCCAGUUGUAAUCUUUCAGGCCCUAUUGAUGGUUCAUUACUGAAGCUUCACUCCCUCUCGGUUAUUCGUUUAGAUAACAAUGAUUUGUCUACUCAAAGUUCCCAAAUUUGACUUCCUUGCACCUAAGCGAUUCUGGCUUAUAUGGUUCAUUCCCAGAGAAGAUCUUCCAGCUACCUACAUUGCAGACUAUUAACUUAUCAGGCAAUCAACAUCUUCAGGGUUCCUUACCAGAAUUUCCAAAGAAUGCAUCUCUCCGGUCCUUGGUUCUAAGCGGGGCUAACUUUUCAGGCCAGCUGCUUCCGAACUCUCUUGGAAACCUCAAAAUGUUGUCCAACAUAGAUAUUUCGGGUUCCAAUUUCACUGGAUCAAUCCCAAGGUCAGCAGGACACCUUCAUCAAUUGGUUUAUUUUGACUUGUCACGGAACAAGUUCAAUGGCUCUGUUCCAUCCUCCAGUAUGGCCAAGAAUCUGACCCUUAUAAACCUUUCUCACAAUCAGCUAACGGGUCAGAUUAAUUCCACUCACUGGGAAAACCUUACUAAUCUGAUGUAUCUCAACUUGAGAUCCAAUCAAUUAGAUGGGUUUAUUUCACCAUCUCUGCUUUCUCUUCCCGUCCUGCAACAAUUACAGCUUUCCAACAAUCACUUCUCUGGUCAGUUGCCUGAAUUUUCAAAUGUCUCUUCGUACUUACUGGGUACCCUCGAUUUGAGUUACAACAAAUUGGAAUGGUCAAUUCCGAUGUCUAUCAUGAAAUUCCAAGGGCUUAAGAUUCUUUUACUUUCAUCAAACAACUUCACCGGCUCUUUCCUUCUGAAUGAUAUUCAGCAGCUAAGCAAUGUUUCAAAUCUUGAUCUUUCUUUCAAUAGCUUGUCUAUUAAUUACAAUGACAUCAAUUCCUCUCCUUGUUCAUCUCCAAAAAUUACCACCUUGAAGUUAGCUUCUUGCAAUUUGAGAAGAAUCCCAGGUUUCUUGCGAAAUCAAUCGACAUUAGGCACUUUGGACCUAUCACAAAACCAGAUUCAUGGUGAGAUACCCAACUGGAUUUGGAAGUUGAGUAGUCUUAGUCAACUAAAUCUUUCUUGCAACUCUUUGUUAACACUAGAAGGUCCUGUCCUCAAUCUUACUUCUAUUUUCUCAGUGCUUGACCUUCAUUCCAACCAGCUUCGGGGACAAAUUUCAGUUCUUUCACCAUUUGUCUAUUAUCUGGAUUACUCAAGAAAUAAUUUCAGCAUUCCGGCUGACAUUGGUAAUUUCCUUAUUGUUAGAGUUGCUGCACAAUAAAACAGGAACAAUAUUACCAGAGAAUGAAGAACGUAAAAUGAAAAUCUGUCUUGGGUUGAGUUGCGGACAAUGUCGCUUUCUUUAAGACGUUUCACGGCUUUGCCCAAUGUGUGCAAACAGUUCGAAUAACACCACGUCGUCCCCAGGAUAAAACAGCCCAGAAUCCCUCUGUCUAGACCUUCCUUUGCACUGAGGAAGAUCCGAAAACACUCACCCUCUGAAUACUCAGUGUUAUUAGCUAGGUUUUUCUUAGUUUUUUUCUUUGUGUGUCGACUAAAGAGAGGUCCUCAAAUUUAUAUAGAAAAACCAAAGUUUAACGUUGAAGAGGUUGAGGGAAAGGUGGCCUAAGAAUCAGGCCAAAAAAUCUGGUAGUGAUCACCUAGUUGAGGAAGACUAGGUCUUUUCCUUUAUCUUCAAAACCAAAAUCUAUUUGAUAAAAUACAAGUAACCAUAAAAAUAGGAGAGCUAGUUCCUGAAUAAAACCAUAACUAUGGUUUUAAAAUAAACACAAAGUUUCAACAAUCCCCCACUUGUUUAUUUAAAAACAAAAUUUGUUCAUUGAGCAAUCAAGUUAUAGAGUUGUGCUUAAGCACAAGUGUUAAUCAACUUGAACUAGUACAUAGUGUCAUUGCCUCAGAACAACAAGUGUUACACCCCACCCCCAAUUAUAUGUAUAAAUUCGUAAUUUUCCCAAAAAUUUAUUGGAAUUAUAAAUUUAGUCCCUAGUUCUUUACCCAAUCCGGAUCUAAAAGUGGGAUUUCCUCCAACCCUCAAACUACCAUGUGGCAGCACCCCAACACUCCUCACUUUUCUCUCUUUUUUCCCCCACCCCGAGACCUCUCUCUCACUCUCACCUUCAGCUCUUUCUCUGCACUCCCUCUUCCUCUCUCGAAAACCCUCUCACUCUCUCUCCCUUCGACCCACACCAGACAGCACCCACAUCACCUUCUCGCUGUCAUCUACACCACCACCAUCAACACCUCAUCUUUUUCUUUCUUUCUCUCUCUCUCUCUCUCUCCAGCGACAGAAAACUCUCCAGUGAGAUUUUCUCAUCUUUCCAGCUAGGUAAGCCUCGGGAUUCUCUCUCUGUGUUUUAGGUUGAUGUUGAGUUCGAUUGUUGAGAGAUUAAUUGUUGUUGAAACACCCCAACCCCAUUUUAUUUAAAAAAUUGUUUUAAAGCCGUAAUUGGUGAGCCUGUGGGGCCCACCUUGUUUUAUUUUUUUGUGUUUCCCAGUCUCCCUUUCUCCUAUCCCAGUUCUCUUUCUUCCUCUUCUUCUUCCCUUUCCCGUAUACCUCUCUCAUCUCUCUCUCCCUCUCUAUCACCAUGAACACCCACCACCAUAACCACCUGCAGCUACUCUACUCGAGAACAUCAUCAUCAUCAUCAAGCAUUGCUCUAGUCUCUCUUCCAUCGCAGCGAGAUUGGUGAAAGCAGAGAAAAGGAACCUCCGGCGAGCACUGACCCUUUCGAGGCCAUUUCCGGCCAAACCAAGGCAAGUUGGCCGGCAUGUAACGUAUCAAUCUCUUCGUCUCCCUGAGUACUACAACUUUCCUUUUUGUUUCACUCAAUUUCGUUGAGUAUUGAAGAAGUUAUACUCAUUUGAAUUUUACCCAGUUUCCGGCGACCUCCGAGUCUUUCAAGGAAUUUUCCGGCCAAACCACGGCGAGUUAGACAUCAUGUGAGGUAUCAUUCUCUUCGUCUCUUCAAGGGCUACAACUUUCAUUUUGUCUCACUUGAUUUCGUUGAGUACUGACAAAGUUAUAGCCGUUUAAAGUUGGGUAGUUUUCCAGCCGAAUUUCCUACCUUCUCCUUCGACAAACCCAGGCCAUCCGGCCUAUCCCAUUUCCUCCCCUCGGGCCUUAGGCCCGUGUUGUCUUAAGCCCAAAACCCUAACCCCUUUAGUUUUUAAGUUUGUUAUUUGGUUUUUAAAACCCUUAAGGCCUGGGCCGGUUUUGACUUAAAGGGCUUAAAGCCCUGUUAGUUUUUGUGAGGCCUUAGGGCCUUGGUGCCGUGGGUGUGUGUGUUAGGUGUGAGUGUGUGUAUGUGUUUAUGCAUGCACAUGCAUGCCCCGUGUGUGUGUGUAUUUGUAGUAUGUGUGUGUGUUUGGGCUAAAGCCCAAACCCCAAUUCUCACCCUAAAGCCUUUUAACCCAAAAACCCUAGGUUUCUAAAACCCAUUUAAAACCCUAAUCCGGAUUUCAAGUCUAAAACUCGUUUGACCUAAUUUGACGGUUGACUCCCGGUCAACGUUGGCCUUCAAGGUUGACUUUUCGGGUUUUUGCUCAAAAUCCCUCUUAAGCUAAUUUCAACGUUCUGAAUCUGUUUCCAACGUCCGUUUUCCCAAAUUCAAUUUCUAUUAUAUAGUUUUAUUUAUUGGACUCUUUAUGUGCUUAGGGGCAAUUAUUGUGACGUUUCCGUCUUCGCUAGUGGCGUAGUUUUUGGCAGCUAAGUACUGUGAGUUGACCCUUUCUAAAAUUACAUGAUUUUAUAGUUUAAUUGCAUAAAUGAUUAGCAUGCCUACGAAUUUAUGAAGUGAUUUAUGUGAAGCCUGUUGAUUUAAUAUAUUGAUUUUCGUCUCGUGUUUUUGGUGAGGAAUUCAUUGUUGGCCUAUAUUGAGCUAUAUUUUAAUAUAUCGUAUUUUCUAUAAAAACCAUGAACUGGUAGACUAUCUGAUAGAUGACGAUAGGAUGCUAGAACAUGUUUUUGAACCCCUCUUUAUAGUGUAGACGAUGAUCGAUAAUCUCAGUUAUGAAGUGGUUAUUUAUGAGAUGCGUGAAUAUUUGUGCGUACCUAGUAGACACUAUGCCGCCUGGGGCGAGGAACUGGUGUUGGCAUUUAGGCCGGGAGAAAUAAUCCCUAGCUAUGGGCUGAGGGACAUGGAGCAGGUAUUGGGCCGGGAGUUGUUAAUCUCUGACUACGGGCGCAGAGACCACGGAGCAGGCAUUGGGCUGGGAGUUAUAUUUAUUCGGUGAUGUUACUAGCAACACACCGCGCUUAUGAGACGAUUUAUGAGACGUUUACUAUUUUGAUUUCCGCGAUGUUAUUCCGCGAUAUGGCUUUUGAGAUAUUUUGGCAUGCUAUGAUUUUUAUUAAAUCCAUCACUUAUUAUGCUAGUAGUUUUCAUUAUAUAAACUGUGGGGGUUAGUAUCUUGAUAACUGUUUUAUUAUUAUUAUUAUAUAUAUAUAAACUUGGCUCACUCACCUUUGUUUUGUGCCCCCAUUCAGGACUUAGAAUCAAGGCAUCUAAUCCCGGCGUGAAGGCACUUCCGCAGCAGCAUAUUCGAGUCCUCUUGGUGUAGGACCCUCAUCCUUUAUUUAUUCAAUUUUAUAUAAAUUCUUUUAGUGAUUAGGUUUAGUUGUAUGCUCUAAACACGUUCCUAAAUUGUUAGUUCAUUGUAUUUCAAAUUUCUAACCCUUAUUUAUUUCUUAUUCUUAGCUUUUGUAUCAAUUAAUGGCUUUCGUCACCCUCGGGUGUCGGCCAGCACGUGUCUAUCCUGGUAUUCGGGGAAUAUCAGGGUCAGGGCGUGUCAGUUGUUGGCAAGGUUUAAAACGAGAAAACGAGACUGGCUCGGGGAAACGAAACCCAUCUCCAACGAGUCCCAUGGGUGUCGAGGAGUUUUUUUACCACCACUGGCCGUUUCACGACGAACCAAAGGUAUCAAAUCACUCAUUUCACUUUCCACUACAUGUUGAUACUAGAUCGAAGCUUAGGGUCCUUGUUUAUCGUCAGCCGGAGCUGGGAAAGCUUCGACGUUCACCUCUAUCAAGCCCAAGCCUUUCAGGCCGUUUCAAACCCUCAGGUUUUAGGCCCGUUAAGAACCUAGCCCAAAAUCCUUUUCCGUUUCAUUUUUAUUUUUUAUUUUAAUUGUUUUAAAACCUAAAAGGCUUUCGGGCAUGUUCCUUUAAGGCCUUUAGCUCAUUGACCCAACCCUAAAAAAAUCUUAUAUUUGGGCCAGGCGUUUAAGCCUGGGCCUGUGUGAUUUAAAACCCAGGUUAAGGCUUUAGGGCCAAAUAGAACUUGGGCUUCCAGCCCAACCCUAAGCCUAUUUCCCUAAACCCAUUAACCCUAAACACGGUCUAACCCUAAGCCCAGACCCUGUUUGGCCUGGUCUGACCCGAACCCGUUAACUUUAACCUGAUCUGACUGUUGACCCUUUCGGAUAUUAAAAUCUUUCAUCUUCCCCUUCUACACCUGACUCUUUAUGUCGGCACAUUUCUGAUCAAGUUCCUGGGCUUCCCUGACCAUAUCCACCAAAACAUAUCUAACCUGGAAGUGUGCCAACCAAGCUUUCUGAUCACGCGGUUUCACAGUAAUGCUGGUUUCUCGAAGAGAAAAUAGUAACGGAACAUGGAUAGCUCCAAGAGAAGCAAGAUGUCCGUGAUAUUUCCGGCUAAGUGCAUCCGCCACUACAUUGGCAUGUCUGAGAUGAUAUUCGAUCGUGCAGCCAUAGUUAAUGAUGAGCUUCAUCCAUCUUCUUUGCCUCAAACUCAAAUCUUUCUGCAUAAAGAUAUAUUUGAGGUUCUUAUGAUCAGUGAAGAUGCGGCACUUCUCGCCAUACAGGUAAUGUCUCCAGAUUUUCAGAGUAAACACCACUGUGCCAAGUUCCAAAUCAUGAGUGGGAUAAUUUCUCUCGUGGGUCUUGAGGUGCCUAGCAGCAUAGGCAAUGACUUUCCCAUGCUGCAUCAAUACACAACCAAAACCUGAAAGAGAUGCAACAAUGUAGAUCUCAAACUCACCACCCUCUUCCGGAAGGGCAAGGACUGGAACUUGAGUAAGAUGUUGCUUCCACUCCUGAAAACUCUGUUCACAGUUUUCAUCCCACUCAAACUCGACCUCCUUCCAACUUAACUUAGUCAAAGGCAAGGCAAUUGCUGAGAAACCCUUAACAAAUCGUUGGUUAUAGCCAGCUAGACAUAGAAAACUCCUCACCUUUGUAACAUUCCUCAGUUGCUCCCAUGUAGAUAUUGCCGAAACCUUCUGAGAAUCCACACUAAUUCCCUCAGCAGAUACUACAUGUUCGAGAAAGCUGAUCUGGUUUAGCCAGAACUGACACUUACUGAAUUUAGCAUACAACUACUGACUUUUCAACCUUUCCAACACCAACCUCAAAUGUUUCCUGUGUUUGGCAACAUUCUUAUAAUAGAUCAGGAUGUCAUCGAUGAACACAAUCAUAAACCAGUCCAGAUACAGUCUGAAGACACUGUUUAUCAAAUCCAUAAACGCUGCAGGUGCAUUCGUUAAUCCAAAAGGCUUGACAUAGAAUUCAAAGUGUCCAUACCUGGUACGGAAGGCAGUAUUCGGUACAUCUUCCUCCCGGAUUAGUAGCUGGUGAUAACCUACGCGAAGAUCAAUCUUAGAGAACACCUAAGCACCAUUCAGUUAGUCAAACAUGUUGUACAUGCCUCAAGAUAACGAAGUGAUGAAAAAGGAAAUCUUGGAUGAAGCACACAUUUCAGCAUAUGCCAUGCAUUCGAGAAGCACCAAACUGUAUCACACUAUUCGUCUGUUCUAUCACUGGGUUGGAAUGAAACGGGAUAUGGCGGAUUAUGUGAGUAGAUGUAUUAUCUACCAACAGGUGAAGGCUAAGAAACAACGACCUAGGGGACUAAUGCAAAAUCUUCCGAUACCAGUAUGGAAAUGGGAAGACAUCACCAUGGAUUUUACGUAUGGUUUGCUGAGGACAUAGUCGGGAUUUGACAACAUUUGGGUAAUUGUAGAUCGACUCACUAAGACCACUCACUUAUUGCCUGUUCGGCAAACCUAUUCACUAGAAAAGCUAUCGAAGUUGUUCAUCGAUAAUAUUGUCAGAAUUCACGAUGUACCCGUCUCCAUCGUUUCAGACAGAGAUCCCAGGUUUACUUCUAGGUUUUGGAAAGUUUUUAAUACUGCCAUAGGUACUCAAUUGUUGUACAGCACUGCCUACCAUCCUCAGACCGAUGGUUAGUCCGAGCGGAUAAUUCAGGCAUUGGAGGACAUGUUAAGAGUGUCUGUUAUUCAGUGGAAGGGUAAUUAGGAUAGCUACCUGUCGUUGGUUGAGUUUACAUACAAUAACAGCUAUCAUUCAAAUAUCGACAUGGCACCUUAUGAGGCUUUAUAUGGGAAAGUGUUUCGGACACUGUGGUGUUAGACAAAGGUCGGCAAACGAGUGUUAGUGGGGCCAGAGAUUGUGGACACCACCAAUGCUAACAUCCAGCUGAUUAAGAGAAACCUAAAGGUAGCAUAAGACCGACAGGAUAAAGUUUUGAAGAACAAAGUUAUUUCGUUGGUGAAAGUGCUUUGGAGGAACCAUGUUGUUGAGGAAGCGAAGUAGGAAACGGAGAAUUUGAUGAGAAGUCAGUACGCGUUUUUAUUUGGUUGAGGUUGUAAUUUCGAGGAUGUAAACUUUUUUAAGAGGGUAGAUUGUUACACUCCACCCCCAAUUAUAUGUAUAAAUUCGUAAUUUCCCCAAAAGCUUAUUGGAAUUAUAAAUUUAGCCUUAGUUUGUUACCUAAUCCAGAUCUAAAAGUGGGAUUUCCUCUCAACCCUCAAACUGCCACGUGGCAGCAACCCAACACUCCUCACUUUUCUCUCUUUUUCCCCUACCUCAAGACCUCUCUUUCACUUUCACUUUCAGCUCUCUCUCUGUGCACUCCAUCUUCCUCUCUCGAAAAUCCUUUUACUUUCUCUCCCUUUGACCCACACCCGAGAGCACUUACACCACCUUCCCGACGUCAUCAACAACACCACCAUCAACACCUUGUCUCUUUCUUUUUCUUUCUCUGCUCGCUACGAGGACGGGGAAAGACUGAAAACUCUUCGGUGAGAUUUUCUCAUCUUUCCAGCUAGGUAAGCCUUAGGAUUCUAUCUUUCUAUUUUAGGUUGAUGUUGAGUUCGAUUGUUGAGAGAUUUAAUUGUUGUUGGCAAGGUCUAAAACGAGACCAGCUAGGGGAAACAAAACCUAUCUCCGACAAGCCUUGUGGGUGUCGAGGAGUUUUCUGACCACCACCAGCCGUUUCACGACGAACCAAAGGUAUCAAAUCACUUCUCUCACUUUCCUCUACAUGUUGAUACCUAGAUCGGAGCCUAGGGUCAUUAUUUGCUGUCGAUCGGAGCUAGGAAAGCUCCGGCGUUCACCUCCGUCAAGCCUAGGCCUUUUAGGCCGUAUCAAACCCUCGGGCUUUAUGCCUAUUAAGAACCCAGCCCACAAUCCUUUUUUGUUUCUUUUUUAUUUUAAUUAUUUUAAAACCAAAAAAGCUUCGGGCCUAUUCUUUUAGGGCCUUGGCCCGUUGACCCAACCCUAAAAACUCUUAUAUUUAGGCCAGGCAUUUAAGCCUGGGCCCAUGUGAUUUAAAACCCAGGUAAGGCCUUAGGGCCAAAUAGAACUUUGGCUUCCAGCCCAACCCUAAGCCCAUUUCCCUAAACCCAGUCCAACCCUAACCCGUUUAACUUGGUUUGACCUGGACCUGUAACCCGUUGACUUUGACCCGAUCUGACCGUUGGCCUGGUUAACGUUGACCAUUGACUUUGACUUUCGGGUUGACUUUUCUGGUUUCGUCCUAAACUCCUCUUAGGCUAAUUUCGACGUCCUGAACCCAUUUCUGACGUACGUUUUCUCAAAUUAAGUCGUUUGAGUAGAGUUGACUAAAUGUACCCUUUAUAUGCAUAGGUGAAAUUAAUAGCAGUGUUCCGUUAUUUCUUUUGGUAUAGCUUUGCACCAAUGGUGUACGGUGAGUUGACCCCUUCUAAAAUGCAUGUUUUAAUAGUAGAAAUGCAUACAUGGAAAAGCAAGAUUUAACAAUAAUGUUCUAUGAAACAUGAUGAGAUAACAUGCUUAUUGAGGCUAGAUUGAAUUACUAUUACUUUUUCUAUAACCCGUGUUCUUUAUAGAAUAUCUUAUGAAUGACGAUAUACUAUUUAGAACAUGUUUAGAACACUUCUUUAUAGUAUAGAUGAUGGAUGACUUUAUACUAUGAAGUUGCCUUUCAAAUAAAUGUAUGUUCCAAUGGUUUUGUACUUACCUAGUGGUCCCUAUUCCGCUACGGGGCGAGGGAUAGAUUCUGUUCCGGGCGACAGUUAUGGUGUUGACAUAGGGCUUGAAGUUUUUUUUCCUCUAGCAAUUAGCAUAGGGAUGGGGAGCUGGCAUAGUGCCUGGGGGUUAUUUUCUUCUGACAACUGGUACAGAGACGGGGAGCUAACAUGGGGCCUGGGGGUUAUCGGAUAUUCACUAGUGAUUAUUAUAUAUACAAGAUAUGUUUUGAGACAUUGCACGACAUGCUAUGUUUCGGAAAAUAUAUUUUAUCAUGUUAUAUAUGUUUUCAUAAAACCUGAAGGUUAGUAUGUUGAUAACUGUUUUAUUAUAUCCAUAUCAACUUGGUCUACCCUUGUUUGUUUUGUGCCCCCUUCAGGAUCUAGGAACGAGGAAUACGAUUUGAGCUAUGAGGCAUUCCCCUACCAGUGAUAUCGUGUUAUAUUCUCUCUGCUUCGGCAUCUGUUGUAAUAACACUCUCUAUCUUAAAUUUCCGCUUGUACUCUGUAUUAGACUUAUACUCUGAACAUGUCAUGCAUAAUCUUAAUAUUAAUUGUUAGCAGUUGAACUUUAGUAUUGUGUUAUUCGUCCCUAUUGCAUGGUUAGUCCCAAUUUAUAUGCAUGGUUCACAUGUUCUUAGCAUUUGCAUAAAUUAAAUGGCUUUCGUCACCCUUUGGGUGUCGGCCAACACGUGACCAUCCCGAUGAUCCGAGGACAUCGGGAUCAAGACGUGUCAACAAGAGUAACACUUGGUUUUGAACUCUACCUCUGACGACAAAGCAUACACAUCUCUUCUAGGGUGAAGUUCGAAACCAGCACGUUUCGGCCUUGUGCUUGUAUCCCGGUUUAGUGAUAAUGUUAAGAAGUUUGCCCUUAAACUUCUCAGUUUGUGGCCUCACCUUCAUCAUGACAUAGGUGAAACUAUCAAGGACAUUUCUACAGCUAGAUGUCCCACUAAAUAAAAGUAUAGUUAUCAUUAAGAGUAUCACAAACUCAUCCUUCUAAUCGCUAUAGGAUGUCAUGCUUCUGUAAAUGAUUAAAAUGACAUUUCUUAGCUUCAUAGCAUGAUUCCAUAUCACUUCAUGACUUGUUAUUACCUUUUGAACCAAUUUCUCAGGAUCUCUAGUCUAUUGGUUGGGUUACCAUCAUAAGUGACUCAACUAUCUAAAGGCAAUAACCUCAUUCCUUUGGAGGGUUUCCAAACUUUCUCACAAGCUAAUCAUUUCGUCAAAGGAUCAGCAAUAUUAUCCUCGGACUUUACAUGAUCCACUCAAAUAGCCCUAUUAGAGAGAAACCAUCUGAUUGUGCUAUGUUUUCGACGUAUUUGACAUCUUUUACCAUUGAAUAUCGAUUCUUAAUCUUUGCAAUAGUUGCAGUGCAAUCACAAUGAAUGAGAAAUGCUGGUAUAGGUUUUUCCCAUAAUGGAGUGUCGGAUGGUAAAUCUCUAAGCCACCAUGCCUCUUCACUGGCAGUUGCUAAUGCAAUCAUUUCUAGUUCCAUUGUAGAUUGUGCUAAUAUUUUCUGUUUUUUAGACUUCCAUGACACUACAGCUACUGUUAUCUUAAAGAUGUAGCCACUCGUGGCUUUGGAGUUUUUUGGCAGUGUGUUCCAAUUAGCAUCACUAUACCCUUCAAGGACAGCAGGAAAUCUCUCAUAAUUUAAACCAUGAUUAAUGGUCAUCUUGAUGUAACAUCCCACAUCAACCAACGGAGAGAGGGUGAUGUGCCUUAUAUGUACAUACCCACCUCCAUAUAGCACGAGGCCUUUUGGGAGCUCAUUGGCUUCGAGUUCUAUCGGAACUCCAAAGGUAAGCGAGUUCGCACGAGAGCAAUCCCAGGAUGGGUGACCCACUAGGAAGUUCUAGUAUGAUUUCCCAGAAACAAAACCGUAAGGGCGUGGUCGGGGCCCAAAGGGAACAAUAUCGUGCUACAGCAAAGUCAUGCCCGAGAUGUGGUGGAGACAGGGCCUGGAUGUGACAAUUUGGUAUCAAAGCCAAUCCCUGACCAGAAGUGUGCCAACGAGGAUGUUGGGCCCCUAAGAAGGGUGGAUUGUUAGAUCCCACAUCGCCUAGGGGAGUGGAUCCUUUUUGCCUUGUAUGUACAUGCCCACCUCCAUAUCGCACGAGGCCUUUUGGGAGCUCACUGGCUUCAGAUUCCAUCGAAACUCUAAAGUUAAGCGAGUUCGGGCGAGAGCAUUCCUAGGAUGGGUGACCCACUGGGAAGUUCUCAUCUAAGUUCUCAGAAACAAAACCGUGAGGGCGUGGUUGGGGCCCAAAGCAGACAAUAUCAUACUACGGCGGAGCCAAGACUGGGAUGUGGUCGAAUGGUAUCAGAGCCGCUCCGCCGUUCGGUAUGGAUAUGCCGACGAGGAUGUCGAGCCCUUAGGGAGGGUGGAUUGUAACAUCCCACAUCGACCAACGGAGAGGGGGUGAUGUGCCUUAUAUGAACAUGCCCACCUCCAUAUAGCACGAGGCCUUUUAGGAGCUCACUAACUUCAGGUUCUAACGGACAAUAUCGUGCUAUGGCAGAGCCGAGACUGGGAUGUGACAUAAUGGUAUCAGAGCCACUCUGCCGUUUGAUAUGGAUGUGUCGACGAGGACGUUGGGCCCCUAAGGGGGGUGGAUUGUAACAUCCCACAUCGACCAACAGAGAUGGGGUGAUGUGCCUUACAUGUACAUGUCCACUUCGAUAUUGCACGAGGCCUUUUGGGAGCUCACGUGCUUAUCAUUGGGACUGCUUGUAAAUCUGCACAACAUUCCACGACAUAGGCUAUGUCUAGUCUAAUGCAAUCACUAGCAUAACGAAGGCUACCAAUAGUGCUCAUAUAUUCAGGUUAUCUAACACUGUUGCCAGUGUUCUUGAACAAUUUCACACUAGAGUCAUAGGGAGUGCAUGCUGGUUUACAAUCAAAGUAGUUGUACUUCUUUAGAACCUUCUCAAUGUAGUGAGAUUGGUCUAAAUAGAAACCUUUCAUAGACAUAGUAAUCUUGAUCCCAAGGAUUACAUUUGCAUCACCUAGUCUUUCAUAUCAAAGUUAUCACAAAGCAGUUUUAACUUCAUUCACAACAUGCAAAUUGGAUCCAAAUAUCAACAAAUCAUUAACAUACAGACAUAUCAAUGUGCACAGAUUAUUUUCAGACUUUGAAUAGAUACAUUUAUCACUUUCAUUAAUUUUAAAACCUUUAAAGAUAAGUAACCCAUCAAACUUAGCAUGCCAUUGCUUUGGUGCCUGUUUUAAACUAUAGAAAGACUUGUCUAACUUACAUACUUUAUGUUCUUGUUUGGGUAUUACAAAACCUUCAUGUUGUUCCAUAUAUAUCUCUUCUUCUAAGUCACCAUUUAAGAAAGUAGUUUUAACGUCCAUUUGAUGCACAACAAGAUCAUUAAUGGCAGCUAAAGCAAACAAAACUCGAAUUGAAGUUAUUCUCGUGAUUGGUGCAUAAGUAUCAAAGAAAUCAACAUUUUCUCUUUGUCUAAAACGUUUAGCUACUAACCUGGCUUUAAACUUCUCCAUUGUACCAUUGGGGUUUAGCUUUCUUUUUAGCACCCAUUUGCAACCGAUAACCUUGCACCCUGGAGGAAGAUCUACUAAGUGCCAAGUCUUAUUGGAUUCGAGAGAAUCCAUUUCAUCAUUUAUGGCUUCUUGCCAUAAGUCUGCAUCCAACAAGGUCAAUGCUUCUUGAAGAGUUCUUGGAUCUUCUUGCAAAGUAUAAGCAUGAAAGUCUGAACCAAAGUCUUUGGCUACUUUGAUUCUCUUACUUUUCAUUGGCUCAAGGUCAAUUUCAGCCGAAUCAAGUAUAGCAUUUCCAUUAACUCUAGGUGCAUCCAUCAUAAUAGUAUUAGAACCCUUACUAUUUCUUAACUUGAAAGGAAACUUCUCUUCAAAGAAAUCAGCAUCAUUAGAUUCAAUAACAACAUGGUUUUUCAAAUCAUAAAACCUAUAUGCUUUGCUAUUGUAUGCAUAACCAAUGAACACAUUCAAAAGCUCUACUAGCUAGCUUUGAUCUUUUAAGGUUAGGUUUUCUUACAUAGGCCAAACAGCCCCGAGUUCUCAAGUAAGAUACAUUUGGUUUCUUAUUUUUCUAGGUUUCAUAAGGUGGAAUUUUGGUUUUCGAAGAGGGAACCCUAUUGAGUACAUAAUAAACAGUCAAAGUAUUUCACCCCACCAAUAUGAAACACUCCCCGAGUUAAGUAAAAUAGCCACAGUCAGUUCACUAAGUGUUCUAUUUUUUCUCUAAGCUUUGCCGUGUAUUUCUGGGGAAUAAGGAGCAGUGGUUUCAUGUAUUAUUCCUAGUUUCUUACAAAAUUCAGUGAAAGCUCCAGAUUCAUACUCUUGUCCUCUAUCACUUCGCAACCUUUUAAUUUUUCGGUUGAACUGGUUUUCUACUUCACUUAUGAAACAUUUAAACAUGUCUAGGGCUUCACUUUUAUGUUUCAUUAGGUAGACAAACCAAUAGUUUGAAUGAUCAUCUAUGAAAGUUAUGAAGUACCAUUUUCCAUUUCGAGUUACUACACCAUCGAAUUCACAAAUAUCAGAAUGUAUCAGGUCUAGUAAUUCGGUUUUUCUAAGAACUAACCUAUGUGGAGUGAUGCGUAAAAUAUAAGCAGACAAAUUAAACCCUCUUUUUAUCAAAUGUAGUAAAGUAUGUAAGUAGGGAUCGUUCUAGACCGGGGAUUAGGAGGGAUUGCUAAAUCACUUGGAAACUGACUUGAAAACGUAAAAACAAAGUUUAAAACACUAAACUAGACUCAAAGAAUGCAAAACUAUAUUUUAAAAUACUAAGAUAAACAAGAAGACUCAAACAGCACUCAAAACACUUAAAAACAUAAUCUAAGACAAAUUCUAAUUAAUAUGACUCAAAGAAAUAAGAUGGGGUUGAUUUUGGACGAAAAUAAUUAAAUUAAGACAAGAACAAAGUAAACAGAUUCUUAGACAAAUUUGGGUGAAUCAAAACAGAUUGUAAAUGAAUUUGAAUUUAACUUAUGGAUGGAAGGCUAGCUAGGAGGUUCUUCUCCACACAUGUCACACUUGCAUACAAAACGAUUUCCAGUUGCUUUUCGAUAAACUAUGAAUACUCAACGCCCCAAAUUAACCGUGAAUUGCACUAAUUAACCCUCAGUUUUUCCACAAGUUAUUAGGUUGGAUGAUUGCAUACGACAACCCAAAACAUUCCCUACAAGUUCCCUACAUGAAUUGCAUAAUAGAGAUACAAGCAAGAAUCAUUAAGUUCUAUGAAAAACAUAAGCAUUGACGAGGCACUCGUUACUAUGAUUUGCAUGAAACUUAUGCCAAGAAUUUACUUAACGUGAUUGUGACUAGCAACCUUCACUACUUGUGAAUAUAAGUUCAUAACGAUUAGGUGAAACUCCCUUAUAUUCUAGCGUCAAAUUCAUGCAUGAAAAUUAAGCGUGCACUCUCAACCAACAUACACAAAUCAGUUUUUAUACGAAUGGAUAAGUAAAUUGAAUUCACAACUUAUGAAUCACAACUGGAUGUAAUCAAAUCAUAUUGCAAGCAUGAACAUAGUUUCGAAUCACCCCCUAACUAAGAGGGGUUUAGUUCCUCAUACUUACAACGCAAAGAUGCAUAAAUUUAGACAUUAAAAACAAAGAUAGAAAACACCUAGAAACGCUCCAACACUCCCAAGGCUUGGGCAUAGGCACGGCACAAGAUGUUCCUUCUCUUUCCUUCCUUGCAAGCAGCGGCACUAGAGGUUUUGGACGGUUUUUGGUGGUUUUUAUGGUGUAGAAAGGAUGGGGAAUGGUAUGGAAAGGUUUAGGAUUGAUGGGUGGUGUGGCUAGGGGUGGUUUUUGGCUAAAUUUGGAGAGAACAUUUGUUAUGACUUUGAUGAAUAUGGAAGGUGGUAUUUAUAGGCUUGAGAUAGGACCACUCCAUUUCCUUUGCAUGUGAGCUUGUGUGGGUGUGUGUUGGCAUGUUUCCCCUUUACAUUUACACACACAUGCUUCAUCAUUUCAAUCACAAAACACACACAUUUUCUGCCAUGUUUUUCCCUUUACAUUUACACACACAUGCUUCAUCAUUUCAACCACAAAACACACACAAUUCCUUCCACUUUGCCGUGAGUUUUGUAUGUGUAUGCUUCAAUGCUCUUCUCUUUGCCAUGUGUUUGCUUUCUUUGCCAUGUGUUUGCUGCCAUGUUUUCCCCUUUACAUUUACACACACAUGCUUCAUCAUUUCAAUCACAAAACACACACAAUUCCUUCACCUUUGCCAUGAGUUUUGUCUUCACUUUGCAUGUGGGCUUCUUUGCAUGUGUUUUCUCCCUCUCUUGCCUUGAGUUUGCAUGUGGGCUUCUUUGCAUGUGUUUAUCCUUGCAAUUACACACACACACUUGCACACACAUAUGCCCAAAACGUCCAUCCUCAUGCAUGCAAUCCAUUUGAGCCCAAUAUUGAUCCAACAUGCACCAAAAUGCAUUUUUCUUGCCAAGGUUGUUAUGAAGGCCUACAAACAAAUGAAAAUGGCUUUAAACACUAAAAUAACUAUGGAAACACAACGUAAACGCACGAGAACAAGCCAAUUAAGUUGCAUAAAAAUGCUCCUAUCAUGGAGCUUUAGUUAUCUUAGCUUAACUGUAGAACUCACAUUUCUCAAAAUUAUUAAGUGAAAGUUCUGGUAGUAAACCUAAGUUACUCAUUUGUUUUACUAGCCUUUUGUUUACGUGACAAAAUCUUGCAUCCUAAAUAUUAAAUGAACACAACAUGUAAGCAGAAGAAACAAUUUUAUUCAUGGCAUCAGUUGAUGCACAAAACCAGAGAGGUCUUGGAACAAUGUAAAUCCGACCGUGAAUCUGCAAGAAAGUAAAGAACACAAGAUGUAUCGUGGUUCACUCCAAUGUUUGGGCUACGUCCACACUGAUGUUGAUUGUAUUUCUCUGUAAUUGUAUGUAUGGAUUACAAGUGUGAGGGGGAGUCCCCCAGAGAAAUAGAGAGUUUAAGAGAGCUUUGCUCUGAAUAUGAGAGCCUCUAUUUGAGGAUGUGAGGCUUGAGGAUUGUGAGGAUGAAAAGGCCCUUUUAUAGACUAAGGGCUCAUCCCCUUUUACAUAAAUCAUGGGCUCAAUGUCUGGAAGCCCAAGUAACAAGGCUCAAUAUAAUAUGGUACCAACAGUGAUCCCCCAAGUCUUCAGUUAAGAGAGUCUUUUGGCUGGAGACUUGAAAUUCAGACCAUGUGUGGACUGAAGUAACUAGAUGUCGUUUAGAACUAAUACUCGAUAUGAGGCGGGGCUCAAAGUGAAAUAAUGCUCAACUAGAAGUAACACAUGUUGCAAGGUUGCUCGGGUUAUGGCUUAUGUUGCCUUGGUUGGCUUGGCUUGUGGCGUUGAAGGUGAGGGAGUCCAUUUUAUAGAAUAAGGGCUCGCUCUUUAAUACAUAAAUGAUAGGCUAGAGUUGAUGCUCGCGGCGAGGCGGUUGCUCAGCAGGCGGCAAUGCUUUCUAAUGAUGGUGAGAGAGUCCCUUUUAUAGAAUAAGGGCUCGCUCCUUAAUACAUAAGUGAUAGGUUAGAAGUGAUGCUUGUGGCGAGACGGUUGCUCAGCAAGCGGCGAUGCUCUCUAAUGAAGGUGAGGGAUUCCCUUUUAUCGAAUAAGAGUUCGCUUCUCAAUACAUAAGUGAUGGGCUAAGAGUCUCUCUCUAAUGAAGGUGAGGUGUCUCUUUUAUAAAAUAAGGGUUCACUCCUCAAUACAUGAAUAAUGGGUGCUCUCUAAUAAAAGUGAGUGAGUCCCUUUUAUAGAAUAAGGGUUCGCUCUUUAAUACAUAAAUGAUGGGCUAGAGUUGAUGCUCGUGGCGCGGCGAUUGCUCAGCAGACGGCGAUGCUCUCUAAUGAUGGUAAGGGAGUCUCUUUUAUAGAAUAAGGGCUCCCUCCUCAAUACAUAAAUAAUGGGCUAAGUCCCCCAAGUAUUUUUCAUGAGGCCCAGUUGUGGAAGCCCAAUAUAUAAUACAUAGUGUAGUCCCCCAAGUCUUCAGUCAAUAGAGUAUGUUGGCUAAAUACUUCAAAUUCAAUCCAUGUAUGGGCCGAAGUGGCGGUAGUUCGGAGUCGGUCUUUGUAUACCAUGCACUGAAGAUUUGUAGGUGAAGCUUUGAAAGUGAAGCUUUGAAGUUGGAGCUUUUGUAAAUGAAGUUUUUGAAGCUGAUUGACAUGAGUGAUGCUCAUGAAUAUUUAUGUUGAUUAACAUGAGUGAUGCUCAUGGAUGUUGACAUGAAUAUUGACAUGAGUGAUGCUCAUGAAUGUUGACAUGAGUGAUGCUCUUGAAUGUUUAUGUAUGAUUGACAUGAGUGAUGCUUAUGUAUAAUUUUUGGAGUACUGGACGUACUUUUGAUCACCUAUUUGGUGAUAAUAGCGGCAGGGUACCGAAUAAUUUUAGAGUACUGGACGUACUUUUGAUCACCUGGUUGGUGAUAAUAGCGGCGAGCUGCCGAAUAAUUUUGGAGUACAAGACGUACUUUUGAUCACCUGGUUGGUGAUAAUAGAAGCAGACUGUCGAAUAAUUUACUAGACGUACUUUUGAUCACCUAGUGGGUGAUAAUAGCGGCAGGGUACCGAAUAAUUUUAGAGUACUGGACGUACUUUUGAUCACCUGAUUGGUGAUAAUAGCGGCAGACUGCCGAAUAAUUUUGGAGUACUGGACGUACUUUUGAUCACCUGGUUGGUGAUAAUAGAGGGUGAACCUUUAAGUAGAGGGAUGGAGGUUGAAGCCAUAGGGCCUGGCUCUUUUAGGCAUAUGGGUCUUCGCCCUCCACAUAACAUUCCAGCCCAUUAUUUUGGGCUUGCCCUUUUUUUUUUUUUUUUUUUUUUGUGGCAUGCUGCCUUCUUUAUUUAUUUAUGAGCCUCUGUUAAGGUUAUACAGAUGUCUCCAAAAGAUAAGAAAAGUAAAUCACAUCAUUCAAAACAAAGGUUUCGACACAAAAGCUUUGACAGUUGCAGAUCGUUGGUGCGUAAUGGGUUGUUACAGAUCUUUUUCCAUGAGCGUAUUGCUCUUACUGAAUGUUUUACCUUUUCCUUUCUCUUUAUUUUUCUUUCUUUUGGCAGAUGACAGACAAGGGAAUAAUGUCAUUUCCUUGUUUUUGUAGAGGCAGAUCAGGAGAGAUGAGGAUGAGAUAUUCUUCUUUCCUUCUUUUUCCCUUUUUUUUCUACUUUUGCUUUCUUCUUUUGCUUUUGUUUCCCGCUCCAUUUCCAAACAUCCUUUUGGAGGUCAUCAACCCACCUAUGCUUGCAUGCCCCUAAUCCAAACCCUUCAACCCUAGCCCAACACAUCGAGACAUAACUGGCAGUAGGAGAUGGGUGAGGAGAGGUAGAGCGCCUUGUUGAGUCGUUGUAGAGUCAUGUUGAAGGAAAUGUGGACGAGGUUCUGUUCCGACGCGACGUUGGAGCCAGGGAAGUCAAGGAGGGAGUCGACGCAGAGGGAGAGAAAACGCGUCUACGCGUUUGAGAUGGCAUGCGUCUGCUUACAGCGGAGGAUGGAUGAGGCGGCAGGGUUUGAGGCUUUGGAUUUUCAGACGAUGAGUACCACGGCCGAGACGGUGGAGGCGAGGAUGAGUGCCACAGCAAGGAGGAACAUUAGGAUGAGCUUGUUCUUGCGGCUGCGGUCGUUGGAGCAAAAUGAUGAUGUGGCAGUUUGUGGGAGUGAUGAGUUUUCCACCACGUAGAAACUAGGGGAGCCUCUAGGGUCCAACAGCUGGAGUCUACCAUAGCCCAUUUCUCUUUAGGUGCAGAACAUUAAUUCUUCUAGAGAAUUCAUCUAACCAAUCCACAAAACUUUCCUUCUCUGAUGACCCAGAACCAGAAGCAUUCUCCUCACCCUUCUUCUCAACCUUUUUUCUCAUUUUAAUCCCUCUUACAAGACCCAUCAGCGCACAGCCCACAACCACUAAAUCGAAUCAAAACCCAGAAACCCUCCAGCCCCAAACAACAGAAAGAACACAAACCUUUGACAUGUGGGUUUGUGUUUGUUUAGGACAACGUUGCAACACGAGAGAGAGACAUGGGCAUUGCUGCUUUUACUGUUGGCUGCUGAGAGAUCUCGGCCGUUGGUGAGUUGGACGGAGCUUUAUGAAUUAGGGAGGAGAUCUACGGUAGGGAAGUAGGCGGAAGGGCAGAAGGAGCGGUUUAAAAGGCUGGUGAAGAAGAAGGUGGUGGCGACCAAGAGGAGGACUCCGAUCUGGUACGUGCGGGUGUAGAGAGGCUGCUGGUGGUACUGCACACUGAAUGGUCGGUGACAAUAAAUUACGCUUCCCAUUUUCAGGGUGUGGAAAAGAGUAUCUAUCUUCAAGAUCUAGGAAAAUGGUCAUCUCAUGAUGCAAUUGGAAAAGUCUUGGACAUGACCUGACCAUCUUUGAGAUAUGGGUUGCAGAGAAUCUAUGGCUUCUGAGAAAGGGCAAAAAGUAGUCUAUAUUUAGAGACAUGAAAAGACGCGGUGGUAGCUGUGUUGUUGAGAGAGAGAUGGAAACUGCAAUUUCAGAGAAGGUGCAGAUGACGGAGAGAGAGAAAUGGAAAUGGCGGAGAGCUGGAGGUUUCCGAGAUGGCUGACAAACAUGGUGUGAUAGGAGCAUAUUUAUACGACUUAGUUAGCUUGUUUUCUUGCUUUUAAUUAGCUAAACUAUGAUAAUUAUAGUGUUUAAAGUUAUUUUCGUGCAAUUUCAGGUUUUAGUGUCAAAGUAUGCAAAAAGAAGCAAUUUGGAACAUUCUAGAGCAUUUUUGGGCCAAGAUUGGAUUGUGCAAGCAUGGAGGCAUGAGGAUGGACGAAUUUGAAGACAAAAGAGGCUAUGAACAUGCUAAAAAUCUGGUGAAACAAAUAUAAGUUGCAAGAAGGGAUAAAUUUCUAGAAGGAUUGACCAAAACUUCACUCAAAACCAAGAAAUUCUUCAAUGCCGUGGGCAUUGAUUCACUUUCACCAGAAAUUUGAGUGAUGAUGCAAUGCUUAAAUCACCAUGACAUGUGAGUGGAUGAUGCAAUGCUUAACUCACCAUGACAUGUGAAUGGAUGACUCAAUACCUAACCCACAAACAAUUCCCACUCUUUGCCAUGCUCACCUACUCAAUUCCACCAAAAUUUUGUGUUAAACAAAUCCAUCCUUUUCCUAUAAAUACCAUGGCAACAACCUCAUUCAAAUCAUCCAGAAAUUAACCAUUCUCCAAGCCUUUCCUUGCCUCUCCUACAUAUCUAAACCCCUUCCCAUCCAUUCCUCCAAAUAACCAACCCUUCAACAUCAUUCCAACCUUGUUGUUGCGGCAAGGAGAAGGAGAAAAGUCCUUGGACGCGCUUGCUAUCCAACAUGGAUCAUUGGAACGUUUAGGUGCUUUCUUCCCUUUGUUUUUCAAUGGUUAAAUUUGUUUAUCUUUGUUUUGUAAUAAUGAGGAACUAAACCCCCCUUGGCUAGGGGGGAUUCGAAACCAUGUUAAUGCUUGCAAUAUGAUUUGAUUACUUUUAAUUGCGUUUCAUAAGUUAUGAAUUCGAUUUACUUAUCUAUUUGAUUGAUAACAUGUUUAUGUAUGUCGAUUAAGAAUGCAUACUUAAUUUACAUGCAUGAAUUUGAUGCUAGAAUAUAAGUGAAUUUCACCUAAUCGUUAUGAACUUAUAUUCACAAGUAGUGAAGGUUGUUAUCCACAAUCGUGUUAAGUGAAUUCUAGGCUGGAUUAACAUGCGUAUUCUAUAGUUAUGAAUGCCUAGUCAAUGUUUAUGAUUUCCGUUGAACUUAAUGAUCUUUGUUGAAUGUCUCUAUCAUGCGUAUUCCAUAGUUAGGGACUUUGAUGAGGAAUAAUUUGGUUGUAAUGCGUAUUCCAUUCAAUCCAAUGAAUCUAGGGAAAUCUAAGAGUUAAUUUAAGCGGACCUAAUUAACUUGGAACAUUGUCAUUCACAAUUUAUUGAAAGAACAACUGAAAAUCAAUUUAGGUUGCAUAUGUGUCAUGUGUGGAGAAGAACCCUCUAGCUAGUCCGUCACCUAUCCUUUCACCUUAAUUUCAUGCUUUUGUCAACUCUGUAAUUUAUUUAAGUUUAAUUUACUUCUCGUCAAAACCAAACCCCCCCAUUAUUAAAUUAUAUUAUUUAGUUAGUUUUCAUUGUUGUUAGUCUUUUAAUUCAAUUUCCGUCCAUUUCAGUUCCUAGUGUCUAAUUUGAUUGUUUUCAUUAUUUUGAGUCAUUCUAAGUGUGUUUCAAGUUAUUAGAGUUUUUAGCCUAGUUUUGUGUCCUUGAGUCUUAUUUAAUAUUUUUAAUAGAUUAGCAAUCCCUCCUAAUCCCCGGCCUAGAACGAUACCCUACUUACAUCUAUACUACAAUUGUCAAAAAGAGGGUUUAAUUUGUGUGUCAAAUAAUUCUCACAUCAAAUUUUGGCGCCGUUGCCGGGGAUUAGCAACUUUUCUAAUCCCCCAUUGUUUCUUUUUAUUUCUUUUUCGUGUCUUUUGUUUUAGUUACUGACUUUGUUUCUUUUCUUGUCUUAUGUUUUUAGUUUCUGUUUUUGUUUUGUUUUGUUUAUUUUACUUUUGAUAUUUGAUUUAGUUUUCUUUCUUUGAUUUUAGGUACUAGAGAAGUAAGACAUGGAUUUUGCUAGCAUUCAAGCUCAAUUGGCAAAUCUUACUUCUCAAAUGUCGCAGUAUGCCGAAAGGACCACAAUGCAAAAUGUCCCUAUAUUUGGUGCAUCUUAUAGGCAAGGAUAUCAAGCCAAUCAAUGUUCACAAAAAGAUUGGAGUGAUCAUUCAAACUCUAUGUGGUGGGAAGCUCAACAAGUUCAACAUGAAGGAUAUUGGCAACCAUAUGAGGAGUUCUAUUCAGGACCUAUGCAGCCACUACAACCUCAUAUACAAUAUGCCCAAUCAAACUCAGAUUCGUCAAUAGAUUACAAUCAAAUUUUUGAUGAAUUAAAUUCUUUGGUGCAGGGCUCACAAAAUCAAGCCAAGGAGGCUCAACAAGAUGGAUAUUGGCAGCAAUCUGAGGAGUUUUAUUUAACGCCUAUGCAUCCACCACCGCAUACCCCACAACAAUUCCAAUCAAAUUCAAGUAUGUCCAUGGAUAGUGAUCAAAUUCUUCAAGUACUAAUCUCUUUGACGCAGGACCAACAAAAUCAAGACAAGAAGUUGGAUAAAUUGAUGAGUCAAAUGGGAGAGAUUAUGGAAUUCAUGGUACAAAUUCAAGAGCAAAGUGAACUCUCCAGCUCAACUGUUGAAAAUUCGAAGGAAGAUUUUGAAAUCCACGAUGCUAUCACUUUGGAAGGUGACAUGAAGGAUGAAGCUGUCCCAGAACUAUCCAAACACAGCCCGAACAUGGAUGAAUUGCUGCUGCAAGCAGAAGAGGAGGAGGACGACCUGGGCAGUUUAGAAGAAUUCUUGCUGCAAGCUCCUCAAAUCCCUAUGUCAUCCAACUCAUGUGAGGAAGUUCUAAAUUCACUUCAUUCUAACAUUAUUCCACUGAACGUCCUUUAUCCUUGCAGGUUUUUUAUUCCAAAUAUCAAAGAGAGUGAAAAAGACAUUGUGGAAGCUCUUCCAAAGGUGCAAAGUGAUAUCCCAAUUCUUGGUGCACCAAAACAAGUUCCCGAUGGUAUUGAAACGUUCAAAGAACCUUGCACACCAAGAAAAGGGAUUCAAGAAAAUGAAGUGGUUGAAGCAUAUCAAGAAUACAUCCAAGAGGCUGUGCAUGAGACAAUCAAGCCCAAAGCAGUUGAGUUUGAUGACACGGGAUAAGCCACAACCAUCAUAGUAAACCUGGCCAAGUUCAAAGUCCCGGAAAUGUUCAAAAAUGUGGUGUUUGUCAUUGAGUUUGUGUCGGAAAAAGAAAGUAAGCCAUCUUCUCCAAUUUUAAUUUUAAUUUAUACUAACAUGUUUCUGAUUUUGAUGAUUCAGGCACCCACUCUUGAAUUUAAACCAUUGCCGAAUCAUUUCAAGUAUCACCUCCCAUUAAAAGAUAAAUUCCAUGCAUUGGAGCCGAGGGGAGUUUAAAGGAAAGAUUCGUCCGGCUAAAGACGUUAAAUCAAGCGCUUCUUAGGAGGCAACACAAGCAUUCAACGAAGGGAGACUUUGGAAUCGCUAGCCAAAUCAGAUUGCAUUCUUACACCCUUAUCUUUACUGCUUUCAUUUUGUUUUGUUCAGUUAGUUGUGUUAUUUGGUUGAUUUCUGUGAGUUUGUGUUAUUUAGUUUAAGUGUGGGGGCAGGUUAAACAAAGUCUUUUUACAUUAAUUUACAUAUUUAAUAAAAAUAAAUAAAUAAAUAAAAUAAAAUAAAAUAAAAACACUUAAAAAAAAAAACAUAAAAGUAAAAAUAUUUUACAAUGAUGUGUAAACUAAUAGCAUUCAUUGGUCAGGUGGUGCUUCAGUAGUCGGCGGAGCUUCAGCAGUCGGUGGGACCACGGAAGGAGGAGGUAUCGGAGGUUGAUCAGUUGGAGCUUCACUACGCGGUGCUGCCCCAGAAGACGAAGGCAGAUGCGGUUGGAACAAACCCACAAACCUUCGGUGAUCAAGUAAAAUCUGACCAUCAUUUUCCUGCAGCUGGUUAAUUUUCCUCUUCAUGUUUGUGGCAUAACUGUGUGCAAGCUUAUGCAAUUGUUUAUUUUCAUGCUUGAGUCCUUUAAUCUCCUCUUUGAGACUCUGUAUUUCAGCCACCAACGAUUCAACGUGACGGGUUCGAGCAAAUAGGCGUUGGGCCAUGUUGGACACAGAACCCGCACACUGCACGCUAAGAGCCAGAGACUCCUUAACCGCCAAUUCAUCAGACCGUCUAGCGAGCAGUCUGUUAUCUCUGGGGGUGACAAGGUUCCGGGCCACCACCGCAGCUGUCAUUUCAUUUUUCAUCACCGAAUCCCCCACGGUAAGGGGACCGGUAGGGGAUAUGAAGGAUGGGCGCCAUAUGUUGUCUGGUGAAGGCGGAGCUGCCUCUUCACCAAUGUUCAAGUCAAAACGACGAUCGGAAGGGCCAGACAUUUUUCAGAAUGGUAAAGAAAGAAGAGAUCGGACAGAUUAAGAUUUUGGAAGUGCAAGAAGGGAGUGUUUACAGGAGAGAGCUCAAGUGUGUUGUGGAACAAAAUUAACGCCUCUAUAAAAAGAAGAAAUCAAAGAGGCGCUCCUCAGAAAUCGAAGAAGCGUCAUUUCGCAAAUCGAAGAGUCGGGGCUCCUUUCUCAAAAGUCGGAUUCUUUUCUCAAAAGAGGCGUUUCAUUUCUUAAAGGCUGGGCUUGCUUAGAAACCACGAGCCGAACCCCGGAUUUCAAAAGAUCAAUUUGUCCAGACGUGUUGUCACUCGUCACAUGCAACUGGCAGCUUUGCGGAAAUUACGGGCAGCUUUGUCAGAAAGCGCAUAAUAUGUACUAUUCAUUCAUCCACCGGCUGCCGACAAUGAGUGAGAGAAUAGUUCCGGUUGUGAAGAAAAGUCCCAUAAGUAUCUACCUUCGCCUUCCCACAGCAAAGGCACACCCUUUCAACACUUCUUCAUCUCCGAGAAUGUAUUCCCAAAGAAACCUUUCAAGUCACUCUGUAUUUUUCAUCCCUUGGGGUACCUCUGCAAACAACCCAUCCAAAGCAAAAGUAUUUCAUAUCAUGAAGGUUGAAAGCAAGAGUAUCUCAUAUCAUGCUUUCUCCCUGUCCUUUCUCCAGCCAGCUCUUGCUCUCGAGUACUCAUCAUCUUAUGCUUUCUCUUUGUUUCUCACUUAUAAGGGAAGUGAAGAUGAUACCUCGAAGCAUGUGGAGACAACGUGCUGAUUCAUCCUCAACUAAGGACAAGGAGAAAGAGAGCAAGAGGUGGGCACUUGGAAAGAUUGAAGAAAGAAACAGACCAACACCUCUCACUCGUGCCUGCCCGUCGUGCAGAAGAAACAAGCAGAGAAGAAUGCAGCUUGCACAAUCAUCCCAGCAGAAGGAGUCUGAGAUGAAGAACUAGAGAAGCUGCCACAUCUGCUUGGAGAACAAAUAAGGAACUGCAACAUCACCAAAGAGCAAAGCUUCGCCGUACAAUAUCAUCAAAUCAUCACUUGCAAGUAAAAAGCUAAGUGUCACCCCCGUUCAAGAGGAAAGCUGUGGAAAGUCAACAAGCACGACCAAUGAUCACUUAUUAGUUCUAUUCAUUGUCUUUUAUCGUGAUUUUCAAUUUUUCGUUUGCAAUUUUUUUUACAUUUUCUUGCCUUACUUAACUGAAUUAUUUCUUUUCUUUGCAGGAAUUUUUGGUUAUUUCCACCCUUGAAGUUGAUUGCAGAAUUUUAGCUUGGGGGGUCAUCGCUUGGUUUUACUGCAAACUAGGGAAGUUUUCAGUCCAAUUGCUUUAUUUUGUUUCUUAUUAUUUAUUUAUUUUAUUUUUAUUUGCAUUAUAGUGUUUUCUGACAUUGGGGACAAUGUCCAGUUUAAGUUUGGGGGUAAAGAGUAUAAAAAUGACCAAAUUGAAAUUUUUUUUUUUUUGUACCUUCAACUACGAACGAGUUUCAUUUGUUUCCAUGUUGUUGCUUUUUGUUUUCUUAAUUAGUUUUGUUUUCUUUAAAAAAAAAAAUUUAAAAAAAAAUCGGAAAUUUUAAAAAAAAUCCAAAAAUAUUGUCUUGUUUCCCUUAUUGUUUUGAAUUAGAUUUUUGUUAGUUUCCCGACCCAAUGAUAUAAUUGGAUCAAAUUUGAACCAUGAUCAUCAAGAACUUAGUUAACAUGUGUUUUGUGAAAUUCCUAAUUCUCUUGUUAGUUUUGUACAUGUUUGACCAUCUUUGAAAAACCAAAUGCACAUAGCCUUGUUAAUGUGAAACUAAAGUAUGACUUAAAGCUUCAUAUGUGAAUUUAGUGACCAUAUACAUCCUAUGUGAGUUUUUGAGCCGAUUGAAAGUGUGUGCAUUUUUCAUACACUCCUAUUCUUUCAUGUGUGAUGAACUUAUGUGAGAUACAUCUCUAGAACUUGCGUAACGAUCUUUCGAAAUGUUUGUCAUUGAUUGCAUGAAUUUGGAAAUGAUAGAGGCAUUAGGUUUACCACUAUGGCCCAAAUAACCAUGUUUCCCAAAGAAAAAUGAUAUAAUUAGAUUGCCAAUUUGAGCCGUGUACGUUGAGCCUUUUAUUUCUUAUCACCAGAUAUGUCUACCCUUAUACCUGAAACAUUUUUCCUUACCCUUUCCAAGCGAGCAAUGCGAGAUUGUCUUAUGAGAAAUGUUUGUGAAGUACUUUGAAGGUGUUUGGCAAAAGAAUAAAUGUGGGGGUGUUUCAUGUUUGUAUUUAAAAAAAAAAAAAAAAAAGAGAAAAAAAAAAAGAAAAGAAAAAGAAAGAUUGUAUACAAAGAAAAUAAAAAGUUUUUCAAGUUUCAGUUAAGGGUGUGGUUGGAGGUGCUAGAAGAAUCGCUGGAAAGAUGGAAAGAUUGAGUUCUUAUAAAUCUAAACAAAAGAAUUGCUUGCAAUGUAGCUUGGAACUUGUGUUUUCCUAUUCUUUCGUUUCAAUAACCCUAUCCCUAAGCCUCAUUACAUCCAAUAAAAGUCCUCUUGAUUUAAGUUUUGCAAUUAUGACUGUGGAGAAGUGAUCUUUAUGCAAGCUUAUGGUAGAAAUUCACAUUUGAUUCUUUGAGCGAAACACAUUUAAACUAAACACAUGUGUGAUUGAGUGUAUAUCCCGUGAGAAGGUUGCUAGUUUUCAUAUGAUGAUUUUAAAAAUAAAAAAAUAAAAAAAAAUUUUGAAAUUGCAUUAGCAUGGCUAUCUCACACACUACACUUCAAGGAUGAUUUAAAGAUUACUGCUAAUAUUUGAAUAAGGAAGAUGAACUUGGAUUAGCUUGUUUGGUGCUAGCUAUGAUUCUUGUUGAUUUGUGUUCUCAAAUGAAAUUCUAUGAGGGUCACAUAGGGGGAAGCUAAUGUUUUUCUUGUUACUACUUGUUCUUGUUUUCUUUGUUUUGCUCGAGGACUAGCAAAAGCUAAGUGUGGGGGAAAUUGAUAGGAGUAUAUUUAUACGACUUAGUUAGCUUGUUUUCUUGCUUUUAAUUAGCUAAACUAUGAUAAUUAUAGUGUUUAAAGUUAUUUUCGUGCAAUUUCAGGUUUUAGUGUCAAAGUAUGCAAAAAGAAGCAAUUUGGAACAUUCUAGAGCAUUUUUGGGCCAAGAUUGGAUUGUGCAAGCAUGGAGGCAUGAGGAUGGACGAAUUUGAAGACAAAAGAGGCUAUGAACAUGCUAAAAAUCUGGUGAAACAAAUAUAAGUUGCAAGAAGGGAUAAAUUUCUAGAAGGAUUGACCAAAACUUCACUCAAAACCAAGAAAUUCUUCAAUGCCGUGGGCAUUGAUUCACUUUCACCAGAAAUUUGAGUGAUGAUGCAAUGCUUAAAUCACCAUGACAUGUGAGUGGAUGAUGCAAUGCUUAACUCACCAUGACAUGUGAAUGGAUGACUCAAUACCUAACCCACCAACAAUUCCCACUCUUUGCCAUGCUCACCUACUCAAUUCCACCAAAAUUUUGUGUUAAACAAAUCCAUCCUUUUCCUAUAAAUACCAUGGCAGCAACCUCAUUCAAAUCAUCCAGAAAUUAACCAUUCUCCAAGCCUUCCCUUGCCUCUCCCUACAUAUCUAAACCUUCCCCAUCCAUUCCUCCAUAUAACCAACCAUUCAACCACCAUAACCACCUUGUGCCGCCACCAUUGAAGGAGAGGAGGAGUAGUGCCGUGCUUAUGCAAUCUGCAACUAUUAGAGUGUUUGGAAUUCUUUCUUCUUUUAAUUCUAUGUUCAUGUUUAAUUUAACUUGCUGUUCAAUUAUGUUAAACAUGUGGAACUAAUUUCUUUUUGGCUAGAGGUUAAUUCAAAGCCAUGAAUAUAUUUGUAAUAUGAAUUGAUUACCUUCAGUUGUGAUUUCUGAGUUGUGAUUUAAUUUGCUUAACUGCUUGAUUGAUAACUUAUUUUUGUAUGUCGAUUAAGAAUGCAUACUUAAUUUACAUGCAUGAAUUUGAUGCUAGAAUAUAAGUGAAUUUCACCUAAUCGUUAUGAACUUAUAUUCACAAGUAGUGAAGGUUGUUAUCCACAAUCGUGUUAAGUGAAUUCUAGGCUGGAUUAACAUGCGUAUUCCAUAGUUAUGAAUGCCUAGUCAAUGUUUAUGAUUUCCGUUGAACUUAAUGAUCUUUGUUGAAUGUCUCUAUCAUGCGUAUUCCAUAGUUAGGGACUUUGAUGAGGAAUAAUUUGGUUGUAAUGCGUAUUCCAUUCAAUCCAAUGAAUCUAGGGAAAUCUAAGAGUUAAUUUAAGCGGACCUAAUUAACUUGGAACAUUGUCAUUCACAAUUUAUUGAAAGAACAACUGAAAAUCAAUUUAGGUUGCAUAUGUGUCAUGUGUGGAGAAGAACCCUCUAGCUAGUCCGUCACAUAUCCUUUCACCUUAAUUUCAUGCUUUUGUCAACUCUGUAAUUUAUUUAAAUUUAAUUUACUUCUCGUCAAAACCAAACCCCCCCAUUAUUAAAUUAUAUUAUUUAGUUAGUUUUCAUUGUUGUUAGUCUUUUAAUUCAAUUUCCGUCCAUUUCAGUUCCUAGUGUCUAAUUUGAUUGUUUUCAUUAUUUUGAGUCAUUCUAAGUGUGUUUCAAGUUAUUAGAGUUUUUAGCCUAGUUUUGUGUCCUUGAGUCUUAUUUAAUAUUUUUAAUAGAUUAGCAAUCCCUCCUAAUCCCCGGCCUAGAACGAUACCCUACUUACAUCUAUACUACAAUUGUCAAAAAGAGGGUUUAAUUUGUGUGUCAAGUAAUUCUCACAUUAUGGUGGUAGCUGUGUUGUUGCCAAAGUUGCAGAUGAUAGUCAAGGCAAUGGGUCUUUGUCUCUGUCUUUAAAUUAGGCAGUUUUUUGGGAGAAAAAUAGGGCGGAAGAUUCGAGAAAGAGAAAAAUGGGUUUUUGGAUGGUUUUUUAAAACUGCACAGAGUCUGCGAAGGUUUUCUGGAAAAGCCCAAAGAGUGAGGUUUUCUAGGUUUUUGGGUUUCUGCAGUUUCCCGGUGGUGAGAUGAAAAAAAUGAAAGAGAACCGACAUAGUUUUUCGUGUCGAUUUCCCACAGACAACGCCAAAUGUUGAUGCACAAAACCGUAGGGGUCUUGGAACGUAAAUCCGACCGUGAAUCUGCAAGAAAGUAAAGAACACAAGAUGUAUCGUGGUUCACCCCAAUGUUUGGGCUAUGUCCACACUGAUGUUGAUUGUAUUUCUCUGUAAGGGGGAAUCCCCCAGAGAAAAAGAGAGUUUGAGAGAGCUUUGCUCUGAAUAUAAGAGCCUCUAUUUGGGGAUGUGAGGCUUGAGGAUUGUGAGGGUGAGGAUGCCCUUUUAUAGACUAAGGGCUCCUCCCCAUUUACAUGAAUCAUGGGCUCAAUGUCAGGAAGCCCAAGUAACGAGGUCCAAUAUAAUAUGGUACCAAUAGCAUCAAUAUUCAAUUUGAACAUCCCAUCAAUGGCAUACUCAUUUCCCACAAAAACAUCAUUCUUUGUGAGAGUAUACAUAUCAGCCCCAAUAGUUUGAGUGAAUCUAGCAUUGUUGAUUAGAUAACCUGAAACCAGGUUCUUUCUUAUUUCUGGAACAUGCAGUACAUCUUUUAGAAUGACAGUCUUCCUCGAGGUGAAUUUUAGCUCUACUUCACCAGUUCCAGCAACAUUCGUUGAGUGAGAGUCUCCCAACAAAACCCUUAUGUCCUCAGCUUCAGAAUAGGACUUAAAAAGUCUGCGAUCAUGGCAGACAUGGCGCGAAGCUUCAGUGUCUACCCACCACCCCUCGGAUCCGUCAACUAUGUUAACCUCUGAUAUCAUAGCAAUGAGUUGAUCCUCAGUCAGAUUAGCUUGAUGAGUAAUCCGACGUUUGUUGUGACAGUUCCUAGCCAAGUGCCCAGGUUUGUCACAGUUGUAGCACAAAAAAUGGCACAACGGCUUCAUCUCAUGAGGGGGUACCUUCCUAUUCUAACUUUGCUGAGGAUUUUGGAAGUUUGGUCGAUUUUUGUUGUUGUUGCGAUUCUUGGUGGAAUUCUUUAUAUUCUUACCCAUGGGUUUGAGCACUACUGCUGCAUAAGUCCUCGAAUGAGUCUUCUUGAGAUUGUUGUUGUUUGAAACAACCAGCACUUCCUCCCUCAUAUCUUGUUUCCUGGCUUCUUCCUCGAUUUGAAGGCGAGUGAUUAGGCUUUCCAGUGAGAAUUCCUUUGUCUUGUGCCACAGAUCCUUCUUGAACUCCUUCCAACUUGGUGAGAGCUUGUCUAUGAUCACAGCAACCUGCAACUGUUCAUCCAGAUUCAUGCCCUCAUUGAUGAUCUCAUGAGCAAUCUUUUGCAGUUCGUGUGAUUGCACUUCCAUUGAUUUGUCAUCCAUCAUUUGAAACUUCAUGUAGCGGCUGACUACAAAUUUCUUUGCUCCUGCUUCUUCAGUGUCGUACUUUUUCUAGAGAGCAUCAUAUAGUUCUUUAGCUAUCUUACGAGAAUAGUAGUAAUCAUAUAGGUCAUCACAUAAUCCAUUCAAGACAUAAUAUUUACAGAGAAAGUCAAUAUUAGUCUAGGAUUGAAACAACUUGAACUGUUCAGCAGUGGGUUGAUCAAGAUGUGAUGGCGUUUCAGACAUGCAGUGGGUGGCAAGUUUCUUGGUGGUUAGAAAAAAUAACAUCUUUUGCCUCCAACGUUUGAAGUAGAUUCCUUCAAACUUGAUAGGUUUGUUCAGAUCAUUAGUAAAAGUGUUGUUUUCAUUCUCCAUUGCAGAAAUUGAACGUCUUAAAAUUGUUAGAGUUGCUACACAAUAAAACAGGAACAAUAUUACCGGAGUAUGAAGAACAUAAAAUGAAAAUCUGUCUUGGGUUGAGUCGUAGACAAUGUCACUUUCUUUAAGACGUUUCGCGGCUCUGCCCAAUGUGUGUAAGCAGUUCAAAUAACACCACAUCAUCCCCAGGAUAAAACAGCCCAAAAUCUCUCUGUCUAGACCUUCCUUUGCACUGAGGAAGAUCCGAAAACACUCACCCUCUAGUUGCUCAGAAUACUCAGUGUUAUUAGCUAGGUUUUUUUCAGUUUUUUUUUUUUUUUUUGUGUGUCGACUAAAGAGAGGUCCUCAAAUUUAUAUAGAAAAACCAAAGUUUAACGUUGAAGAGGUUGAGGGAAAGGUGGCCUAAGAAUACAACAACAACAACAACAAAGCCUUUUCCCACUAAGUAGGGUCGGCUAUAUGAAUCCUAGAACGCCAUUGCGCUCGGUUUUGUGUCAUGUCCUCCGUUAGAUCCAAGUACUCUAAGUCUUUUCUUAGAGUUUCUUCCAAAGUUUUCCUAGGUCUUCCUCUACCUCUUCAGCCCUGAACCUGUUUCCCGUAGUCACAUCUUCGAACCGGAGCGUCAAUAGGCCUUCUUUGCACAUGUCCAAAUCACCGGAACCGAUUUUCUCUCAUCUUUCCUUCAAUUUUGGCUACUCCUACUUUACCUCGGAUAUCCUCAUUCCCAAUCUUAUCCUUUCUCGUAUGCCCACACAUCCCACGAAGCAUCCUCAUCUCCGCUACACCCAUUUUGUGUACGUGUUGAUGCUUCACCGCCCAACAUUCUGUGCCAUACAACAUCGUUGGCCUUAUUGUCGUCCUAUAAAAUUUUCCCUUGAGCUUCAGUGGCCUACGACGGUCACACAACACGCCGGAUGCACUCUUACACUUCAUCCAUCCAGCUUGUAUUCUAUGGUUGAGAUCUCCAUCUAAUUCUCCGUUCUCUUGCAAGGUAGAUCCUAGGUAGCGAAAACGGUCGCUUUUUGUGAUCUUCGCUAGAUUGCUCCGGUCAUUAGUGUGGAUAAGUAUAUAAAUGGAUAGAGAUAGGAAAGCAAACACAAGAUGUACGUGGUUCACCUAGAUUGGCUACGUCCACGGAAUAGAGGAGUUCUCAUUAAUUGUGAAGGGUUUACACAAGUACAUAGGUUCAAACUCUCCUUUAGUGAGUACAAGUGAAUGAUUUAGUACAAAUGACAUUAGGAAAUAUUGUGGGAGAAUGAUCUCGUAAUCACGAAACUUCUAAGUAUCGGAGUGUGGUAUCGUCUUGAUUUGCCUUAUCUGUCUCAUAGGUAGAUGUGGCAUCUUCUUUGGAAGUACUCUUCCUCCAUCCAGGGGUGGUAUCUUUAACUGGUGGAGAUGCACAAGGUAAUGUAUCAAUUUCACUUGAAGCUUACUUGUAGUUUCAGGCUUGGUCAAGCGCGAUACAAACCAUGUAGUAGGAGUCCCCCAAGUCGCCGAGCUAGGGGAUCUGCUGAAAGAGUUGACAGACAAGGUAAGCAAUCAGAGCUCCGGCUGAUUGUUCACAUUCUCCCUAUCUUGCAGGCAGCAUGAAGGAUAAAGAGAAGAAAAAUGAGAAGAGAUGAUAUGGGAUACUUUUGCUUUUGAAGAAGUAACUUUCCACAGGCUUAUUCAUAAACUGAGCUGGAAGGUUUUCUGGUUUCCUCCAGAGUAUAAGGCCGACUGAAAAAUUUGAGGGUCAAAACAAGUCCAUCAAAUCUAAAGUACGUUCGACCCUGCUGAUAUGGGAUACUUUUGCUUUUGACAGAAUAGUGGAUGUAUCGGCACGUGUGCUGUUACGCUUGUCUCCACAUGCUUCCUUGUAUCCUUCUCACUUGCCCUAUCUGUUCCUCAGGCAGAUGCGGUAUCUUCCCUGGAAGCAUAAGAUGUUGAAAAUGAGUACUCGAGAGCAAUGCCAGGUAAGUAAUCAGGUAAGGGGUUCCAGGCAGUCAGUUCCUGGCUGUAAGCUUGAUUCCAAGUGCUGACUGAUUGCUCUUUUUCUCCUUGUCUUGCAGGUAAGAACAAGGCCAAAGGAAAAGACAGGGAAAAAACAUGAUAUGGGAUACUCUUGCUUUUAACCCUGAUGAUAUGAGAUAUUCUUGCUCUAGUAUAGCUUGUUUGCAGAGGUAUUAUCGGGGGGAAAGAAAGCUGAAUAUUUCGAAAGGCUUCGUUGGGAGUGCCCUCUCAGAUAUGAGGAAGGGUUGAGCAUUUUUGCAGGUCUGCCUGUUCGUUGGGGAUGGAGGUCUACAUAUAUAGGAGUCUCCCUAACAACAAGUAGUAAUGUUAUUCCUUUACCCUGCUUGGUCAUAGCACGGUAGUGGGAGCUGCCAACUUCACAUGUUUUAACUCUGUCAGAACACUUUGAAAAAGUGGUAUGUGGUAUCUGGAAAGCUGAUGUUGCGUAUGAAGAUUACAGACAAGCUUUAUCCAAGGAGAUCCGGCUUUUGAAGUUGGGAAAAUGGUGCCUCUUCGGUUUUCGAACAAGCAAUCCUAUCGGGGAUCUGGCUCUCGAGAUUCAGAGAACGAUGCCUCUUCGAUUUUUUAGAAAGCAAUCAUGCUGGGGGUCUGGCUCUCGAGAUUCGGAGAGCGGUGUCUCUUCGAUUUUUGAGAAAGUAAUCAUGUUGGGAGUCUGGCUCUCGAGAUUCGGAGGGCGAUGCCUCUUCGCUUUUGGAGCAAGCAAUCUUGUUGGGAGUGUUUUCUCGAAUGUGAGUAAAGGUUGGGCAUGUUUGCUAGUCUACCUUGCCACGAAGCACAGAGGUUGACAAACAGGGACUUUCCAAUUAUCCAGCAAUGGUACUGUUCCUUUACCCUCUCUUCGAUUUUUGAGAAGGUAGUCAUGUUGGGAGUUUGGCUCUCGAGAUUCGGAGGACGGUGCCUCUUCGAUUUUGGAGCAAGCAAUCUUGUUGGGAGUGUUUUCUCGAACGUGAGUAAAGGUUGGGCAUGUUUGCUAGUCUACCUUGCCACGAAGCACAGAGGUUGACACACAGGGACUUUCCAAUUAUCCAGCAGUGGUACUGUUCCUUUACCCUUGUGGGUAAUAAUAUGGUAGCUAGACCUUCAAAAUUUAUGUGUCUAAACUUUGUUAGUGUUGUUUCUUUGUUAUUCUUUUACCCUUCUUGGUCAGAGCGAUGUAGUGGGAGCUGCAAGCUUCACGUGACUCAACUUUGGCAGAGAACUUUGGCAAAGUUAUCUGUGGUACCCAUGAGCUACUGUUGCGCGUGGGUUGAACAGUAAGAUUCAUGUGCUUUCUACUUCACCAGUAGUCUUCGACAGAAUGCCCAUAAUUUCCGCAAAGCUGAGUAUGCGUGUGACAGGUGCUGACAAGGCUGGAAAAGUAGGUGCCUCUUCGAUUUCUGAGAUCGGCCCUCGUGGUCUCUGAGCAGCCCAGCUUUUGAGAAAGCAAGCGCCUCUUCGAUUUCUGAGAUCGGUCUUCGUGGUCUUUAAACAGCCCAGCUUUUGAGAAAGCAAACGCCUCUUCGAUUUCUGAGAUCGACCCUCGUGGUCUCUGAGCAGCCCAGCUUUUGAGAAAGCAAACGCCUCUUCGAUUUCUGAGCAGACGCCUCUUUGAUUUCUGAAGCUCCGUCGAGUGCAGAUUUUUAUAAGGGCUGGCAUUAAGUUCCAAAGCACACUUGAAUCUCCACCAGUAGAAGCUCCAUUCUUGCACUUCUAAGAUCUUGAUUUGUCCGACCUCUUCUCUCUUCAACACCUUUGAAAAUGUCUGGCCCCUCCGACCGUCGUUUUGACUUGAACCUUAUUGAAGAGGCAGCCCUGCCUUCUCCAGACAACAUAUGGCGCCCAUCCUUCGUCUCCCCUAUUGGUCCUCUUACCGUUGGGGAUUCCGUGAUGAAGAAUGAUAUGACCGCUGCGGUGGUGGCCAAGAACCUUCUCACUCCCAAAGAUAACAGACUACUUUCUAAACGGUCUGAUGAGUUAGCUGUUAAGGAUUCUUUGGUUCUCAGUGUUCAGUGUGCAGGUUCUGUGUCUAAUAUGGCCCAACGCCUAUUUGCUCGAACCCGCCAAGUUGAAUCAUUGGCGGCUGAAGUGAUGAGUCUCAAACAGGAGAUUAGAGGGCUCAAGCAUGAGAAUAAACAGUUGCACCGGCUCGCACAUGACUAUGCUACAAACAUGAAAAGGAAGCUUGACCAGAUGAAGGAAUCUGAUGGUCAGGUUUUACUUGAUCAUCAGAGAUUUGUGGGUUUGUUCCAAAGGCAUUUAUUGCCUUCGUCUUCUGGGGCUGUACCGCGUAAUGAAGCUCCAAAUGAUCAAUCUCUGAUGCCUCCUCCUUCUAGGGUUCUGUCCAGUACUGAGGCUCCGAAUGAUCCCCCUCCGGUGCCUUCUCUUUCUGGGGCUCUACCGACUGCUGAGACUUCUCCUAAGCAACCUUUGUGAAAGCUCCCUCUUGUUUGUUUAUUUUGACUCAUGUAUAUGUACAUAUUUGUAACUUAUCGGGGAUAUCAAUAAAUAAGCUUUCCUUCAUUUCAACGUAUUGUGUUAAAUACACCAAAGCCUUCUUUGCUAAGUUCUUUGAAUUUUCUUUUAUUGAAGCUUGUAUGUUGAAGCUUUGUGAGUGGAGCAUGUAGGUUGAGGUAGUGUUCCCUUAAUUUCUUGAGUGAGGAAAACUUCUCGGUUGGAGACUUGGAAAAUCCAAGUCACUGUGUGGGAUCGGCUAUAUGAAUCUUAGAACACCAUUGUGCUCGAUCCUGUGUCAUGUCCUUCAUUAGAUCCAAGUACUCUAAGUCUUUUCUUAGAGUCUCUUCCAAAGUUUUCCUAGGUCUUCCUCUACCCCUUCGGCCCUAAACCUCUGUCCCAUAGUCGCAUCUUCUAAUCGGAGCGUCAGUAAAGGUGGCCUAAGAAUCAGGCCAAAAAAUCUGGAAGUGAUCACCUAGUUGAGGAAGACUAGGUCUUUUCCUUUAUCUUCAAAACCAAAAUCUAUUUGAUAAAAUACAAGUGGUCAACCAUCAAAAUAAGAAGGCUAGUUCCUGAAUAAAACGAUAACUAUGGUUUUAAAAUAAACACAAAGUUUCAACACUUAUGUACACUGUGUUCUUCUCUCUUGCAAGCAAUCACAUCCACGGGAUCAUUCCAGAAUCAGUAUGCAAGGCGACAUCUCUUCAUGUUCUUGAUAUGUCCAAUAAUUCCUUUAGUGGCAUGAUUCCCCAGUGCUUAACUGCAAGGAAC